UCGAUUACGUAAAUUUUUUGUGUGCACAUGGCUAUAGUACCAGAUUAUUGAAAGCUCUUACCGGGAAUAGCCAUAGCUGCUCAUCAUCACAAUCUAGUCAUGGAACACUCAGUGAUCAUCUAAACUAUCCUUCUGUUGCACUUUCCACCUCGAACCCUAAAUCCGUCAAUGGCAUUUUCAAUAGGACCGUCACAAAUGUUGGAUCACCGAAGUCCACAUAUAAAGCUAAAGUGAGUGCACCACCAGGACUUGAAAUCAAAGUUAAUCCAAGCGUUCUAAAGUUCACAUCUCUCGGGCAAAAGCUAUCGUUUCAAGUCACGGUGAAAGGGUUGAUUGAAAAAACCAUAGUCUCCGGUUCUCUAGUGUGGGAUGAUGGUAAAUUCCAAGUGAGGAGCCCCAUUGUUGUGUAUUUUGUGUUUUGAGAACAAAGUAUGUGUAAUAAUGUAUGAUGCAUGAAUAAGCAAUUGCAUGAAGCUUUAAUAUGAUGUAGUACCUCGAAAUUUGAAAUGUACCCAUUUAAGGAUAUUUUAUAAUUCUCUGUGCAAUCUAAUUGUAUAUUUGAUUGUUCAUUUUUUGUUUGCAUGGGAAAUAUGGAUUUUCUCCUAUGUUGAUUACUUGAUUGAAGGCCCCAUCCCUCGUUGCCCGUUUAUACAGGUAGCUAUCACUAAAUCAAGUUAUCAACGAGACUUUAGUCGGAACCUUCCUGAUUAAAAACAAAAGACCGAAAAACUUCGGUGGGGACAUUUGCAAAUAACUACGUAUACACACGAAAAAUAUCAGAGUAGCAUCAUGAAUCGGUGGCAUAAAUAUCUUUACCCACAGUGGCGGAGCUAGGAUUUCUUGUGAGAAGGGGCCUCACACAAGUAUAGAAAAACAAAAAAACAAAUAGUGGUUACAAAAUUACGAAUGCAAAAACAUCAUAAAAAUAUCCAAAUAAUUAAGUAGUCAAAAUUAACAUAUGAAUACAUAAUUUUAUCUAUUUAUAGUAAUCAUAAUUAUUCUCGACGAAUUUCAUAUUUUAAAACCAUUGCAUGAUGUCAUCUAUUCUAUACUACUGAAAGAAUUAUUAAAAUCAAUGGAGAGAAUAAUAGAGUUUUACAAACCUUAUUUGUUCUUUAUUCAAUAAGUUUGGGAUUUGGAAUGACUAAAUAUAUGAAAUUCAAGAAGAAUAUGGGGAAUAGCUCUGCUAGUGCACGAGCGAAGGACAAUUUUAUUAGUUAAAAGUGAAUGAUGGGUUUUAAUUUAAAAGUUUUAUUGAUUUGUAAUAAAUGACUAUUUGAAAUAUUAUUCUUAAUUCUAGGAUAGAAUUUGGAUGAAAAAAUAGAUAAAUAAUUAGAUAAGUGUUGAGAAGAGUUGCAAAGCAAUAGAAAUAGGUGUAAUACUAAUCUUGUUUUUUCAAGUCAGGGUAGGCCUAGGACUACUCUAGUCCUCAUGUGCCUCCGCCAGUGUUUACCCACCCACUUGUUCCAGAUGUUGGCACAUGAUCAUACAUCGAUCAAUAUACGUAUGGAUAAUACAAGCCCUACCUACCAUGCAAAUUAUGCCAAGAACAACAAUCGAUCGAGUGACCAGUGGUGGGAGAGCUAGGAAUAUUAGCAAGCUGCAUUUUCUCACUUCCCACUCUCACUUGUUUGUGCAUACAGACUAAUAUGCUUGUUUCUUGACUUGUGGAUGUAUAUAAAGGUCAAUAUGGAUGCAUGGCAUGUGAUGUAGGUCAGGAGGUUUUUCUUCUUUUCAAAAGCAGUAUAUGUUGGAAAAGUUAGACAUGAAAUUGAUACCACAGUUAAUAUGUUUUUGUACCGUCAUUCCCUAUGUUUGUAUCAUACUUGACCAAUCCCGAAACUACUGAGCACCGGUCAACGUUAUACCGUCAAGGAUCCAAAAGAGUUUCCCUCCAAGUCGACAUCAGAAGCCAAUCACAGUGCGACACGUGUCGACAUCAGAAGCCAAUCAUAGUGCGACACGUGUCAACAUCAAAAGUCAAUCACAACACGACAUGUGUCAAUGUCAGAAUGAAACGAGAAACUCACUUCUAUAAAUAGAGAUAAUUCUCUCACAAUAUUUGCUGAUGUCAUUUGUACUAAAUCAUUCACUAGUACUUACUAAAGAAGAGCUUGAACCUAUGUACUUGUAUAAACCCUUCACAAUUAAUGAGAAGUCCUCUAUUUCAUGGACGUAGCCAAUCUAGGUGAACCACGAACAUCUUGUGUUUGCUUCCCUGUCUCUAUCUAUUUGCAUACUUAUCCACACUAGUGACCUGAGCAAUCUAGCGAAGGUCACAAACUUGACACUUUCUAUUGUACCAAAGUCCUCACUGAUUUUGUGCAUCAACACCCUAUAACCAAAAAUUGCAUGAAGUAAAAAUUACCUUAUUUCGCAACAUAUCUUCAACUGGCUACUGGCUCUCUAGUUUUUCAAUUGUCAUCAUGGUCGAAGUACCUAAGCUGGGUCAUUUUCUUCUUUGAGCAGAAGGACGUUAACCAUCGGCUGGGAUUACCAUCAUUGAAGGCAAUUGCACAUGUUAUGCACUAAGAAAAGGUUGCAAGCGGUUAUUUGCUUGCAGAGCUACCGGCUGCCUUAUAGUACAAACUAGAAAGUUCUACCUUAGCAUCGUUGCGGGAUUAAAAAUUGUGUAAAAAAAUUAUAUUUCUAAGGUAUAAACCUAUCAACUUGUAUCACAUCUAAUUAAACUACAACAUCAUAUUGAUGCACUUAAUAUGAAAAUUGAUAAACUAUUUGACAAUAUGAAAUCAAGCAAUUAUUGAAAAUCAAAAUGGAGCUUAGAAAGUAAAAUAUCCUACCUCAUUAUAUUAAAACAAUUAACAAAUGAUCAGUGAAUGAUCACAAAAAAGGUAAAGAAAAGUAAUUCAAUUUCUUGAAUUCAAAAACGGUAUAGAUUAAAAAUAAAUAAAAUAAAAAAAAAAACAGGUUCUCAGUUCUCACCAUAAUGAAAAUUAUGACAUCGUUUUAACAUGAACUCAAGUUCAUUUCAGUCACUAGCAUUAAUAAAACUAGUGACUUCAACCUGUGCAAGGAAACAACUAACUUAGAUGCAAGCCAACCAACUUCAAAUCUAACCAAAUAAAAAAAGCAAUCACAAUCGAACUAACCUCUUCUUCCCAAAUGAAGUAGAAGAUGUCCCCUGUUUUGCCAUUGUGAACAAUGUACUCUACUCCCAACACACAAAAUGCUAAGCAAUAUUAUAAAAACAACACAUAUACAUCAUUGUAUAUAUAUUGGACAUAAAGUAUAAAGAUCUGCUGACAGUAUCAAGCUUAAAUUUAACAAAAGAAGUAAUUACGAAUUGAAAUCAAACGAUAUUAUAGUUGUUAAAAAAAUUUCUAACUAAAUUUUACAAAUAGCAUCAUAAAUGUUAAAAAAAAAAACCAUUGAAAAAACUCAUUACUCAAAUUUGUAAUUCUAUAAAAACACAUCACUGAAAACUUCAAUUUCAUCAAAACAUGUCAACUUAUAUCACAUCCAAAACCCAUUAAUAAUCCCUUCUUGUGUAUAGCUCAUCCUCAGAAUUCGCAGCUAAAAACGGAAUGUAAGUUCAGAGUAUGAUGAAAAAGAAGAAAUGAAAGAGUUGUGUCAAUGGAAAAAAAUAAGAGUAGGUAUCAGAACAAUCUACAAAGAAGAAGAAUUUGAGAUGAAUAAGUGGAUAAAUUGCUUACAUGAAGAGCUGAUUUCAAAUCGAUGAUCCACUACUCACCCUAAUAAUAUUUAACAAUUGCAAUUAGUAAAAUUUUCUUGAUAAGAGGAAAUCUAGGAGCAUAAUAAUAAGCAUUAGAAAUAGAAAAGCCUUAUAUAGUGAUUAAGGCCCUUAAUUAACUUGAGAAGCUUGAAAAGUCAUUCUCUUCACGUGGUUAAUUUGGAAGUUAUCCAAUGUAUGUAACAACAUGAAUCAGAAGCAAAUUGAUGAAAUCGGAGGGAAAAAAUGUUACUUAGUAAUUGUAUAUGUUAUGAAAGCAUCAAAUAAAGUCCUGAUAAAAUACAUGCAUCUUUAUAUUAACCACUUUACAUAUAAAUUAUAAAUGAUUAUCAAACAGCCUUAAACAAAUUUCAUUUAGGGAAGAUUGAUGAGGGGAUAUACGACUCACAAACAACUGAGACCGUCUUCUUUUUUUUAUUUUUUUUAUUUCUUCAUAUCAACAAACACACAAAUUCUUAUAUUUCCGAAAGCACCUGCAUCCCAAUAUAAAAACUUAAAAAAUACAUGAAUCAUCUAUGUUUUGCUUUGCAAACAGCCAAGGGGAUGGGAACUAAAAUAAAUUUCGUGCCCAAGAACCACUUAAAAACCAAGCUUGAAAGCAUAAAAAUAAAGCUUUCAAUCUUUCUGUGCAAAUUAAUAUCACAAUCAAUUCUGUUUGUACCAUAUUUAAGGCCUCGUAUUUAGAUCUCGUACAAAUACUCAGGGGACUUAAAUGUAAUUAUGUGAUAAAGGAAGGGGCAAAUAUGUAAUAAGUGAUGAGUCCUUAUUCUAUAAAAGGACCCCUCACCCUCACAAUUAAGGAGGGUUUCAUUCUCACCCUAGGAGGUCAUUUCUGAAGCCUUCUCACACCUCUCAAAUCCCCUAUCAUAUUCAGAGGUUCUCUCCCUCACCUCUCAGAUAAAUACAUAAUCAGUGUGGACGUAGCCCAAGCCUUGGGGUGAAUCACGAUACAUUUUGUGUUAUUUACAUUACUUGUAGAUUCACGAUCGGAUUUACGUUGUUCCAAGACCUUCGGUUUUGUGCAUUAACAUUUGGCGCCGUCUGUGGGAAUCGACACGAAAAGUUAUGUUGGGGCUCUCUCAAAUUUUCACCUCCGCCGUGAAUCUACAAAAACCCACACAGAGACACAGACACAGAGCUCCCUCUCUCCCUCCCUCUCUCGGCCUCUGAACUCACGCCUUUCCCCACAACCCACACAUUUUCCACUUCUCAGAAAGUAGAAAAAACAUCUCUCACCAUUCCUCAUCAAGUGAUCUGCGAAAUCACGAAAAUUAUCAUCUACGACAUUUGAACUGUGAUCAUAGUUGUGGAAAUACUAGUCCAGUGAGCAAUGCAAUUCAGAAACGUGUUUCACGAGCUAUUCGAGAUGAGAGAUGACAAGAGGAAGAAAUCAAGAAGAGAAGGGGAAGAGAGGAAGUAGGCAAACCAAGUUGAGCAAACCAAGUGGGCAAACCAAGUGCAAAAUGUCACAUUGCUCCGGAACAUACAUUGUCAUCACCUGCAUCAGUUGAGCAAACCAAGUGGGCAAACUUGCCCCCAGAGCUGCUUCUUGACAUAGUCCAACACGUUGAAGCGAGUAAGACUCAUUGGCCUGCUCAGAGGGAUGUGAUUGCUUACGCUUCGGUUUGCAAGUCGUGGAGGGAGAUUACGAAAGGGAUCAUCAAGAUUCCAGAGCAAUAUGGCUGGCUUACCUUCCCUGUCUCACUCCACACGGACCAGGGUUUGCACGGGCCUCACACAGGCCCUACACAGACCAAGCCUUUCAGCGAGGAUCAUGCCUUCAAGAUGGGGACUUUGCAGAAAUUCCCCAAAAGCUUUACCAGAAGAUGGCCUUUAAGGUCAUAAACAGACCUCAAAUCCAAAAGAUGGGGACUUUGCAGAAAUUCAAGCUCCUCGCCACGCAGUGCGGCAUGGCCUAGAGCCCGAUGCGAAGCCCGCGGUCGAGCCCCUUGAUCCAACUCCCCCGCCGCAAACCCACCUUGCUCAUUUCCUCAAGUCCAAAAUCCAAUCCCUGGAAUCCCGUUCCCGCGAAACCUUGCAAGCCCUCGACCACAGCGAAGCCUCCAUCCCGGAGCGCGAGUCCUCCGCUGUUGCUCGAAUCGAGGAGCAGAACACCGUGACCUUCGCCGAGGUGGAGAAGAAUGUUUCCAGGGAUUUGGAUUUACAGAUCCAUUUCUGACGGAAGGCUCAGAGUUUUUGAAGCAGGAAGGGCGGAGAAGGGUCGUGGCAUGGGGAGAAAUAAGGAAGUCAUUACCAAGGAUCGACGACUAUCUCCACCAUUUUCCGGCCACGCUAGUCAUCACGACAUAGGCAUCACUAGUAGCCAACUGGUCCCAUACAUCACCGUCACCCGUAAACUCCUCAAACCAUUUUUGUCGGUGAUGCCGUCAAGGAUAAGUCUGGGUGGCUUUAGUCGACUACCCACAGGGAUUGCUUUUGUCGACCACCCAAGAAAAGUUAUAAAUGUGUUUGUUGAAAAGCAUGCAAAUCUGCAAAGAGAUUGCUCUGAAAAAUGGACCCAUGAUUCUUGAAAUGGGCAUUUACAGGGACCAUGGUCACUUUAUGUCUAAUCACACGUGAUGAGAUUUCUAGCAUAAGGUUGUAUACAAGAGAGGAAGAAUCAGCUUAUUAUAUGUGCUUAGAAAAUGGAGCAGGGCCAGGGAGGGAUGAGACAGAGAGAGGCGCAGUGGGAAACAGAAAGCAAAGCAGAAAGCAAAAGAGAAAGCAAAAGCAAGGAAUAAACACCCCACCGGAAUGAUGUGAUUUGCUUUUCUUGUUUUUGUAUAAUGUAAUUUAUUUUUCCUAUCUUUCGGAAACAUCUGUAUAAACCCUAUCAGAGGGUAAAAAAAAAAAAGGGCAAAGCCCAAAAUAAAUGGGCUGGCAUGUUGUGGAGGGCGAAGGCCUAUAAGCCUAAAAUAGCUCCAACCAGGUGAUCAAAAGUACGCCCAGUAUUCCAAAAUUAUUCGGCAACCCGCCUCUAUUAUCACCAACCAGGUGACUAAAAGUACGCCCAGUACUCCAAAAAUUAUUCGGCAACCUACCGCUAUUACCAUUAACCAGGUGAUGAAAUGUAUAACCAGUACUCUAAUAUCAUUUGGCAACUAGCCAUUCAUACCACCAACCAGGUGAUGAAAUGUAUAACCCGUACUUUAAUAUCAUUUGGCAACUAGCCAUUCAUACCAACAACCAAGUGAUGAAAUGUACAACCCGUACUCUCCUUCAUGCCACCAACCAGGUGAUCAAAAGUACGCCCAGUACUUCAAAUCAUACAUGAGCAUUACUCAUGUCAUUCAUACAUAAACACUCAUGAGCGUCACUCAUACAUAAACAUUCAUGACCAUCAUUCAUGUCAACAUUCAUGAGCAUCACUCAUGACAACAUUCAUGAGCAUCACUCAUGACAACAUUCAUGAGCAUCACUCAUGACAACAUCCAUGAGCAUCACUCAUGUCAAUCAACAAAAACAUUCAUGAGCAUCACUCAUGUCAAUCAGCUUCAAAAGCUUCAUUUACAAAGCUCCAGCUUCGAAAGCUUCAUUUACAAAACUCUAGCUUCAAAGCUUCACUUGCAAAGCUUCACCUACAAAGCUUCAAUGCAGGGUAUACAAAUACCACCUCCGAAGAACCGCCACUUCAACCCAUACAUGGAUUCAAUUUGAAGUUUCUAGCCAACAGACUCUAUUGACCGAAGACUUGGGGGACUACAUUAUGUACCAUAUAUUGGGCCUCAACUGGGCCUCAUGAAAUAUACUUGAGGGACUUAGCCCAUUAUUUAUGUAUUAAGGAGCGAGCCCUUAUUCUAUAAAAGGGACUCCCUCACUUUCAUUAGAGAGCACCAAUUAUUCAUGUAUUGAGGAGCGAGCCCUUAUUUUAUAAAAGGGACUCCCUCACCAUCAUUAGAGAGCAUCACCGCCUACUGAGCAACCGCCUCGCCGCGAGCAUCAACUCUAGCUCAUCAUUUAUGUAUUGAGGAACGAGCCCUUAUUCUAUAAAAGGGACUCCCUCACCUUCAAACGCCACAAGCCAAGCUAACCAAGACAACAUAAGCCACAAACCGAGCAGCUUCGCAACAUGUACUACAUCUAGUUGAGCCUCAUUUCACAUUGAGCACCGCCUCAUAUCGAGUAUUCAGCUGUAGACGACAUCUAGUUACUUCAGCCCACACAUGGACUGAAUUUCAAGUCUCCAGCCAAAAGACUCUCUUGACUGAAGCCUUGAGGGACUACUGUUUGUACCAUAUUUAGGGCCUCGUAUUUAGAUCUCGUACAAAUACUCGGAAGACUUAAAUGUAAUUAUGUGAUAAAGGAAUGGGCAAAUAUGUAAUAAGUGAGGAGUCCUUAUUAUAUAAAAGGACCCCUCACCCUCAUAAUUGAGGAGGGUCUCAUUCUCACCCUAGGAGGCCAUUUCUGAAGCCUUUUCACCCCUCUCACACCUCCUCUCAUAUUCAGAGGUUCUCUCCAUCACCUCUCAGAUAAAUACAUAAUCAGUGUGGACGUAGCCCAAAUCUUGGGGUGAACCACGAUACAUCUUAUGUUAUUUACAUUACUUGCAGAUUUAUGGUCGGAUUUACAUUGUUCCAAGACCUCCGGUUUUGUGUAUCAAUAAAUUCAACCCCAUUUCUGCAAUCCAAAGCAUCAAACUUCAUACAAAAAUACAAUAAUUUUUAGAAUUUCACCCAAACAUAAAGAGAAUAAUAUUGUUAGGUGCGGAGAAGAAAAAAUCAGGGAAAAAUGGAAGAUGGAUUUAAGCCUGGAAAAGCAAUUCACAGCAACAAUAAAAAGUUGAAAUUAAAAACUGAAUUGAAUCAAAUGAAGAAUUUCUAGAGUGCAAACAAUUAGUGUUAUCAGCAAGAAGUUUCAAACCUUAAAAUGCAAAAGCAUGUGCCCAAAAUGCAAUCCUACAAAACAUGAAACAGCAGCCAUAAGAGAAUUGGAAAUUUUCUAAUAAAAAGAACCGAAGACCAACUUUGAAUAAUUGGUAACGAUGACGCUUUGACAUUGAUAGAGUGUAUGUGAGAGAGAGAGAGAGAGAGAGAUGGAAAUAGAAUUAGAAUUAGACCAAUGCAGAAAUCAACCAUAAGAUUCCCUCUGGGUCAAAUGGUUGAACCAUUGAUGAGAAACAGUCGGUAGAGGUUGAUAGUAGGAGAACUAAAAUUGCAUUCCUGAAACACAAAGGAUUAACCUUUUUCAAUUAUCAUCAGUGAAUGCACUAAUACAGGACUUAAAUUCUAAUAUAUUCAAUAAUCUAGUUACCAGAGAAUGACUUUUAUCCUUCUAUAGAGGCAGUUGAUAAAGGUGACUCUGGCCCAGUAUAACUUGAUUCAUAAAGUGGAAACUUUGAGGCUUCAAACUCUGAGCUAAAAGUUGAAGCUUCUUACUCAACAAACAAAAAUUACAAAUCCAAAACUAAAAAGAAUAAAAAACAAACUAAAACAUGGGAUUGGUGAAGGCCAUACCUUCGAAAGCAUAGACGCAGACAGCUCUUCGAGAGCGAUCCCAACCCGGGGUCGGAGGCGGAAACAGAGGCCAAUAUCCUCAAGAUUUUGCGUUGAAGAUUGUGAGAUCGGGAUAAAACAGUCGAAACCGAAGUUGCAAGUUUUGAAAAAAUGUUAAGGAAUCUGGGUUUCAAUGAAUAUGGAGGCUGCAAAUAAAAUCCCCAAAGAAACAAAAAAAAAAGGUCUCCUAUGUCGGUAUUUUGUGAGAGAAAAAGCGCAAGAUUCUAGAGCGAGUUCAACAGCGACAGAAGAACAGAUUUGCGAGAGAGAAGAAGCCGAAGGAAAAAUCGAGAAGAUGCAAGAGAGAGGCUUGAGUUGAGGCAAGCAUGGACAAAUAGGUAAUCUUACAUGUAAAGAGAGGAGAAAGAACGUAGCAGGAAAGCUGUUUGACGAGAGAUUUUUCAGUGUGAUGGAACACGAAGUAGUACAUCGCAUGUCAUUAUACAAAUAGUGGGAUAUGUGUGUUAAAAAAUUAAUAACUUAAAAAUUAUAAUUUUCCACCACCUGUAUAAAAACACGUAGUGUACCAUUCGUAUUUCGGUUAGAAAAAAUUCUCCUGUUUGAUAGGGUAAUAUCGCUAAUUUAAUGCUGGUGAACAACGUUUUUCCACCAGGUGGACGGCAAGGGCAAAAACACCUUUUUACUGUGAAAAUGGCACAUAAAAAAGCAUUCGGAGGGCAUUUUCGCCCGUUUACUGCUGAUGAACGGUGUUUUUGCUUGCGUUUUAGUAUAGGUUCAACUAAAAAUUGUUACCCGCGUAUUGCUAUGGGAUUAGAAACUGUUAAAAAAAUUAUCAUAAACUAUUAAUAUUAUUUACAUUAAAAAUAUUACACGAUUUUAACAAACAAAAGAUUUAAUUUAUACAGUAUGGCUACCUAGUCUUGUUUUUUGGAGGAAAAUAAUCUGAUUUUAUCCGAAUUAGAGAGAACUUUUUUUUCAACAAUUUAAUAGUCUAAUAAAUUGAUUAUACAAAAAAUCCAUUAUAAAAAACCUAAAAACAAUAAACUAUUCACUAAGUUUUUCAUACGAAAUAGAACAAAGCUAUAGAAUAUACCUUUUCAUAGUAAGUAUUGUGAAAAAUACAACAUAGCUUGAGACAAUGGUAAUUAACGUGUUUGGAAAAGUCUACCUACGUGGUGGUGUAAUCGUCACACAAAUAAACCCUUCAAUGCCAACUGAUUGAACUCUCAAGUGUUUUUUUUUUAACAAACAAUAUUAUUUACACUAAAAGGAAUAAGGUGGGCUUAGUCUCACAACAAGAGAAGCCUUGAAAUCGACUAAGUUGGUAUUGUAACACGGUAAGGUUGGGUAGAUUUUAGAUCCAAAUGUCACUAAACAAUAUUCUGCAGAUGGCAGUGUUCUAUCUAGAUUGUCCAUGGCACGGACGUAAACUGGAUGAUAACGCAGGGCAACACUGGUACUAUACCCUAAACAUUAUCACAAGCUAUAAACAAAUAGUUAAAGUUGAUAUGUACCAAGGGUACUAAAACUCAAUCCAUUGUUUAGUAAGAAGAACCACAAAAACAAAUUAGUAAAAACCGAAAUGAUUAUCAGAUGGACACUAAGAUUUUUGUACUACGUGAAACUUUACGUCGAGAAAUGGAAACAACUUUCAGGAGACAAUUAUAAGGAUUUCCUACAAUUCUAUAAAUAAUGUAUUCUUUCACCAUUGCUUCAAUUCAAACAAAAAUUAAAAAACAGAAAAGCUAGAAGCAGGAAAAUUGCAAAUGAUCAAUAUUUUCCAAACAAAACCAACCUGCAAUGCAAUGUCCUAGUUGCAAAUUCAACUCCAAUGGUGGACUUAGACUCCAAAGAAAACUCAUUCCUCGUAAACCUCGAAAGAAUGUUCGAUUUUCCGACACCUGAAUCUCCAAUCAAUACAAUCUUGAAGAGAUAAUAAUAUUUGUGAUCCACCUUGUACGCCAUACGUUCUACUCCUCACACACACAGCACCCCACACCUGCCGAGAUCCAAAAUCCACCAAACAAAAAGCCAUUAGCAAUCAUAAAACCAAAAAAAUUAACCAAUUCUCUUGUUUUGACAGAAGGGAUAAGAAAACCGCUGAUCAGAUAGCAUUUUCUUUUACCUACGUUUGCCUUCCAAUGUGAUUUUCCAGAGAAACAAACGGAAAGUGGGUAAUCAUAAAACAAUGGCGAAAAGAAUGGUGACUAACAAAAUAGAGGAUUUUUUGAACGUUGGGCUUUGUUGUUUUUGCAUUGAAGUUUGUGGAAACAGAUGAGAGGAGAAGAGAAGAAGAAGAAGAAAAAGAUGGCGCUGUAGAAAGUUACGAACAAAACAUUAGAAUGAAAAUGCACUUAAAACAGCUUUUCACGAGGGAAAGGGCACGGAAUUCGGAGAGUCUGUGUAAAGUCAACCACCCUUCACAAGUCAUGUGCAUAAAAUUUAGAGUUUUUAUCGUAAAUGAUCUCUGAGAUUUAUCAAACUCAUCAUUUUGAUCAUUUUUUUUUUCAAAAUCAAUUAAUGUGGUCCAUGACAUUCACUAUUGCAUAUUAAUUUGGUCAUUCUGUUAAGAUUUCAUUAACUAUUCUGUUAGUUUGUAUGUGAGACCCAUGAAACUACUGAAAUGGUGACACAUGGAUUACAUAAAAUAAGGUUUUUAUCACAAAUAAUCUCUAAUAUUGAUCCAACUCCUCAUUUUGGUCACUAAGUUUCAAAAAUCAAUAAAUUUGGUCCCUGACUUUCAUUAUCGCACAACAAGUUAGUCAUUCCAUUAAAAUUUCAUCAAUAAUUUUCGUUUGUGUGCUGAUGUGGACCCACUAAUCCAAUCAUAUAGCUCCACAUGGAUUAACUAUAAGAAACUACUUUUUUUUUAAGAGUAAACCAACGAAUGAGCAUUCGGCCUGACAUUUUUCUCGCAUAAAAUCAAAUACAAAUUCAAUUCAAAUUUUGAUAAGAUCAUAACCAACUAGAAGAGUAAAUUGUAGCAAUAGUCCCUUAACUUUAUCUCAAUUAGAGCAAAGGUCCCUCAACUAAAAAUGCAUUACCAUUGGUCCCUCAUGAACUCAUCAAAAUGUGCAGCUAUGAUCUUUCAACUAAAAAUCCAUUACCAUUAGUUCCUCAACUUUAAUCCAACUGGAGAAAUGAUCCCUUAGUUUUAACUCAAUUGGAGCAAUGGUCCCUCAACUUUAACCCAAUUAUAGCAAUGAUCCUUCCAACUUAACUCAUUUUGAUAAAAUUCUAACGAAGUUGAAGUUGACGAAAACGACUAUAUCUACAUGUUUUGAUGAGUUAAGAGACCCCAAUUGUAGCCAUGAUCCUUCCAACAUAACUUAUUUUGACAAAAUUCUGACGAAGUUGACAAAAAUGACCAUAGCUACACAUUUUGAUGAGUUGAGGGACCAAUGGUAAUGCGUUUUUAGUUGAGGAGAGACCAUUGCUCUAAUUUGAUUAAAGUUGAUGGACCAUUGCUACAAUUUACUCCAACUAGAAAGAAUGAUGAGUGAAUUCAAGAGGCCAAGUACUUUAGUGGUGUCAUGGUGCCUUUUUUUUUUUUUUUUUAAGCAUACCCUGAUGAAGACGAUGAUGACUUUUUUCUUUUAGUUUUGGGUAUUAGUUUUUUAUUUUACUUUUUGUUGAUACACAAAAUCAGUGAGGACUUUGGUACAAUAGAAAGUGUUAAGUAUGUGACCUUUGCUAGAUUGCUCCGGUCACUAGUGUGGAUAAGUAUGUAAAUGGAUAGAGACAGGGAAGCAAACACAAGAUGUACGUGGUUCACCCAGAUUGGCUACGUCUACGAAGUAGAGGAGUUCUCAUUAAUUGUGAAGGAUUUACACAAGUACAUAGGUUCAAGCUCUCCUUUUGUGAGUACUAGUGAAUGAUUUAGUACAAAUGACAUUAGGAAAUAUUGUGAGAGAAUGAUCUCCUUUUAUAGAAGAGAGUUUCUAGCUUUGUUUUGACAUUGACACGUGUCGUGUUGUGUUGGCUUCUGAUGUUAACAUGUGUCGCGCUAUGAUUGGCUUCUAAUGUCGACACGUGUCGCGCUGUGAUUGAACUCCUGGUUUGAGGGAAACUCUUCUGGGUUCUUGACGGUAUAACGUUGACCGGUGCUCAGUAGUUUCGGGAUUGGUCAAGUAUGGUACAAACAGUGCUCCCCUAAGUUCCCGAGUGAGGGAAGCUCUUCGGUUAGGGACUUGCAAGAUCCAAGCCACUGAGUAAUCAUGAAACUUCUAAGUACUGAAGUGUGGUAUUGUUUUCACUUGCUUUAUUUAUCUCAUAGGUAGAUGUGGCAUCUUCUCUGAAAGUACUUUUCCUCCAUCCAGGGGUGGUAUCCUUAACUGGUGGAGAUGCAUAAGGUAAUGUAUCAAUUUCACUUAAAGCUUACUUGUAGUUUCAGGCUUGGUCAAGCGUGAUACAAACCAUGUAGUAGGAGUCUCCCAAGUCGCCGAGUUAAGAGAUCCGCCGAAAGAUGUAACAGACAAGGUAAGCAAUCAGAGCUCCCAGCAAUCAGUCCCAGAUCAGAAGUUUGAUUUCGAGUUCCGGCUGAUUGUUCUCAUUCUCCCUAUCUUGCAGGUAGCAGGAAGGAUAAAAAGAAGAAAAAUGAGAACAGAUGAUAUGAGAUACUUUUGCUUUUGAAGAAGUAACUUUCCACAUGCUUAUUCUUGAACUGGGCUGGAGGGUUUUCUGGUUUCCUCCAGAGUAUAAGGUCGACUCAAGAAUUUGAGGGUCAAAACAAGUCCAUCAAACCAAGAGUGCGUUCGACCUUGAUGAUAUGGGAUACUUUUGCUAUUGACAAAGUAAUAGAUGAAUCGACACGUGUUCUGUUGCGCUUGUCUCCACAUGCUUCCUUAUAUUCUUCUCAUUUGCCCUAUCUGUUACUCAGGUAGAUGUGGUAUCUUUUCUGGAAGCAUAAAAUGUUGAAGAUGAGUACUCCAUUGAUAAAGCUUUGUUGAAUUUCCUAAUUUUUUUUUUUUUGGAAAACUAGAAAUUUGUUGAAUUUCCCAAUUUCCCUCUUUUUUUGUUUUUUGUUUUUUUUUUUGGGAAACUAGAAAUUUAAAAAUGUGGGAGAGACAACAUAUACAAAUUUUUCUUCCACACUGUUGAGCAUGAGCUUGUGAUGCAAGCCACACCUUGUAGUAAUUGAAGGUUUGGAUGAACCAUAUAAAUUGAAUCUGCUUCAAACAGUCUUGAUCAAAAGUGUGUGAAGCUUUCUACGAGUUGUAGUUGCCCUUCAUUGAUGAAGCUUUUGUUGGCACCAUAAAUUGGUUUUGCUUCACACUGUCUUGAUCAAGAGUGUGUGAAGCUUUUGAGAAUUGUGGUUGAACUCAUUUGAUAAAGCUCUUGUUGGCAUCAUAAAUUGGUUUUGCUUCACACUGUCUUGAUCAAGAGUGUGUGAAGCUUUUGAGAAUUGUGAUUGCCCUCUAUUGAUGAAACUUUUGUUGGCACCAUAAAUUGGUUUUGCUUCGCAGUGUCUUGAUCAAAAGUGUGUGAAGCUUUUAAGAAUUAUGGUUGAACUCCUUUGAUGAAGCUCUUGUUGGCACCAUAAAUUGGUUUUACUUCACAUUGUCUUAAUCAAGAAUGUGUGAAGCUUUCUACGAGUUGUAGUGUUUGCAUUGUUACAAAGGAGAAAUGUCUGAAGCAGAUGCAAAAGGGCUGAAUAACUUGAUCUUCGUAUGCCAUGCACUAAAGUUGUUGUUGGCUUGCAAUAAGACUUUUGUUUAUACCAUACUUGACCAAUCCUGAAAUUACUGAGCACCGGUCAAUGUUAUACCGUCAAGAACCCAGAAGAGUUUCCCUCCAACUAGGAGGCCAAUCACAGCGCGACACGUGUCGAUAUCAGAAGCCAAUCAUAGCACGACACGUGUUAACAUUAGAAGCCAAUCACAACACGACACUUGUCAAUGUUAGAAUGAAACUAGAAACUCUCUUCUAUAAAUAGAGAUCAUUCUCUCACAAUAUUUCCUAAUGUCAUUUGUACUAAAUCAUUCACUAAUACUCACUAAAGGAUAGCUUGAACCUAUGUACUUGUGUAAACCCUUCACAAUUAAUGAGAACUCCUUUACUCCGUGGACGUAGCCAAUCUGGGUGAACCACGUACAUCUUGUGUUUACUUCCCUGUCCCUAUCCAUUUACAUACUUAUUCACACUAGUGACGGGAGCAAUCUAGUGAAGGUUACAAACUUAACAUUUUCUGUUGUACCAAAGUCCUCACUGAUUUUGUGCAUCAACAUUUGGCGCCGUUUGUGGGAAACGACACGAAAAACUAUGUCGGUUCUCUUUCAUUUGUCCAUCUCACCACCGUGAGAUCUCACCACACUCCAUCGUGAAUCUGCAGAAACCCAAAACCUCCCUCCUUGGGCUUUUCCAGAAACCCCCAUAAACACAAAGCUGCUCGUCCCUCCCUUUUACUUUCUCUCUGUGAAAACUCCAAAUUCGGAAAAGCUCUCUUUCUCUCUCUCUUUUUCUUUUUCCGUAAAGAAUAAACUUCUGGAGAAAAGGAAAAAAAGAAAGGAAUGUCGAUCUAAACUCACUUCCCAUACUAACAAUUCGCAAAAACCCAAACAAAAAAAUACGUUCUUUUUCCCAUUACAGAGAAAGAAAGAGGAGAGAGAGUGAAUGAUUGAGUUGCCAGUUUUGAGAGAGGGAGUGAUAUGGGUGGGGUGACAUCGUCCAUGGUGGCUAAGUCCGCCUUUUUCACACCGAACCCACCUUCCUACAAGUUUAUCACAGACGACCAUACCGGCCUCCUGCUUCUCAGCCCCUUCCCUCACCGGGAAAAUGUGGAGGUUCUGAAACUGUCGACCCUCCAUGGCAUUGAGGUUGUGGCCAUCCACAUUCACCACCCUUUGGCCAUUUCCACACUGCUCUACUCACACGGCAACGCCGCCGAUCUAGGCCAUAUGUACGAGCUCUUCAUCGAAUUGAGCAUCCACCUGCACGUCAAUCUCAUGGGGUACGACUAUUCGGGGUAUGUGCAAUCAACUGGAAAGGCAAGUAAGGAGAAUACAUAUGCAGAUAUUGAAGCUGCAUAUAAGUGUCUUGAAAAAUGCCAUAAUAUCAAAGUUCUUUCACGUCCCCCAAGGUUUUCUUCACUGAUUCCAUCACUGAAUCUGAGAAAUAAAAGAGAAAAUAAACUUAGAGGGUGUGAGGGUGGCAGAUCUAGACAGCAAAAAUUCCAAGUUCGGAGAUUUCUCUCGCAUGAGCUCAAGCAGCUCAUCCGCAACGUCCGGCGAUGGAGCACACAAAACUCGAAGGAGAGGAAAUGUUGGAGCACUCAGUGUCUGGGUCCUUCUCUUUUCCAUUAUUGUCAGAACCCUCUCAAUAUUGUGGAAUAUUUUGACAGACACAAUCGGGGAGGAACGUGCGAGAGGAAUAUUUUUUACCAUACUUUCUUGGUCUCUGGUACUUUGAGAUAUCAUCUGAAGCUUUACCCAGCAACCAUGUGAUAAGUUCAGUAUACUCAACAAUAUUUUGACCAUACUUUCUUGGUCUUUAGGGUUGUUGUUGGUACAAUCAUGUGAGAUGGAUCUGCUAUUGUCGACCACCCACAUGGAAAAAGAUAAGAUGCUCUCCUUUAAUAUCUCAUCAUUAUGUUUUCUCAAUAUCAUUUUUUAUUUAAUACCUUAUUAUUUUAUUUAUGUCAUGAUGAUUAAUUAUAAAAUAAUAAUUUUAUUAUUUUUAUGUCAUGAUGAUUUAUGAUUAAAUAAUAUAAUUUUUAUUUUUGUUAUCACAUGAUUACUACCACAUUAUUGAUUUAUACAACAUGUGAUUUAUCACAUAACAGAAUAAAUCAUUUAUUCACAUAAGGCACACAGUACAAUAUUUUUGCCUUGACAAACUUUGUCAAUUUGAUUUAUUCAUUAUACGGUUAUACUUACACUAUCAUUUAUUGUUAGGAAUUAUUGAGUAACUAGAUUCACUGAUCAACAUUGUUGUUGGGACACCCACUUGCUCGGACAUUCGCUUAUUGGGACACCUAUGUGCCCGGACCCAACUCGAUGACCCUACAGAUAGCCCCAACUCAAUGACCCUAGAGAUAGCCUAAACUCGAUGACCCUACGUAUGGCCCUAACUCAAACCCGACUUGCGGACCCGAUCCGCGGAUUCGACAUAUAGACCCAAUAUGCGAACCCGACAAGCAGACCCGAGUCAUGUCGAGAAUCAACUCAUAUUGACUGCAUGUCGACAUAAAAUAGAUACUUGCAAUGAGGAAUACCACGAGCCGAGCUGCCUCGUAGCCAACAUAGCCUCUAGCCGAGCCGCCUCGCAACGAGCAUCGCCUCCAACCGAGCAAACGCCUCGCCGCGAGCAUAGCCUCUAGCCAAGCAACCUCACAAUAAGCAUCGCCUCCAGUCGAGCAGUCUGGUAACGUGUGAUACCUUUAGCCGAGUAUUGCUUUAUGUUGAGCAUUGCUUUGGGUUGAGUAUUGGUUCAAGACAUCUAGCCACUUCGGCUAGUACAUGGAUUGGAUUUAAAGUCUCCAACCAAAUGACUCUCUUGACUGAAGACUUGAGGGACUACUGUUGGUACCACACAUAUUGGGCCUCAGACUUUGAUACAUUGGGCCUUAUUACCCAGCCCAUAUGAUUAUGUAAAAGGAGGAGCCCAUUAUUCUAUAAAAAGUGACUCAUUCCCCCUCACGAAUCGGACUCGGUAAACCCAAUAGAAGGCAAUACCCUCACAAACACAACAACACUCUCUUCCUCAUGGGGACUCCCAUCACCUUUGUAAUCCAUACAUACAGUCAGAGAAAUACAAUCAAUGUGGACGUAGCCCAAACCUUGGGGUGAACCACGAUACAUUUCGUGUUAUUUACAUUUCAUGCAGAUUCACGGUCGGAUUUACGUUGUUCCAAGACCUCCGGUUUUGUGCAUCAACAACUUUGUUGGUGACUAUAACUCUUGUUGGGCAUAAGUGCUCCCCUAGUUGAGUUGUCAAGCUUGAGGGUUUUUUAUUAUUUGUGAAUGCUAGGAGUUCACAUAUACAAGUUGUAUCACUCGUUUUCUAGUAGGUGGAAUGAAUGGUGAGUUGCUUUCAUCACUUGGUUGGUGGUACGAAGGUGAGUUCCUUCAUCACCUUUCAUCACAUUUCAUCACCUGGUUGGUGGCACGAAGAUGAGUUCCUUCUUCACCUGGCUAGUGGCAUGAAUGACAAGUUGCCAAAUGAUAUUAGAGUACAGGUUGUACAUUUCAUCACCUGGUUAGUAGCAUGAAAGAGAGUACGAGUUGUACAUUUCAUCACCUAGUUGGUGGCAUGAAGGAGAGUACGAGUUGUACAUUUCAUCACCUGGUUGGUGGCAUGAAGAUGACUUCCUUCUUCACAUUUCAUCACCUGGUUGGUAAGAAUAAAGGCAAGGUGUCGAGGCACAUUGUAGCAAGUGUCGAAUGACAAAAAUAUGUUGAACCCUUUCGAAGCACAGUUGGCUUGUGUAUGAAUGUGUUGGAAUGUAUGAUUGAACGAAUAUACUAUGAAGCUGUUCGUUUAUUUGUAUAGUCUUAUUGACAUAUACUUAGAUUUAGUUUCAUGUUAGAAACAUUCAUGUUAAAGCUUUGAACCCGAGCGUUUCAUUGCUAAGAAUGUAAGAGGAUUACGACUGAGUUGUCUAAAUCACCUCUUUAUUGAAUUCAUGCCAAAUAGUCUUCGUUACAUAGGAUGUCGAAUGGCUGCAGUUUAACACUUGUACAAUGUGAGUUUACUUGUAAUAGUACUUCAAGUGAUCAUCAUUCCAUGGAUGGCCAAGUAUCUUGCCAUCGGAGCUUCUAAGCUUGUAGGAGCCAGGGCGACUGAUGCCAACAACUUCAAACGAUCCAUCCUGGUUUGGACUAAGUGUUCCUUCACUCGGGACUCUGUCUUAGAGUAAUUUUUUCUUCAAUACCCAGUCCCCCACUUUGAAAGAACAUGGUUUGACUCUUGAGUCAUAAUAGUUGGAGAUAUGCUGCUUGUAGGCGACAUUCCUCAAGUGAGCCUAGUUUCGGUGUUCCUCGACUAGAUCUAAGUUGAGGGUAAGUUGUUUGUCAUUUUCGCUUUGCACGUAGUUCUAAACUCAGAACGUUGCUUGCUCAAGCUCAACUAGGACAACUGCCUCUGUACCUAAGGCAAGUGAGAAUGGGGUUUCUAUUGUUAAUGUCCGAUACGAAUUGCGGGUACAAAUUCUGGCCAUCAACCUUUAGCCUUGUCCAAGCUGGUUUUCAAAGUUCACUUGAUUAUUUUAUUGAUGGCUUUGACUUGUCCAUUAAACUAUGGAUGAGCUGGGGAGGCAAAACAUAAGUUGAUGUUGAACUUAGAGCAGAACAUCAUGAACUUAUUAUCGUCGAACUUUCGCCCGUUGUCAGUGACUCUCGCAUUGGGAAUACUGAAUUUACAAAUGAUGUUCUUCCAUACGAAGUCUUCUAUUUUUGCCUCAGUAAUGGUUGCUAAGGGUUCUACUUCGGCCCACUUUGUGAAGUAGUCAACUGCAACAAUUGCAUAGCGGACCUUGCCCUUCUCUGCAGGCAUUGGGCCGAUCAAAUCAAGUUCCCAUUAGACGAAGGGCCAAAGGCUGAUCAUAGGAAUGAGCGGCUCGGGAGGGGAGUGAGGAAUAAUUAUGUAGCGUUGACACUUAUCACAUGAGCGGGAUAUUCUGAUGGCAUCUUGGUGGAGUGUUGGCCAAUAAUAUCCUUGGUGAAAAGCUUUGUGUGUUAGGGAUCGAGAUCUAGCAUGAUCUUCGCAGACUCAUUUAUGUAUUUCCGGAAGGACAGUUUCCGCCUCUGCGGGCGUAAGGCAUCUUAGGUAUGGUAGGUUAAAAUCCCGCUUGUAGAGUUGGUCAUUAAUGAUCAAGUAACGGGUAGCCUUGUAUCAAAUCUGCUUAGCUUGGACUUUGUCAUUUGGAAGGGUGCCAUGAGCAAGGAAUCUAUAAAUCGGGGUAAUUAACUAUCCCCCUGUUGUAAGUUGCACACUUCCGCAUCCAUGGUGUUUGGUGUUGCCAACAAUUCGACCUGAAUUGUUUUCCUAAUCUUUUCUUCCACUGCUGAGGUGAGCCGAGCCAAAGCAUCUGCAUGACUGUUUGACGCUUGAGGAAUUUGGGUGAUCUGGUAGUGGAAGUGCUUGAGCAACAAUUGUGUUUGUGCCAGAUAUGCUGCCAUGGAGCUAUCCUUAGCAUCAAAGUUGUUAGUGACCUGGUUAACCACCAAUUGGGAGUCACUAAAUAUAUCAAUUCGUUUAACCUCAAGGUGUUUGGCCAAACAUAAGCCUUCUAUGAGGGUUUCAUAUUCGGCCUCAUUGUUCGAUGCCUUGAAUUUGAAACGAAGAGCAUACUUCAUCGCCACUUUGUUAAGGGUCGUAAGGACUAGUCCUGCUCCACAACCCUGUUGGUUGGACGAGCCAUCAACAUAUAGACUCCAUGUUGGGGCUGUUGGUUAUAUUUUAUGAGCUUCCGAGGGUACUGAAACCACUUCUUUAGGCGUAGAAACAAUGUCAACAGGAUAUGUGAAGUCGGCAAUGAAGUCUGCCACUGCUUGGCCCUUCUCAGCUGGCUUUGGUUGGUAGGAGAUGUCAAACUCACCUAAUGUUAUCGCCCAUUUGAUCAUUCACCCAGAAGUGUCAAGACUUUGAAGUAUCUGUCGAAGAUGAUGAUUGGUAAGCACGAUGAUGGAAUGUGCUUGAAAGUAAGGGCGAAGUUUUUUAGCAGACAUGACCAAUGCUAGAGCCAAUUUCUCAAUGUUGGAGUAUCGUGUCUCCGCAUCUUGUAAGGCCUUGCUAGCGUAGCGGACAUGCCGUUCGACAUUACCAUCAUUUCGAAUGAGAGUGAAACUUACUGUUGAAAUCAAUACCGACAUAUAGAUAAUGAGAGUGUCACCAAGCUCAGGUUUGUAGAGCAGAGGGACUUUACUCAUGUAGUCAUUGAAUGCCUCGGCACAUUCAUCAGUCCAUGUAAUGUACUUCUUACUUCCCUUAAGUGUUUUGAAGAAAUGAGCACAUCUAUCUGUGGCCUUAGAGAUGAACCUAGUUAAGGCUGCCACCUUGCCAGUAAGGCUUUGGAUGUCUUUUGAAGUUACUGGUUCCUUCAUGUCGAGGGUUGCUUUGAUCUUCUAGGGAUUAGCCUCGAUGGCUUAUCAUGAAGCCUAAGAAUUUGCCAGAGCCUGCGCCGAAGGCACAUUUGUUGGGGUUCAACCUCAUUCAACACCUCUUCAGAAUGGUGAAAGUUUCAGAUAGGUUGGUGAUGUGUUGGUCAGCAUGUUUGCUCUUGACUAGCAUAUCAUCAACGUAAACUUCCAUGCUCUUCCUAAUCUGUUCGGCGAACAUUGAAUUGACUAGUCUCUAAUAAGUCGUCCCUGCAUUAUUUAGGCCGAAUGGCAUGACUUUAUAGCAAUAUAGUCCCCUGUCAGUAGUGAAGGUUGUGUGUUCUUGGUUCGAAGGGUUCAUGAGGAUUUGGUUUUAUCCUGAGUAAGCAUCCAUGAAGCUCAGGAGUUCACACCCUGCUGUAGAGUCUAUAAGUCUAUCAAUGAGAGGAAGAGGAAAGCUAUACUUCAGGCAUCCUUUGUUUAGGUCGAUAUAGUCGACACACAUUCUCCACAAGACCUUUUGGAGCAUGAGACUUUCUUUGGUUGAGUUUUUCUUAACAAUGAUCACAUUUGCUACUCAACUUCUGCCUUCAUUGCUUCUUAUCAUUCAGCGUCAUAAGAUCUUCGCUUCUGUCUCACCGGCUUGGUCUUGGGGUCAAUACUCAAGCGAUGACACAUGAUAUCGGGAAAGAUGCCUGGCAUGUCCUCGUAUGACCAGGCGAAGACCUCAGUGUUCUCUUGCAAAAAGAGAUCAAUGUCAUUCGAAUGGGUGGUGACAAGGUGGUGCCAAUCUUCACCAUGUGAUCUGGAUAAUCUUUUAAUAUAGAAACCUUCUCCAACUCUUCAUCGGGUUGUGCUUGCUGAGUGAAAGAGUCAUCUCGAGGAUCAUCGGGUUGACUGUUACCACCGUGAAGAUCUAAGUUAGCUUUGUCCGGGCUGGUCUUUAUGACUUGGUCAUGUAUAGAAAAGGUUUCCUUGGGCACAUGCAGGUGUUGUUGUUUGACCGAAGUGUUGUAACAUGAUCGUGCACUAAGUUGAUCUCCACUGAUGUAACCAUUGCCAUAGGGGGUUGGAAAUUUCAUCAACAACAUAUGUGUGGAUACUAUGACCUUGAGAUCAUUGAUGCAUGUGCGUCCAAAGAUGACAUUGUAUGCCAUUGGACAAUCAACUACCAGGAAGUUAGUGGUAAUGGUAGUUGUGUAAGGGCCUAUACCAAUGGUGAAAGGUAAGUGUAUGCUCCUUAUAGGUUGCACGAUAUCACCGGAAAAGCUUAUCAGAGGAGAAAUCGAGCGAUCGAGCAAGUGUUCAGCUACAUUAAGUGCCCUGAAAGCUUCAACAAACAUGAUAUUGACCGAAGCCCCAGUGUCUACCAAGAUUCGUCGUACUUCAAAGUUGGCUAUGUAAGCCUCCACGAUCAGUGGGUCGUUAUGAAGGUAGAUGAUACCUCUUUCUUCCUCAGGGUAGAAACAUAUUGGAUCCCAGUUAGGCUUUUGAUAAUUACCUCCCUUGAUGUCUUCCACAUGAAACACUUGGUGGCCAGGCCUUAAAGCUUGUUCACUAUUUUUCAUGGCCCUAUUAGAAGAUUCAGAUAUGGGUGUGUCGCCGCUUAUGGAAUAUAUCAUAUUCACUUGGCGUUGGUUACGGUUAUCCCUUGAAUGGUGAAAGAGGAAUCAAUCAAUUUUUCCUUCACACACCAAAUCUUCAAUAUGAUUAUGAAUGGUGAUACACUUCUCGCCGUCAUGGCCGUUAUGCUCGUGGUAGCAGCAAAACGUGCUCGUGUUCUUCGUGGGCUUAUAAACCGACUACCUCGGCAUUGGCUUCGGUAUCAAAUGUGCUAUGCUGGGGUAAAUGGCCACGCAUGUGGCGUUUAAAGGUGUGUAUGUCUUAUAUCUCGGAGUAGGGCCUGUCCUGACACGUGCUUGGCCCACUGUGUUGACUGCCUGAGGGCGGACAUUAUUGUGGCGAUACCAUUGGUUAUCGCGAUAGUGUCCCAUACUCCUUUUACUAAAAUGAGACUAGUGAGGAUGUAAAUAUUUCCUUUUGCCCUGAGAUUGAUAUGUCUGUUGACUUGGCGAAGUAUUAAGUAAGGUAGGGGGAGGCACCGCUGCCGUUUGGAAGGUCGAGGUCUUCUCAUUUGGUUGGAUCUGGCUUCCACUCCCUACUUGCUGAUAAGGGGUAGCUGUGGGGGGUUUCCCUUGAUAUGUCAUUGCCUCAGUGGAGGCAUGGUUGUAAGCAUGUGCCAUCACUUCAUAGUAAGUCUUCCAAGUGUUGGCAUUGAUCAUGUACUUGAAGAAACAAUCACAUAGGCCUGCCGUGAAGGCUUUGAGGACAGUCUUGUCGUCUGCCUCGGCACAACGGGAAUACUCAUGGAUGAAACGGCCAGCAUACAUACGUAAUGACUCGUCUAGCUUCUGGCGAAUAGUGUACAAGUCAUCCGCAAAGUGCAAGCGAUCGGUCUGGAAAAUGUGUUGAAAAACAAACAGUUUUCUCAAUUCUUCAAAUGAGUCUACCAUCUCAGGUAGAAGACGAUAAUACCAGUUUAGAGCUCCGUUAGAGAGGGUGGAGGGGAAGAGAAGACAUCGCUCUUCGUCGGUGUGUAUCUGGUAUGCCAUGGUGGACUCAAAGAAGUUAAGGUGUUCAAUCGGGUCCUCCUUUCCAGUAUAGAGUUGCAAGCCAUCUUUGCUUGGAGGGGUUGUCGAGGAUCCUUCUUAUAAGAGGGUCAGGCCUAGGUUGGUUCCAAUCAGGUAUCUCAGCUUGUCGUUUGGCCUUUAACUUGUUUACUUCCUUAAGGCUGUAAGACAAGAAUAUCCUGAGUGGAGUCAUGUAACACUAGAGCUUUCUUUUGUAAAUCUCCAUCUCCUCUUGGAAGUAGGAAGGUUUGAUCAAGAGCAUGUGAUUUUUCCCGGGACUAGCCGUACUGACUUCCAAGGUAUGUCUGUCAAAACAUCUCUGAGUCCCUUAUACCUUCGUGUUUCUCUAGGACUUGUUGCCUAUUCCCCAAAUUGGUAGUCGGCCUGGGACAUGGGAGGGGACCGAGUCUUUCAGAGACCCUUGGGUCAUUGAUCUUCGAGCUUUCAUGGAUGGGAUUGUCUCGACGUUGCUUUAGGAAGUCUCGAUAGUCGUGAAAGACGGCUUUAGAUCCUUACACUCCUUCUGUAAGAAGCUGCUUUCCUCCACUCCUCUUGCUUCGGAUCGAAGCAGCUGGGUUGAGAGAAAUCUCAUGUCGGUCUCCAUUUCGAUGAGUAGCUCGCUCCUCAACAAGAAUACCCAUGUCGAUGACAAAUGACCCUCCGUGUUGGGGGGCACCCAAGUGAUGGUUGACUUCUACAAGGGCGAUGAGCUUGUGUGUAUUAGUAUAUCUAGCCUCAUGGAGCAUCUCGAAGACCUUCUCAUACUGCUCUUGGAGGAUCUCAUUCUUCAUCGCUAUCUUGUUAUUCUGAGCCUCCAGCUCAUCGACUUUAGCCUGAAGAGCAAACUUCUUUUGUUCCUUCUUUCGUUGCUUCGCACUAGGAGCAAGAUGGGUGUCAUUCUGUGUGUUGUGGCUUCCUUCGCUCCCCAUGUUGGAAAGGGAUGCCUGGUCAAAAGAGAGUGUACGAAUGGUGGAAACCAACUUAACAAAGCUGAAAAGAGUGGGAAUAAGUGUCGUUCCCAAAGAUGGCGCCAAAUGUUGAUGCACAAAAUCAGUGAGGACUUUGAUAAAAUAGAAAAUGUUAAGUUUGUGACAUUUACUAGAUUGCUCCGAUUACUAGUGUAGAUAAGUAUGUAAAUGGAUAGAAACAUGGAAGCAAACACAAGAUGUACGUGGUUCACCCAGAUUGGCUACGUCCAUGGAGUAGAAGAAUUCUCAUUAAUUGUGAAGGGUUUACACAAGUACAUAGGUUCAAGCUCUCAUUUUGUGAGUGCUAGUGAAUGAUUUAAUACAAAUGACAUUAGGAAAUAUUGUGGGAGAAUGAUCUCCUUUUAUAGAAGAGAGUGUCUAGCUUUGUUUUGACAUUGACACGUGUCGUGUUGUGAUUGGCUUCUGAUAUUGACAUGUGUUGCUGUUGACCCUAAAAACUACCAAGCCUACGUGGCGCGCAGGCUGAGUAAUAUAUAAGUUAACAACGUCAUUCGGUGAAUGCGGGGCAUGCCAACUCGUCGGUCGAGCUCGGCUGAUGAGUAAAUUUGUUGAUGUUGCGUUGGGUGCGCUGCUGACUUCUUGAUCUUGUGAUUAUGGCUGAGGAAGGAACACGUCUCAGCCUUCGGGUUCUAGAGCCUGAAGACAAGGCUGUUAACUUAACAAAGUUCAAUAUCCAAUUUGACUUCCAAUGUGCCGAAUGUAGUAACUCGUAACACCUCACUUCGCCGAGAAGGCUGAUGAGAUGACCUCGACCAAUAAGGAUUCAGAAAUCCUUCUCGACCGAGACUUGGAUAGGUAAUCAACCAUCCUCGCCGCAGUGGUGUUGAUGCCAACGGAAGAUGCUGCGAGAUCGGCUGAUUCUACGGUGACAGAGCUAUCUAUGCCGACUUAAGAUAUCACUAGUUGCUUUCACAGUGCUAUUGAUGCCAACGAAAGAUGUGUCAGCGAAAAGAGAAAAUAAAAAUCUCAGUUGUUGAGAGAGUUUACGCAGGGCAGUUGUGUGUUGAAUUCGAGGUCCCUUGAACGUUGCCUGCGACUCUGUAUUUAUAGUGACAAAUACGCACUGGUUGAUAAGUUGAGAAAGACUCCCAAACUAUUAAAACUCAUCUUAUCUCAUCGAAUCCAAGAUAAUCUGCAUGCUUGGAUAACAUCCAUCUAAUCAACCACCCAAUAUAUAUAUAUAUAUAUAUAUAUAUAUAUAUAUAAACAAAGUUUGCACCUUUCCAAUGAGUUGGCAGACCUAAUGUUGCCAAUUAUAUAUAUAUAUAUAUAUAUAUAUAUAUAUGGCUGAUAGCUUUUGACACGGCAUACAGGUCAUGUCCAUCAUCAAUUCACUUCAUCUUACAACAUUCCCUUAGGUCUCCUAUCUCAUCCUCACCUCAUCAACAAUAGCCAUCAUCAUUUUGAUCAAAUGAAUUUUAAAUUCAUUUUACUUCCAAAUGCUGUCAGACAUCCCAAAUCAAUUCGAAUUGUACUGCUUAUUCGGGAUAUGAAUCGCAUUCUAUUUAUCCGGUUUAAGAAGAUACCGAAAUAAUUCAUAUUAAAAGAUAAUUAUAAUAUUAUCCUUUAAUAAUCAAAUUAUCUCCACUUUCUCAUUUGGCGGUCGAGAAUCAUGCCCACUCAACGGCCUCGAUCGCUUGGGCCGAUGAUGUAAAAUCGGGUCCAAACAGUUGCGCUAUGAUUGGCUUCUGAUGUUGACACGUGUCGCGCUGUGAUUGGCCUCCUGGUUUGAGGGAAACUCUUCUGGGUCCUUGACGGUAUAACGUUGACCGGUGCUCAGUAGUUUCGGAAUUAGUUAAGUAUGGUACAAACACUUUUAGUUUUAAAUCUUUAAAAAAAAAUGGUUUCUUAUAGCUAAUCAACAUGAUGCCAUAUGAUUGGAUUAGUGGGACAAAAAAUAAUGACGAUACUUUAAUGAAAGGAUUAAAUUAGCAUGCCAAAUUUAUCGAUUUUUAAAACUCAGAGAUCAAUGUUAGAGACAAUUUGCGAUAAAAAUUCUUAUUUUGUAUUAUCCACGUUUCACGAUUUCAUUGGAUUUAAGGAUCCCACGUACAAACUAACAGAAUAGUUGACGAAAUCUUAAUGGAAUACCAAAUUGAUGUGCGGUAGUAAAUGUCAACGACGGCAUUGAUUGUUUUUUAAAGUGAGGAACCAAAAUGAUGAGUUUGAUCAAUCUCAGUGACUAUUUGUGACAAAACCCUAAAAUUAAAGUCCAUUCUCAAUGUGGACUUAAGUCAUCUCCGACCAGAGGUUAUGUAUAGUUUCUUAAUCAAUUAUUGGUUUUAAGUUUACUCUUUAAAUUUAUUAAGUACUACUUAAAUCAUAUGAAAAUAAGGUUCUCGGAACAUGAUUUUUUAAGGUGAAUAGAAGAGAAAAUGAAAUAAAAUAAGCCAAGAUAGUAAAAAUUAAGUAGAAUCAUGUUUUUAAAAACGGGGUCCUGAUUUACAGUCUAUAAUUUAUUUCUAAGAGCUGCGCCUCUUUUUUCAAUUAAAAUACCUAUAAUAUGCGGUCUGUAUCUUGAACUUUUUUCUGAUUACGUAAUCAAAGCUAAAUCCGACUCUAAAUCAUGUUUUCUAAUUAAGUAAAUUAUGGUCAAAUCAGGCCAUGUUUUUAUCUAAACAGAAAAGCAUGAUUUCCCUCGUGAGUUUUUGAGGUGCAUGCACUCUUUCGUCCACUCAGCUGUCAAGAAACCCAGAAAGCUCCGCUACAAACCACAGCAAAUCGACGAAAUUAUGUCAAGAAUUAGGACUUUGCCUGAAACCCAGAAAAGCUCUGUCGCAAACCACCGCAAAGACCAGGAAUUAGAUGCCCCUGUUCACCUGGGUUCUUAAUCUUGGUACUGAAUCUACUGUUUUCUUUCACCCUUUUUUGGUUCUGAUUUUUGAUACUGUGAUAAUUUGCUGCUCAAAUUUUACCGUUUGGAGAAGAAGAGGAGAGAAAGAUUCUUGGGUUGUUGGGAAGGCAGGGAAGAAGAAGGAGAAGGUCAGAUUCUUUCGAGCCCAACCAUUGGAUCUGCAGACUACUGUAGCUACUGGGCCCCAGCCAACGGGCUGGGCAUAAGGCAAAGCUCGCUAGCCCGAUAGCCCUUUGGUCAUGUUUUAACCUAAUGGGCUCCAUUAAAUUUUUGCCAAGCUUUCAGUUAAAGAUGAAUUUUGUGCAAUUCAGGCCAAAUUUUGGCCUUUUAGAUCUCUCAAUUAGAGAUGGCCUUAGGGCAUAUGUUUGUAGCCCACAGAAAAGCUCCAUCAGGGUUUCCUAUCACCCACACUAUUCUCUCUCUACACACUCAUGUACAGGGGUGGACUAUUCAUUGACUCGGAUGGUCCCGGGACCACUCGAAAGUUUGAACAAGCGCAUGUGAGAACCUCCAAGAACCACUCAACUGUCUGGGCGUGCAUAUGUUGUGAAACAAAAGCUCUGAACCAAGAAGAAAUAUCUAAUUUCAUAGGGAGAGCAACAACACAAAGAAGACCACCAUGGCUCUGCUGUUCUUGGACAUUGGUUCCAACACAAAAGAAAGACCUUCUCGCUUCAUUUUUUUUAAUUUUGUUGUCCAAUCAAGCUAUGCCUAGCAUUUAAUUAAUAAAUAGAUGGUGUAUUACUCAUCCAAUACUUUUCAUAUCAUAAGUUUGACACCGUUAUUUGUUUUAAACUCACUAUAAAUUCAAACGAUCUCUGAAAAUAUUUCGUAAAGUACUAGGAACUCUUAAGCACUUGAACUUUCAUCUCAUACCAUUAAAUUCAAUCAAAUAUUAAAGAGAUGGUGUAUUACUCAUCCAAUACUUUUCAUAUCAUAAGUUUGACAUCGUUAUUUUUUUUUAAACUCAAUAUAAAUUCAAACGAUCUUUGAAAAUAUUUUGUAAAAUACUACGAAAUCAUAAUCACUUGAACUUUCAUCUCAUACCAAACUCUCAAUACAAGUAUAGUUUUUUUUUUUUUAAGUGUAAAUAGACACUUAUUUAUAUGAUAUAUAAUAAAUUUACUUAAAUUCUCAUACGCCCCGUUUAGAUGAAUAGGUGCUAGGUUUUAGCUCACCGGCCGACUAGCGCCUAGCGUAUCUUGGUUAGGAUCACCUGAUAUUAGAAUCCUGGAUCCGACACUGCUUAUGUAGUUAUGUUUAAUCAUAUUGAUUGACUAUUAGUUUUAUCUAAUCGGUAGAAAGAAGAAGGGAAUGCCAGUUAUCAUUUAUUUUGAAGAAAAUUAGCGAUGUUUCAUGAACUCGUAAUAUUUUUUCAAUUUUUGUUACGAAUUUACAAGCGCCCAUUAUUAUUAAUGUUCUAAAUUACCUCUAUCAUCUUCAUUUAUCACGUUUUCUGCCAGUUAAAAGCAUGUACAAAAUUAAUCAAGAGAGUUAAUAGUCAUGUUUAAAAUAAUUAUUAGAACUCGGAACCAAUUAAAGUUCAAAGGAUAAAUCAAAAGAAUGCCCCAAAUUCAAGGGGCAUUGCUAACUGUUUAAAGGAUUAAAAUGAUUCAUAAACAAUUUGAAAGUCAAAAGAUAAAUCGGAUUGAGCCCCUAACUUCAAAGGCAAAGGGCAGUUGCUAGCAUUUUCCUUUUUAUUUUUCACGUGUGAUAUUAUCAAAGUGCAUUAGUAUACUAUACACGGGAUCUUUUCAAUUUAUUUUUUUUUGUUCAUCAAACAUACACGCUUUCUUGAUACUUGUAAUAAUAUUAACCUGUUUCAGGAUCCAGUUUCAAAAUUCAAACUUGAUAAGCUUAGCAAAAAUAAAUGAGUAAUCUGACAACAAUAACAAGACGGAAAGAGAUGGCAAAAUUCGGGAUUAGGGUGUUGACUUUAUGCCUACAUAUGGCAAAAUGCAAAUGUUGAUUCACAAAAUCAAAGACGGGUACAAUACAACGUGUGAAAAUUAUGCAUUUUAAAUGUUUUCCAACAAAAAAAAUAGCAUGGCAAUUGGCAAAUGUAAAUUACUGGUUAGAAGAUAGAUUCUGUUCAUCUUUUUCUUUUUCUUGCUCAACUUCUAGGCUUCCACGAAACCCUAAUGGCUCUAGUUCAAUGGUUUCUCAUGCUUCUCAGCCUCACCUGGACUUUGAUUGUUGAUGUUACUCGUUCAGCUCCUCACGACGAUGCCGGAAAGGCAUGCGAUUUUUUUUUCUUCAUUUCUUUUUUCUAUAAUUGGCUUUUUAGUCUUGACUAUUAGUUAUGAUGUUGAUAUUCGACAAAUGUUGCAGCGUUCAUAUUGUGUACAUGGGCGACAAGCCUGUUGUGCCUUGGUCCGUUCAUCAGUGCGGAAACGAGAUUCAAAUUACAACCUCACCAAAAUCACACUCAGUUGAACAGAAUAAAAUACAAGAAAUAAAGACACCGAAAAAUUUACGAGGUUCGGCAAAAACCUGCCUACGUCCCCGGAGAGAUAUUACUCUUCAUUAUGAGAAUAACAGUACAAGUACACAUGAGUUAAAUCGACAUAACCCAAUCCCAAAUCCCUUGUACAACCACUCAUAGAAUUUUCCCAAGAGCCUCACUCUACCCCAAGAGUUCUUUCACUAGAAUACUUUUCACUCUAGCUCUCUUGAUUUUCUCUCAUCCAUGCCCAUGCUUUCCCAUGGGAGAGCCGAAUGCUCUCCCCCUUGGAUGCUCUCUGAUGUUUUCGUUAUACCUUCUCAGGAGAGAGUCGAAUGCUCUCUAUCUCCCUUCGGUUCUUAGCAAAAUAAAUAGCAAAAGAAAAAAGGAAUCAACUUUCCCUUUUUCCACAAACAUCAUCAUUAAAGUAAAAGCAAUCAUCAUCAUUAUGUUUUUACUCAUGAUGAUGUCCACCAAACUUUUGCUUUUAUUUGUCUGCAAUUUUCAUGCAACCCACACCAUGUGAUAUUUCCACCGAAAGCAAACACAGGUCACUUCAUUGUUGUUAACACAUGACUCAUAAUUACUCACAAAUGUAUCAGCCAAACACAACAAAGCCAUAGCGCGAGAUUUCCCCCACCACAUUGCAUGUUCACGUAAACAUGCUACAAAUCGUAGUUGGCAGCAAUUAUUAAGGGUAGUAGUGUAAAAUGAUGCUUAAGUAAAGUUGCUAGAGUUGUGAGAAGUUUGUUAUACUUUACUUAGCUAGUAAGAUAGGUAGUGAGCAUAAAUGUAAAUGAUGGUAUAUAUAUACCAAGUGUAAUAUUAUUCAGAAUAAUACAAUUCACAAUUUUAUUUCUUGUCUCUCUCUCUAAACUUUCUUACUAAAUCUCUCUCUAAACUCUUACAUGGUAUCAUUCGUCGGUGUCUAACGACCUCCGACGAUCAUUCGUCUCUCUGCAUCCUAUGUGUUCUCUCAUUUUGCUUCUUGUCGCUAACAACAAUGGCGGUAUCUUCUUCGUCUUCCUUUGAUUCUACCUCGCAGCCAUCUCCUGCAGAUUCUUCGACCCCAAAUUUGUGCCCUAAUUCGGUCAGUUCUUCGAUUACUAUUCAGAAUAUUGGUUCGCUGGUUCCGAUCAAACUGACAACUACAAAUUGGAUCACCUGAAGUGCUUUAUUUGCACCGAUUUUUCGCCGGUACAAUCUCACUGGUCUCAUUGAUGGAUCUCUGGUGGCCCCGCCCAUGUAUCUUCUGGAUUCUUUAGGAAAUCGCACUUCGAUUGUGAAUCCUCAAUAUGUCACUUGGUUUGAGAACGAUCAAAACAUUCUGAUCUGGAUCAACUCGACACUCUCGGAUUCUCUGAUUCCCUACACUGUUGGUGUUACCUCUGCUCGAGAUCUGUGGGCAAAACUGGAAUCUCAUCUUGCUACAGCAUUGCAAUCACACAUUCAUGAACUACGCUAUCGUCUUCACACGAUUACCAAAGAUGACUCCACUGCGGCUACUUAUCUUUAACAAAUUGAAGAAAUUGCGGAUGCUCUUGUAACUGCUGGUGCUCCGAUUGCUGAUUCGGAACUCAUCUCUUCUUCUUCAUGGAUUACCACCUGAAUAUGAUGCCUUUGUUGACACUAUUCAAUUUCGUCUUGGUUCCACUACUAUUGAUGAGUUAUAUGGUUUACUGCUUAGUAAGGAGAUUCAAUUGGCAAAUCGCAAGAAGGUUUCUUCAUCCAUGCCAUUUCAAGCAUAUCAUUCUUCUGCUGGCAUUCUUCCUACACCACCUGGUGAUUUUACUUCUCAGGUGUACUAUGUUUCUUCUCAUGGUCGUGGCUUCGAUUGGAAUUUUUCUAAUCCUAGAAAUUUUCAGAAUUUCUCUCGCCAAGGUCAGAAUUUCAGUCGCCAAGGUUCGAAUUUCCCUCGCCAAGGUCAACAUUUCUCUCACCAGGGUCAACAGAAGAAUAAUCGUGGCUCCAGACCAACUAUCCAUAAUUUCAAUAGAAGAAAUUCUUGUCAAAUUUGCCGUCAAUCUGAUCAUGAGGCUAUUGAUUGUCCGCAUCGUCUAAAUCCUAACUAUGGUACCAAGCAUUCACAGACUGCAUUUCAUGCUAAUACUGCUUCCAAUGUUUCCAAUGCUCUAACAUGGCUUCUUAAUACCGGUGCCAGUUCUUAUAUGACCAACUCGUAUACAAAUCUUCAAAGUCCUGAACCCUACAGUGGUCCUGAUCAAGUUUAUAUUGGCGAUGGCAAAGGUUUGCCUAUCACUCAUUCUAGUUCUUCUUGUCUUCCUACUUCUACUCAUACAUUUGAUUUGCACAAUGUGUUGCAUGUUCCUGAUCUGAAACAAGAUUUGAUUUCUGCAAAUCGAUUUAUAGUUGAUAACUGGUGCUCCAUUCAUCUAUAUCCUUUUCACUUCCUUGUGAAGGAUCUUACUUCGAGGAAUGAGCUUUUUAAGGGGCCUGUCAAAGCUGGCUUCUAUCCUUUUCUUGCACCUUCUGUUGCAGACAAUCAUCAAGCUUAUGUGACCAAUACUAACGCUUCUCAAGGAAUCUGGCAUCAACGCUUAAGCCAUCCCUCAUUCAAGAUUUUAAAUAAACUAGGCUCCCAGUCUCAUAUCUCUUGUUCAGAUCACAUUCAUAAAUUUUUAUGCUUUAGUUGUGCUUUAGGCAAAUGUUCUCGAAAACCAUUUACCUCUGUUCCUUGUACAACAACCAAGCCUUUUGAGCUGUUACAUACUGAUGUAUGGGGUCCUGCGCCCAUUUCUUCUGUUAAUGGAUUUCGGUAUUAUCUUAUGUUGGUUGAUGAUUUUUCCAAGUAUUCUUGGUUCUUUCCAUUGAAGUAUAAAUCUAAAGUUUUCAGUACCUUUGUUCACUUCGAAUCUGUGGUUGAAAAUCUCUUGGGUUUCAAGGUUAUUACUCUGCGAUCUGAUUCUGGUGGAGAAUAUGUUAAUCACCACUUCUCUGAUUUCUUGAAGACACAUGGGAUCUCUCAUCAACUGAGUUGCCCUCAUACUCCAGAACAAAACAGGUGUGCUAAAAGAAAGCACCAGCACUUAGUCGAAACUGCUCGGACUCUUCUUACAGCAUCUCAAGUCCCUUAUUCUUAUUAGGUUGAAUCCUUCUCCACAACUCUUUAUCUCAUCAAUCGCAUGCCUACUGGUAGUAAACUCUCUCCUUGGGAAAUAUUGUUUCAUAAACCACCAGAUUACACAACUUUGAAAGUUUUCGGCUGUAGGUGUUUUCCUUGGCUCCAACCUUAUACUUCCUCUAAACUUGAUCCGAGAAGCAAAGCUUGUGUAUUUUUGGGAUAUAGCCUUAAUCAUAAAGGUUAUCGUUGUUUGGAUGCUCAAACUGGGCGAAUUUAUAUUUCCCACCAUGUUAUCUUUGAUGAAACCACCUUUCCAUUUCAUUCUUCUCCACCUCCUGUAAGUCUUUCUUCUCCAGUUCAAUCUCUUCUCAAUUCCCCCUUCAUCCCAACCUCAUUAACAUUUACUCAUUCCUCUCUUACCUCUUCUUCACCCUUUUUACCUAUCUCUGAUUCCAUUCCCUUAUCUCCUUCACCUCCUUCUUUUUCUUCAGAUUCCUUACCUCCCCCUUCUACCUAAUAUUCAUCCUAUGACCACUAGAUCAAAAUCUGGUAUUUUUAAACCGAAGGCUCUUCUAGCAACCAAGCAUCCACUUCCCUCCCAUUUAUCUCUUGAUUACACACCUUCCAUUUAUCUUCAAGCCUCUAAACACUUACAUUGGAGAUAAGCAAUGCAGGAAGAGCUCACUGUGCUUCUUCAAACUGGUACCUAGUUUUUGGUUCCUCCUACUUCCUCUCAGAAUUUUGUAGGUUGUAAAUGGGUUUUUCGUAUUAAACGGAAACCUGAUGGCUCAGUGGACAGGUACAAAGCCUGUCUAGUUGCCAAGGGAUUUCAUCAACAACAGGGCUUGGAUUACAAUGAAACAUUCAGUCCGGUUGCCAAACCAGUCACUAUCUGCAUUCUCUUAACCCUUACAGCUACAUUCGAUUGGUCUAUAAAUUAGUUGGAUGUGAGUAAUGCCUUUCUACAUGGCACACUCACUGAGUCUGUCUCCAUGGUUCAACCUCCAGGGUUUGAAGAUCCUACUCAACCCCAUUAUGUCUGUCAAUUGCAUAAGUCACUGUAUGGUCUCAAACAAGCUCCCCGAGCCUGGUAUGCCAAGUUAACAACUGCCUUACAGUCUCUUGGUUUCUCUGGAUCCAACAAUGACCACUCUUUAUUUGUUAAGAACAAUGAUUCAGGGGUCUAUGUCUUGGUAUAUGUGGAUGAUAUUCUUGUCACCGAACCUGAUUCUGUAGCUUGUUAAUCUGUGAUUUCUCAACUUUGUGGUUUAUUUCCUGUCAAGGAUUUGGGACUCCUGCAUUAUUUUCUUGGUAUUGAAGUCAAGCGAUCAUCCAAGGGAAUCUUCAUCAAUCAAACUAAAUAUAUUCUGGAUCUUCUCAAGAAGGCACACAUGAAUGGUGCUAAACCUUGUGUUACUCCUCUGAGUACUUCUAAAUUGGAUCAUUCUUCUCCCUUACUGUCUAAUCCAGAAGAAUACAAAUCCUUAGUUUGAGGCCUUCAAUACUUAACCUGGACUCGACCAGAUUUGUCCUUUGCAAUCAAUCUCGUCUGUCAGUUCAUGCAAACUCCCCAAGAAUCACAUCUUCAGGCUGUUAAGCGUAUUCUCAGAUACUUGAAGGGCACAAUUACUCUCGGUCUUUGGUUUCCAAAAUGCUCUGCACCUCUCAGUAUUAAUAGUUUCUCAGAUGCCGAUUGGGCUGGUUGCACUAUUGAUCGACGAUCCACAGGUGGUUUCUGUAUUUUUCUGGGUGAUUCUCUUAUCAUUUGGAGUGCCAAGAAGCAACCCAUUGUUGGUCGAUCCUCAACUGAAGCGGAAUAUCGUUCUUUAGCUAAUACUGCUGCUGAGUUAACUUGAAUCUACAAGCUAUUAGUUGAUAUUGGUCUUCCGAUUCCGUGCCCUCCUAAACUUUGGUGUGAUAACAUAUUUGCUAUAUCUCUUGCUAAGAAUCCUUUGUUUCAUGCUCGAACCAAGCAUGUGGAGAUUGAUUAUCACUUUAUUAAAGAGAAAGUUUUGGCCAAUUCCAUCACUGUGCAUUUUGUCUAUACACAGGAUCAAACUGCAGAUAUAUGUACUAAAGCUUUAUCCAAGGAUCGAUUUCUUCUUCUCCGUGACAAACUCUCACUUCGGCUACCUCAGCUUAGUUUGAGGGGGGAUAUUAAUUAAGGGUAGUAGUGUAAAAUGAUGCUUAAGUAAAGUUGCUAGAGUUGUGAGAAGUUUGUUAUACUUUACUUAGCUAGUAAGAUAGGUAGUGAGCAUAUAUGUAAAUGAUGGUAUAUAUAUACCAAGUGUAAUAUUAUUCAGAAUAAUACAAUUCACAAUUUUAUUUCUUCUCUCUCUCUAAACUUUCUUACUAAAUCUCUCUCUAAACUCUCAUAGCAAUUUUAUAAUUAAUGAUAUGGCAAUGUCUGCUACUGCACACCUACAAUAGCAGCUUCACUGGCUUUGCAUGCUGCCAAGCUAAUAGACGAAGAAGCACAAAAAUGGCAAGUUAAUAUUUGUUCAGCCUCCCCCUUUUCGUUUUAAUUAAUACACAUACCGACGCACACAUAUUUUAUAAAUAACAAAAAAAUGUUUAAUUGAAUGUACGCAUGUAUAGAAAUGGAUGGUGUGGUGCCUUUUUUUCCAAGUUAAAAGAGGCAGCAGCUCCACACAACAAGGUCGUGGGACUUCAUUGGGUUUCCAAAAACAGUGUCGAGAAGUAACUAUGUUAACAAAGGUGAUAUGAUCAUCAUAGGAGUAUUAGGGAAAAUGAUAAGUCACCCAUUUCAGUCACUGUUAAAUAGUUUGUUAUCUCUAAAUGUAAUUAGUUGUGCUAAUGUUUGUGAUUAGUUAGAACUGUUAUAAGGUUAGGCAGUUAAGGGGUAUCUUUGUAAAUAGCCAAAGGCUAUAUAUAUAUGUCUUCACAGUGUACAAAUUAACUAUUCAGAAAUAUAAUUGAAAGCUUAUAGAGGAAGUUUCCAGUUUCUAUAUGGUAUCGCGCCAUUUCUGCUUCACAGUAUCGAUCAUUCCGCUCAACCGACUCGAUCGAUACAGCAUCGAUCCUUCCGCUCAACCGACUCGAUCGAUUGAUCGAUUUUUGAUCGACUUUUCUGUUCUUCUCCUCUGAUUCUUCAGUCUCUCUUCGCCGAUUUUUUCUUGCAUCAUCAUCUCUACAAGAUAUGGUGGCGCAAUCAUCUUUGUCACCGCCUGAAUCUUCUUCUCCAUUGACUCAAAACCCUAAUUCCUCUGGAAAUCCAAGUUCUCUGAGUUCUUACACCUCCCUUACGAUCCACAACAUCGGCAGCAUGGUACCGAUCAAGCUGAAAAGAUCGAACUAUCUGCCAUGGUGUGCGCUGUUUGGCCUAAUUCUCCGACGCUACAAGCAUCUUGGACUUGUUGAUGGAACUGAAGCAUGUCCAUCGUCAUUCCUACCUGAUCGCAGCAUUAAUCCUACCUUUGAGGAAUGGUAUGAAAAAGAUCAAAAUCUUUUGAUCUGGUUCAAUUCCACACUUUCUGAGGAAAUCAUCCCUUUCAUGGUUGGGGUUUAUUCGUCUCGCAAACUCUGGUUGAAGCUUGAACAGAGGUUUGGUGGAAUUUCAGAGGCUAAUAUUCAUCAAUUGAGGUCGCGUCUCCAAUCUGUUCAGAAAGGAUCUCGCUCCAUAUCUGAGUAUCUUCAAGAAAUUAAGGAAAUCUCAUACUCCUUGCAAGCUGCUAGUGCCUCCGUCUCUGAUCGCGACCUAAUUGCAGCCACCCUUCAUGGCUUACCUGAUGAUUUUGAGUCAUCAAUCAUGCUUCGAUUGUCCUCUACAUCUCUUGAUGAACUCCAUAGUCUUCUUCUCACUAAAGAAUUGUCCAUGGCUCAACGCAAAACUAUCAGUUCAUCCUCUACAGCUGAACCUUUUCUAGCCUUCUCGGUGCACUCUCAGCCCCCUCUCCUACCCACUCUUUCAGUGUUUGCUACUCAGCACCAACUUCAAUCUUGGCACCAACCAAAAUCUGCCAACCGUGGAAAGAAUAACAGAGGCCAUUCUUUAUCUCACAGAGGCAAUCGAAGUUUCCAACCUAACUGUGGUAAUUACUCCAACAUUCAUGGAAAUCGUAAUUACCAAGGACCUCGUCAUGCUUAAGGCUCUUCCAAUUUCAAAGUUCCUAUCAAAUCUGUAGAUCUACCAGUCAUGAAGCUCUUGACUGUUUUGAUCGCAUGAAUCCUGACAUCUAUGGUCGGAUUCCUCCAGCUAAACUAGCUGUUAUGUAUGUCAAUUAAUCUGCCAAACCAUCUCAGUCUUGGCUGAUUGACUCGGGUGCCACUUCUUAAAUUACUAAUGAUGUUGCAAACAUCUCUUCUCCUACUCCUUAUACUGGUGAAGAUAAAGUGUAUAUUGGUGAUGGUAACGGUCUUUCUAUUCAUCAUAUUGGUUCAUCAACCUUGCAUACUCCUCAUACUUCUUUUAAGCUACAGAAUGUUUUACAUGUUCCUUACAUGAAACAUAAUCUCUUAUCUGCUUAUCAGUUUCUUAAGGAUAAUAAUUGUUCAUUGACUCUUGACCCUUAUGGAUCCACUGUCAAGAAUCGUAUUUCGGGGAAGAUACUUUUGCGGGGACCUGUUAUAGAUGGAUUCUACCCUCUUCAAAGUUCCAGCAAUUCUUCACUUUCAUCUCCUUCAGCUCUGCUCAGUGUCAAAGCUUCUGUCAACGUUUGGCACCGAUGCUUGGGUCAUCCAUCCUCUUCUAUUUUGAGACGGGUCAUUUCUACUAAUAAACUGGCAUUACAAGGCAAGUCCACUAUUGAUUUCUUCUGCUCAGAUUGUGCACUUGCCAAGAAUCAUAAGCUUCCUUUUGGAGUCUCUCCUUCAACAACAAGUCACAGUCUUCAACUUCUGCACAUGAUCUGUGGGGUCCAGCAUCUGUUAUCUCCAAUAGUGGUUUCAAGUACUAUUUGUUUGUUUAUUGUUGAUGACUUUAGCAAAUAUAGCUGGUUCUUUCCUUUGAAGUCCAAGUCAGAUGUAUUUUCUACAUUUGUUGUCUUCAAAUCUUAUGUAGAAAAUUUACUUGGAAAUAAAAUCAAAGUUCUGCGUUCAGAUUCAGGAGGUGAAUUUACCAGAACCUCUUUUGCUUCCUUUCUCAGUAAACAUGGCAUUUUUCACCAAUUUUGCUGUCCACAUACUCCUGAACAGAAUAGUUGUGUUGAGAGAAAGCACAGGCAUCUUGUUGAGACAGCUCGUACUCUGCUAAUUGCUUCUCAUGUUCCUCAUAUCUUUUGGGUUGAAGUUUUCUCCACUGCCAUCUAUCUCAUUAAUCGGCUUCCCAUCUCUGGUAUUUCCACAUCACCAUGGGAAUUAUUAUUCAAGCAACCCCCAGAUUACUCUAAACUCAAAGGGUUUGGUUGCCAAUGCUUCCCUUGGCUCCAACCCUAUGUUCAAAGCAAAUUAGAUGCCAAGAGCAAAAGUUGCACAUUUCUCGGAUAUAGUCUUCAACACAAAGGCUAUAGGUGUCUUGAUCCACUUACAAAUAGAAUUUAUAUCUCCAGACAUGUUGUCUUUGAUGAAAGUUCUUCUCCAUUUCAGUUACUACAACCUUCCUGUUUCAGUCCCAAUACAUCAUCACCAGCAAGCUCUUCAUCUAUGAAUCUUUAUUUUGAUAAAUAUAUUCCUCAUCUCUCCACUAGCAGUGCACCAUCCAUUCCAAAUGCUUCUGCUUCUACCUCCGAUUCUCCAAAUCCUUCUUCUUCUCAACCCAUUUCAGUCCCUGCUUCUUCCAGUUCUGAUUUUGUUUCAGAAUCCUCCCCAUUGCCCUAAAGUCAGUCAAAUCAUUCUCCUAUUCCUAUUAAUUCUCAUCCCAUGAUCACAAGAUCCAAGGCUGGCAUUUAUAAAUCUACACCUCAAGCUUAUGCAGCAACUAAGCAUCCUCUUCCUGUUGACAUUGAUUUUGUUCCCAGUAUAUACCUGCAAGCUUCUAAGCAUGCUCACUAACGAGCUACAAUGCAAGAUGAGUAUAAUGCAUUAAUCUCUACUGGUACUUGGUCAAUCGUCCACUCUCAUCCUUCCCACAAUGUAGUUGGAUGUAAAUGGGUGUUUCGAGUUAAGAAAAAGGUUGAUGGCACUAUUGACAGAUAUAAAGCCCGUCUAGUGGCAAAUGACUUUCAUCAACAAGAAGGUAUUGACUUCCAAAAGACCUUUAGUUUGGUUGCCAAGCCAGUUACAAUUUGGAUCUUACUAACUCUUGUUGUCCAAUAUAAUUGGUUUCUCAAUCAAUUGGAUAUAAGCAAUGCCUUUCUUCAUGGUGACUUAAAGGAGAAUGUCUACAUGCACCAACCUCCUGGGUUUGUUGAUCCAAAUUUGCCUCAUUCUAUUUGCAAGUUGAAGAAAUCCCUAUAUGGACUAAAACAAGCUCCUCGAACUUGGUUUGAUAAACUAUUUCAAGCUCUUCAUUCUCUUGGGUUCCAACAAUCUUCAUUUGAUGCCUCCUUGUUUGUUCUUAAUGGUCCUCAUUUGGUUAUUGUUCUUGUGUAUGUUGAUGACAUUCUAGUAACCGGUCCUAACUCUCAACUCUGUCAACAGUUUAUCACACAACUCAGUUCUCAGUUUCCAGUAAAGGAUCUUGGUCCUUUACACUACUUCUUGGGCUUAUAAGUACACAGAUCCUCACAAGGAAUUUUUGUUCAUCAAACCAAGUACUUACUUGAUCUUCUUAAGAAAACCAACAUGGAGGGUGCCAAACCGUGCUGCACACCACUCAGUUCCAAGAAAUUAGAUAACAGUGGGCCUCUCUUGUCCAACCCCACUGAAUAUCAUUCUAUUGUUGGAGGGUUACAAUACCUAACUUGGACUAGACCAGAUCUUGCUUUUGCUGUCAACUAGAUCUACCAAUUCAUGCAUGCUCCCAGGGAACAACAUCUUUAGGCAGCUAAAAGAGUUCUCAGAUUUCUUAAAGGCUCUCUUUCCCACGGUUUGUGGUUCACAAAGGGUCCAAUCCAUCUUUCAACAUACUUUGAUGCUGACUGGGCUGGCUGCACUUUUGAUAGAAGAUCUACAAGUGGCUAUUGUGUGUUCUUAGGCUCCAAUCUCAUUAGCUGGAGUGCUAAGAAACAAAGUACUGUUGCACGGUCCUUUAUAGAAGCUGAAUAUCGCUCAUUAGCUUAUACAACUGCAGAACUCACUUGGGUUUGCAAAAUCCUCAGAGAUCUUCACUUCCCCAUCCCUACACUGCCUGCACUUUGGUGUGACAACAUCUCAGCAAUCUCCCUAGCAUCUAAUCCUGUCUUUCAUGCUCGUACAAAGCAUGUUGAGAUCGAUUACCACUAUAUUCGGGAAUUGGUUCUAGCUAAUCUUCUCAAAGUCCAGUAUGUUUGCAGUGAAGACCAAUUAGCUGAUCUUCACACCAAGUCCCUAUCCAAAAGUCGAUUUCAGUUCCUGUGCUCCAAGCUUCCAAUUGGAAUCUGUUCUGAUUCCCCUUCUAGCUUGAGGGGGUGUAUUAGGGAAAAUGAUAAGUCACCCAUUUCAGUUACUGUUAAAUAGUUUGUUAUCUCUAAAUGUAAUUAGUUGUGCUAAUGUUUGUGAUUAGUUAGAACUGUUAUAAGGUUAGGUAGUUAAGGGGUAUCUUUGUAAAUAGCCAAAGGCGAUAUAUAUAUGUCUUCACAGUGUACAAAUUAACUAUUCAAAAAUAUAAUUGAAAGCUUACAGAGGAAGUUUCCAGUUUCUAUAAGGAGUGCUUGACUCUGGAACUUGGCCGGAAUCUGACAGCUUCAAUGACACUGGAUUUGGUCCACCACCCACAAGCUUGAAAGGCACAUUCCAACGCUCUGGUAGUUUUACUUGCUACAAGUAAGCCAUACUAGAUUAUCCUAUUAUUAUUCGCAUUUAUCUUGAACCGAAUUUAUACGAUAUUUGAACAGUAAAAUUAUUGGGGCACUUUAUUACCGUGCUAAUGGAUUUGACGUAGGUGAUGCCCAAUCUCCAAGAGACACCCAUGGCCAUGAGACUCGCUGCAUCAACAGCAGCAGGGAACUUGGUCAACAAUGCAAGUCUAGAUGGUUUGGGGAUGGGGACAUCAAGAGGACCGGUGCCAUCAGCACAAAUUGCGGUGUACAAAAAAUGUUUGAUAAAGGGUUUAACCGUUUAUGCUUAGUACUGAUCACUUAGGUUCUUUGGAUGAAUGUAUAUAUGGGUAUGGAUGGUGUGGUGCUGUUUUACUUUUACCCAGUGAAAAGAAGCAGCUCGUCACAACAACAAGGUUAUGGGACUUUAUUGGGUUUCGGAAAGAGAGUCGAGUAGCAACAAUCUUCACGAAAGCAAUAUCAUUGUAGCCAGGAGGAUCUCACCUUAUCAUAUGAUCCUUCAAUCAUAUCCGUUCAUCUUAAAUCGUGCGAUAAAAAAUUAUUGUAAAUUUUUUUUAUUUAAAAUUGAAUAUAAACAGUAUAUGAGAAAAGCUAACCGUACGAUGUACUAUGAACGGAUGUGAUUAGAGGAUCCGGUGAGGAUCCUCUCUCUCAUUGUAGGAGUGGUUGAUACUGGAAUUUGGCCAUAAUUUGACAGCUUUGAUGACACCAGAUGUGGUCCACUAUCACUGACCUCAAAAUGGAAAGGCACAUGACAAUCCUCAGUAACGCAAGUAAAUUAUAGCAAUGGUUCUUCAAUUUUAACUAAAUUAGAACAAUGAUUCUUCAACUAAUAUCCUAAUUCAUUGGUCUCUCAACUCAUCAAAACGUCUAUCUAUAAUCAUUUUCGUCAACUCCAUCAAAAUUUUGUCAAAAUAAGUUAUGUUGAAAGGAUCAUUGUUAUAAUUGGGUUAAAGUUGAGAGACCAUUGCUUCAAUUGAGUUAAAGUUGAGGGACCAUUUUUUUCAUUUGAAUUAAAAUUGAAAGACCAUUGAUACAAUUUUUCUUAUAUGAUUUUCCAUAUUUGCCACUUGAGUUAACCUUACAUGCAUAUGACACGUGACUUAUUUUAACCAAAGUUCUAACAGUGGUGAUGAAAAUGACUAUAGUUGCACGUUUUAAUGAGUUAAAUGACUAAUGAUAAUAAAUUUUUAAUUCAGAAACAAUUGCUUUAAUUGAAUUAAAAUUAAGAGAUCAUUACCACAAUUUACUUUUAUUAAAAAGCAAACUAGUUUGUUGUCUUCUACUCCAAACGAUGACUUUUGAAAACAUUGGGAAAUAGUAAAAGCCUAUAGCUCUCAACUAGCUCAUGAGCUUUUUUUUUGGUUUAGUCCAAAGAAAAGAGGCUCAUGUUUGAAUUAUGAUAAUCAUAGCAUGCCUAUAUGAUGUCUAGUCCCCACGAGACGCAGACGGCCAUGGUAUUCACACCGCAUCAACGGUAGCAGGAGCUUUGGUAGCAGUGCUAGUCGUGAUGGCUUUAGGUUGGGUACAGCAAGAGGAGGGGUGCCAUCAGCACGUAGUGCGGUGUACAAUGUAUGUUUGGGCCUUUGGCAUCAGAUGACUGCGUAUGAUGAUAUUCUUGCGUCAUUUGAUGACGCUAUUGCUGACGGUGUUGAUGUAAUUUCAAUCUCCAUCGGUUCGGUGGAAUUUUUUUUGUGGUCACUGUAUUUAUGCUUAGAAUUUAGAAAACUUUAAUAAAAAGUUAUUAAUACUGUUUAUUUUAACGAAAAAUCGUAUUUUUAUUCUAAAAUAUCAAUUAUGAUACUAUUUACUUAUAACACAUUUACGUCAUUUUUGUUAAAACUUAAAGUUUUCAAUUCUUUUUCAUUAAUUUUCCUUAGAAUGUAUUUUAGUCAAUUUAGCUAGUUUAGUCACUGUGUUAGACAAAUUUUGCAAUUUAUGUCCAAAAAUGUUAUUUUUUUUCAUCUUAUGCAUAGUAUUAAAGAUAUUAUUUACAUUAGGGGAGGUAGUUUAAAUUUUUCUUUAAUGGAAGUCGAAUUUAAGAGUACUCAGUUACAAAUGAAGACUAAUAUCACUAGAUUGUGGUAACAAACUCUCUUCCGUCCGGCUUACCCAACCACCCACAACAUUCCCUUCCAUAUCUCUCUCUCUCCCUCUCUAACCAACCGGUACGGUACUUCAUCUCCUCCAUCAACCUCAAAUCGCACAUAAGAGGUUACAACAAUAAGCAUUCCAAAAAUUUUGAACUUUGUCUUUAUACUCUUAAUGAAUUUGUGUAACUACUAUGAAGGCUGACGGUGGGGUAGUGGGAGAGGAGUGAAAGAGACAGAGGUGGGGAAGGGGCCUGCAAGUGGUGGGAGAGCGGUGGGCCAUGGACUGCAGGUGGUGUGGGAAGGCGAGGGGGGUUGGUUGCUGGUUUUGGAUGGCGGGGAAUCAAUCGCCAUAGGAUAUUUUCACGCAUGAAAAGGGAUAUUGACUUCCAUUGGCGCUUGUAACAAGGGUCCACAGCUGAACAAUGUUUCAAACUUCGCACCAUGGUCUCUUUCCGUGGCUGCUAACACCAUUGAUCGGAAGUUCGUUACCAAGGUUCAGUUAGUAACAAUACAACUUAUGAGGUCAGUUCCCCAUCGAUCGUAUGCGCUCACGUAAUUUUAUUUAAUUGUUCUAUAAUAGAGAAUAAUGUUUGAGGUUGUUUCUCUAUUUGCUUCAUAUUUUAGGGAAUUAUAAUGAACAUAUAUGACCGCAAGAGUCAAUUGUUUCAGUGUUGUUUCUACCGUGUAUUAUAGGAGACAAUUAUCUUAGUGUUGUCUGACUUAAAUAUUCAUGUGAACAUCACAAUCACGACAUUGUUGUGCAAACCUGAAAAGUGACGAAACUAUAGCAUAAAAGUGAUGUGUAAAAAGUACGAAUAGAAGAUUGAAAAUAAAACAAGAGUAAAUGUGUGCAGUAAAAGUGAUCAACUUUAAAUAAACGUACUAAAUGAAAAUCAUAUCAUCUCAAUAUCUACAAAGAAAGUGUACAAAUCAUAGCAUCUCAAUAUCUACAAAGAAAGUGUACAACGUAACACGCCUGAAGAUAUUAAUUAUAAAAAUACUAGACUAAUUACUACAAGGAUGAGAGAAGAUUAUGCCACCAUACCUCGACGUCCAGAGCUCCAAAUCCUACUAAAUUUUGGAGGAGCACAAAACAAAGAGUGUGACAGACACAAAUAAAGAUUUCUACAAAAUCAUUUAUUUGUUUAACAUACUAACACCUUACUGUAAAAACUCAUAUGAGAGACGCAUGUAUUACCAGCAAGCAAAAGCUACCUUUGGAGUUUAUAUUAUUUUUUUAUCCAUGUAAUCAAACUCGGAUUUGUUUGUUUAAUUAAUAAAUAUAUUUUUUAAUGAGAAAGACAUGGCCCAAUUUAGAUUGAGUUUUUUCUCAAAAUUUUAAGUAGUUGAUUCAUAAAUUUUCGUGCUUAAGAUAGAAAUUGUUUAUAUUAUAUAUAAAUCAUUACGUAAAGAUCAUUUGUAUAAAAAAUCAAUCAAAAUUAAAGUUGUUUAGUCAAUUAAUUGUAACAAAUAGAUAAAUAGUUUAUUUACUUAAUCCAUCCAUUUAUUUUUAUACAUUCCGGUCAUUAAAUGAUAUCAUAUUUAAGUGACUUUUUUUACAAAUAUGAUAUUUAUAGCGUAAUUUAUAAUAUAAAUAAUUAUAAUCAUAAAAACAACUUGUCGUGAAUUAGCCACAUAAUAAAUUGAGAAGGAUUUCCUUCUCAUCCAUUGAAGAGCCAAAAUGCAUUUCUAUUUUGAUUUGGGCCUCACUUCCCAUGUCAAUUACUUUGAUUUGAUUGUACUAUUAGUUGAUAAUUGAAACGAGAGUUAAUUUCAGUUUACUGUUUGAAAGUAUUUUUAUUUUCAACAUCUGAUACAUUAAGGUUAUUUCAUUCCAGGGUAGUACAUGAAGUUAAAAUUUUGGAACACUUUUAUAUAUUUGUUAAGAUUGGUUUUAAAUUAGUUGUUAACUGAUGAUAUGACGUUUAUGUGAAUAAUGACUAGAGAUCACGUGUCAAUAUAGAAUCCAUAUAAAUAUUAAAAAAUUUAGAAAUUAAUAAUAAAAAAAAUUAUUACUUUGAAAACAAGGAACCAGGAACGUAUGGAAUUGAUGAUUUGAACAGGUGCGAAAGAAGAAAGAAAAAGGAAUAAGCAGAGGCCUGGAAAGAAAAGGUAGAAAAGGAAUUGAUUCUUCGAGGGGGUGGGGUGGCGGUGGAAGUUGGUGGGGGUUUUGGGGACUUAAGGAUUUGGUGCAUUGCAGAACCUCUAGUAAGCCCUUUUAUGCAAUUCUACAUCGAGUUGAAGUUGGCUUAGUAAUAGAUUUGGAACCAGUAAGUCCAUCUGAUGUUCCAGUGACUGCUGCGGGAGCACUGAAAUCUUAUAAGUGUGCAGCCAAAGCCAUCUCGAAAUUGCAGUCUUUGCUAAGCGGGGAUAUAUCAUUAUUAAAAAAAAAUCUGGUUUUGGCUUCAGCCAGUCUUCUCCGGCCGCUAGGUUUGGCUCUCCACCGCCGUGAAAUUUGGUAGGUGUGGCUCUCCAUCACCGUCUGCUCCGGCUUCUCCGGCCGCUGAGUUUGGCUCUCCACCGCCAUCAAAUCUGGUAGGUAGGGCCCGGAUGUUUGAGUUCACGGGGUUGUCCAUCCUCGCUCUAGAAUCGUCCCAUUUCCGAUAUUUUCCUUCACAGUCCAGUGGACCCCAACGCCUUGAAAUUCUUGUUCCUCAAGUUGUCACCCGUCAAAUCUAGAAAUGGGUCGGGUUAGGAUAUGGUGGUUAGGGAGAGGUGGGUCGGGUAUGGAGGGAUUAGGGACAGAGGAGAGUUGAGUCGAAAAAAAGAGAUUUUUCAGUAUGGUUGGAACACGGAAUAAUAUAUUACAUGUCAUUAUAUAAAUGGUGGGAUAUGUGUGUUAAAAAAUUAAUAACUUAAAUAUUUGAAUUUUCCAUCACUUAUAUGAAAACACGUUAUAUACCACUUGUGUUCUAGUUACAAUGAAAAAUUUAUCGUCGAAAAGAACAGGGGAGGUGGCCCAUAUUGACAUGUGGCGUUUAUUCAUUGUUCACGUGAGCGUCACGUCACUAGUUAACGGUUGAUUUAACAACCUUAACGAGUGUAUGAAAGUGUCGUAAAAUUACUUCAGCUACCACUCUGAAAUGAAAAAAACUUUACGCAUCAAAUGUUGAAAACUAAAAACUUCAGAGUAGAACAUUGAAAUUAAUCCUUGAAACAAACAUUUACUCCUUAUAUAAAGGCACUGAAGAAAAAUCCCACUACACCAUCCAUAGGUGUAUAUUUUUGUAAUUAUUUUACUUUUUCUGUUUUGAAAAUUGAUAAAUUAUAUUGAUAAAGUAAAUGAUUACAACCAAAGUAAAUUGUAGCAAUAGUUUCUCAAUUUUAAUUAAAUUAGAGCAAUGAUCCCUCAACUAAAAAUUCAUUACUAUUAGUCCAUCAACAGUCAAUUCAUCAAAACGUGUAGCUAUCGUUAUUUUCGUCAACUCCAUUAAAAUUAUGUCAAAAUGAUUUAUAUUGGAAGUACUAUUGCUACAAUUGAAUUAAAGUUGAGAAACAAUUUCUCCAGUUGAAUCAAAGUUGAGGGACCAUUGAUACAAUUUUUCUUUUUUGAUCUCUCAUAUUUGCCCCUUGAUUUAGCCUCACGUGUAUGGCACAUGACUCAUUUUAAUGAAAGUUCUAAUGGAGUUGAUGAAUAUGACCAUAGAUGUAUGGUGAGUUGAGUGACCAAUGAUAAUGAAUUUUUAGUUGAAUGACCAUUGCUCUAAUUAAGUUGGAUAAUUGCUACAAUUUACUCUUAUAACCAUGAGGGUAAAAAAGUCAACUCAUGUCAUAAAGAAUUAGGCAAAGCCAUGCUAGACACCCAACAUGAUCAUUAUCGAAUUCUAUUGGUGAGGAUCAUGAUGAUUCGUAAAUUGUGUCUGUUUAUCGUACAUUGUGCAAUCAGUUUUUAUCAUGUACUGUUUGUAUUUAAUUUUAAAUAAAAAUAUUUAAAAUAAUUUCUAACCAUACGAUGUACGAUGAACGUAUAUAAUUUACGGAUCUCCGAGAUUCUCACAAAGAAAAUCCGGACACGCUAGACACGAGAACCCUUACUGCAAUUCUAAUGCAACCUCCUUUUUUCCCACUUAAGAGUAAUAUGGGAAACUAAUUUUACCUUUGUCUUUUAAAAAAACAAAUAAAAAAUUAUUAUUAUUAAAUGGAUGGGGUAGAAUUCAAACUAAUUAAAUCAUUAAGGGGAGACGAGAGUUUUGGGACAUACACUGUAGGAACAAAAUUUGAAGCACCACUAUAAGAGCAAUUCCACCCCAUUCCAAAUGUCCCAGCCCCCAGUCCAAAAAUCAAACUAAUCCUCAGUCCAUUUGCUCCACCCCACAAAGCUGACUGGCACCCAGCCCAAGCCAGGCGCCAGCCCAGCCUGUUUCGGACAGACCCAGGAACUGGGCAAAAUACACGGCGCGUGCACGACACGCGGGAGCUGAGGCGAGUAGCCGACAAGGAAAAGGUGGGGCUGUCAGCCCACUUGUGUCCCGUCCCAGGCAAUCUCUGAGCCGUUGGAUUUCCAAUGGCUAGUUUAUCUAGACCGUUGGAUUUCCAACGGUAAAAAAAAUUAAAAAAUUAGUUUUAAAAUGGACCGUUUGAUCACAGAUCAACGGUCCACGUUUUAGACGAAAAAAAAAUUAAAUAAAAGGCCCCAACGGUCAGAUUUUUUACCGUUGGCCACGUGGCGUGAUCUUAGCUAUUGGAUUUGAAUUUUUUCAAAUCCAACGGUCCAGAUUAAUUAACUAAAUUAAAAUUUAUUAUAAAAUUAUUAAAAAAUACAGAAAAUUUUUAAAAAAUACAGAAAAAUUUGAAAAAAAUUUAUAUUUUUUCCUAUAAAUAUCUAACCCUCAUCUUCCACCUUUACACCACAUUACAAUAUUUUCUACACUUUCUACACUUUCUACAUAUCAAUAUUUUCUACAAUUUGAGAGAAAAAAAUGUCUUCGUGGAAGGUUAUUGAAGAUGUUACGUUGUGUGAAUGUUGGGUUCACACUACUCAUGAUCCGAUUACGGGUAAUGAGAUGGAUAAGCGAGAGAUGUGGAGUAAAAUUACGAAAGCGUUUUGUGAUGUACAUGGAGAAAACGCCAGAACUAGUCAAGGUCUUCAAGUCGUUGGAAAAAACUCAACGCAUCAUUUACUUGUUGGAAAAACGCCAUCUCUCAUGCUUCCGGUAACCUCACAAAAUAGUACGUUCGGAUAAUGACACGUGGCAUGACGUGAUUGGUUGAAAAUCUUAUCGAAAUCUUGGCUAAAUUAUUGUACCAUGGAAGUGACACGUGGCGUGUCGGGAUUGGUUGAAAAUAAUAUCGGAAAUCUAUUCACAAAAUAGUACGUUCAGAUAAUGACACGUGGCGUGACGAGAUUGGUUAAAAAUCCUAUCCGAAAUUAAAACUAUUUUAUUUUUUUAUUCUUUAUUUUAAAUGGGUUAAAAAUCUUAUCCGAAAUAAACUUAAAAAAAAAACACACCAAAUAAAUGCGCUGGGUGCCAGCGCAUUUUUUUAGGGGUGGAGAUGCCUUGGCCUAUUACUGUUCACUCCAGUCUAUUACUGUUCAUUUGAGUGGAUAAAUGCGCUGGGUGCUGGCGCAAAGUCCACAGGGGUGGAAUUGCUCUAAACGCUGUAAACCCAUAAAGAUUUCUCGAAGAUCAUGAUGUCCCCGCACUUGAUUUGGUGUGAAGAUGCUAAUGUAAAGUGGAAGGGAAAACAAAUCAUGAGCAAAGUAAAAUAAUACAACUUUGACCAAACCUAUUUACUAAGAUAUUAAAUUACAUGUCAACUAGAAUAUUAUAUUGCAUGUCAAUUUUACCUAUAUCUCUACUAUGGGAAAGUGGUGUGGACCAAAGAUGAUUCCACUUCUGUAUGGAAAUGAGUAUGGAAAUGAGAAUAUAGGAGAGCUUGUGUCUAAAAGUGCUUUUCUCUUUUCUUUUGUAAGUGUAGUUGAAAUGAGAGCACUAGCGAAUGACAAUUGCUUAUAAGAGGUUGAGUUGUUAUUGUUAAUUAAUUUUAUGGUGGAAAUUCAAUUUUUUUCAUGGUAUUAAAGUAAGUUGACUAUUUUGUGAAACACAACGGCCACAUAUGCUCCAUGUCACUCAAUUCGUGUUUUCCAUAUGUUUGGCUUGAAAAUUCAUUACACGCAGUAGGAACAUGUGAGGAUGUGAAGGUAAAAAAGUUACACAUCGAUGAAAAGAGAAACCUUGUAAGGGCAUUUAAGAGGUUGAAUACUCCUCAUAUUUUUAAUUGAUUUUAUGAUAAAAUCUCAACUUUCUCCAUUUAUUUCCUGAAAGCAUGAUUAAUCAAGUAAUUAUUUAGCGAUCGAUCGCACACAAAUGGAAGAACCAAUUCUGUAGAAAUGGAGUCCUUUCACAUUUGAAGUCGUGGACUUAUUUUUCGUUUUGCCUUUCGGAAGCAGACGUCAAUUAUUGUUGCUGCUUGAUUUGAAAUGUUUCCACUCCCUUGCUUCCCUCGAUACUCACUUAAGCAACAGGCUGGGGUGGGGAUUCAUUUUAAAACAGCAAGAUAUUAUUAGGAAAAUGUAUUGUAAAAUCAUUUAACGAUUACUUAUAAAAACACUUGAUAGGCUAGCAUUAGUAAAAAUUUAAAAAUGAUUUUCCCACACUUAUUUUAAUUUUUUAUUCGACGAUUAAAAUUUAAUAAAAACAGAAAUGCACGAGAAGAAUAAAGGUGUGGAAAUCAUUUUUUGGGUGAAAGCACUAUCAGAAAUAGUCAAAUACCCCAAAAUAUGUUCAAAUACUCCAAAAAUAAAGGACAAAAUAAAAGGAGUUUUAAUAAAACACUUUCAAUACUAUUUACUUUUAAUAAAAAAUUAUAUUUAUCCUUUUCUCUAAUACUAUUUACUAUACCUAUAAAAAUAAUUUUUCAUCAAACACGUCUUGCGAAAAGCGUUAAUUGGGCUAAAGUAUAGUCUUUCAAAUGGGCAUCCAACUUUAAAAAAGUGCGAUAAUUGUAGGGAAAUAGUGUAAAGUGAAUGCAGUACUGCUAUGACUAAGAGUGUGCGAAUCAUUCGGAUUCGGAUCCUCUACUCGGUUUUAUUGUGUUUGUUGUUUACUCGACUGUUAAUUCUCACCGCACAUCACAAUUCAAAAGUGUUUGAGCAGAAGAGUGGUGGAUUUUUAGUAUGUGGAAAUGAAAAAAAUUUGGAACACAUAAAUUGCAACAUGUGAAAUGCAUUUGAAAUAAAAAAAUAAAACAUAAAAACAUCAACCGUACGAAGAGGAGUUUUAUUGAAUUCCGAGAACUUUUUUUUCAUCUUGUUUAAAUUAAAGAGUCUUAAUUUGAUUUUUUUUUAAUUAAGAUGGUUUAAUCAAUUGUCUACUCAGCAAUUUUGUAUUUAUUUAAUAUAUAUUCACAUAAGCAAGCUAAUAACUAUUUCAUACAGUCUAAGGAUUUUAAAUUCGUGACUUUAUUAAUUAAAAAUAUUAAUUUAACUAAUUCCUUGUUGUCAUUGUAAGUGACCAUUUACUAUAGUGGUGGAAAGGUGGUGAGUCCAUUGGUGACUUUAUUAAUUUAAUGAUGUGGGUUCAAACUUCAUUGGUGGCUAAUCUAACAUCUAAUUAAAUAAUAUAUUGUUUGACCAAAAAAAAAAUUUCCUUAUUGUCAGUAAAAAAAGAGAGAAUUUUUUAUUUCUGUUCUUAUAUUUAAUUAGUCUCUUGCUUCACUAAAAUAAAGUUAUUAAUACUUUCAUAAGAAAGCUUCAUUAAUUUGGUAAAAUUUUACACAUAGUUAUAUAAAUGUAUUUAAAACUUAUGGUACAUUUGAAAAAUUGGAAAAUAAACGUACCGACUUUUGGUACGUUUAGAUUUUAAAUGAACUAAUAAACAAAUGUACCAUAAAACUAAAAUUACCCAUAUUAUAGGUAAUCAAAUGUACCAAUACAAUCAAACGAUCAUACAAUCAAACGUACAUGUACUAUGAUUAUGUAUGUGAUAAUGAGUUUUGAAUAUUCGAUUUAAUUCACUAAACUAAUUAUUAUAAUAAACAAUAAAAAAUUUAAAAUCUCCAGAAUGAGAGAUGCAUGUAACUAUAACAAAUUCAUAGGUAAAGAAUGAUAGGUAAAAAAGGAAAACGAAAGUAAAGAUGCAAUGUGAAAAUUUUUAGGGUGGCUAGCAAACAAUUUCAUGAAUAAAAAGGUAAAAAAAACAGAGGAACGUCUAAAAUUGAACUUUUAAUAAAAUGAAAUUAAUCACUAAAACUGUAGGGAAAAUGUUUAAUCAACGAAAUUGAAAAACGAGGUGUUUAUAUCAAAAUGCCCCUAAACUAUGUAAAAUAAUCAUGGGAACACAAACCAUACCACUAAGAAUAAAGAGAAACUGCAAAACGUGAAAUACAUGGCUUUUCAUUUUUAGUAUAAAUACAUGAUGGUGUUCUUGGAUGAGAUUGUCCAUCUUUUACAUGCUUUCCAGAACUUCGCCACAAUGGCUUUGACUCCAUGGUUUCUCCUUCUCCUUAGCCUUAUAUCUACUCUGCUAGUUGAUGUCACUCUAUCUGCUGCUCACCAGGAUAACCGGAAGGCAUUCAUAAAAUAUGCAUUUUGAACAAUUCCGUUUCUCUGCUCAAAAUAUGUUCAUUAAUUAAUUUAAUCUUCUGAUCUUGGAUAUAUUAACUGCAGGAUUAUAUUGUGUAUAUGGGUGACAAGCCAAAGCCUGAGGUUUCCACCACUACCACAUCAGCUCUUCAUGUAAACAUGCUACAAAACGUCGUCGAGGACAGGUUUAAUUAAUUAUCACAUAUGAUAGUGAGCUUAAUUAUAUAUACUGAUUAAACAUUAUCCGUGACAAGGGUACCAUUUAAUUUAGUCAUCUCUCGUAGCAUCUUCUCGUUGUUUUUCGAGCUUAAUUAUGGCAGAGUUUGAAAGUGUCAAAUCUUUGACGAUUUUGAUUUUUGACGUUUAUUUAUCCAGCAAUAUAGCGCAUGAAUCUCUGCUUCUGCACAGCUACAAGAGAAGCUUCAAUGGCUUUGCUGCCAGGCUAACAGAGGAAGAAGCACAGAAGUUGGCUGGUUGUCUUAUGAACCCAACUUCAAAUUAUUUUUUAACUUGCAUAAACAUUAAUAGUGACCAUUGUAUGACGAGAAAAAUAUAUGCAGGAAUGGAUGGUGUUGUGUCUGUUUUCCCUAGUGAAACUAAGAAGCUCCAAACAACAAGGUCAUGGGACUUCAUUGGGUUUCCUGAAAUGGUGAAGAGAAGCGCCAUUGAAACUGAUACCAUUGUCGGGAUGAUUGACUCUGGAAUUUGGCCUGAAUCUGCCAGCUUCAGUGACGCCGGGUUUGGUCCACCCCCCAAAAGGUGGAAAGGCGCAUGCAAGGGCGAAGGCAAUUUUACUUGCAACAAGUAAAGCAAACCAGUUUAUUUCAACCAUCCACUGCACAUUUCAAAAAAAAAAAAAAAUCCACGUGAUGUUGUUAAUUACACUUGGACAGAAAAAAAAAUAAAGUGCAAACUUGAUUAUAAUUUAUAUGAUAUGUUGUUAAAUUGUAACUCUUACUAAAAUAUUAUGACAUAUUUGUUACACUUGGACAGUAAAAUUAUCGGAGCACGAUAUUACCGCAGUCAACCCUACCCCAAAAAUAGCAGUGACGUCAUGUCUCCGAGAGACACGGAAGGCCAUGGAACCCACACUGCAUCAACAGCAGCAGGGAACUUAGUUAGCAAGGCAAGUCUGUAUGGUUUAGGGUUGGGGACAGCAAGAGGAGGGGUGCCAUCAGCACGCAUUGCGGUGUACAAAGUUUGUUGGUCAGACGGGUGCCCGGACGCUGAUAUUCUAGCGGCAUUCGAUGAUGCCAUAGCUGACGGUGUUGACAUACUCUCUGUCUCCCUUGGGGGCCGUAAACCGUUAGAUUAUUUCAGAAAUGCCAUUGACAUUGGAGCUUUUCACGCUUUAAGAAAAGGAAUAUUCACUUCCGCGUCUGCUGGUAAUGAAGGUCCAAACCUGAAAACUAUUACAAACUUUGCACCAUGGUCUCUUGCUGUAGCUGCUAGCACCAUAGAUCGCCACUUUGAUACCAAGGUUCAAUUGGGAAACCACAAAAUUUAUGAGGUAAUUGAUACAGAAUUUUGGUAGUGAUUCUGGUUGAGCAAUAUAUACACUUUUGGAGAAUCAACAAUAUAUAUAUAUAUAUAUGCUGAAGAUGCACCAAAAUACUAGAGAAGUGAUUAACAUGAGAGUUGAUUAUGAUUUGUUUUUGCUUCCUUGGUAGGGAAUAGUAACAAACACAUUUGAACUCAAGGGUAAAUUCUACCCCAUAGUAUAUGCUGGAGACGUUCCAGAUAGGGCAGCAGGUUACAAUGGGGAAACAUCCAGGUAUGUGUACGCAUUUUGAGAGUAUAUAUACCAUUUAUAUUGAAGAACCACGGUAGUCUAGCAUAAGUCUAACCAGGUGCUAAUAACAUGGAUAUAUAUAUGGAACAGGUUAUGCCAAACAGGCACGUUAGACACAAAAUUGGUGGAGGAUAAAAUUGUUCUUUGCGAUGGGCCUACUGGGGAUGGGGCAUUAUAUGCAGGCGCAUUUGGUUAUGUUUUGACAAGCCGAAAUGCAGCAGAUGUAAUCGAUCCUGUUCCAAUACCAGCAGCUUCCGUUUGGUUCCAUGUUGGUAACGAAAUUACCCAUUACAUAAACUCAACCAGGUAUCAAUAUUUGAGAAUGAUUGAUUUAAAAUAUUACUAAUGUGCGAAACUAACAUAAAUCAAAGACCCCUUAUUAUGUUAUUGCUAAUAAAUCCUGAAUCCCUGUAAUGAUUCGUAGGAACCCAACAGCAACAAUUUGGAAAAGUACUGAGGGUAGGGAUGCACUGGCCCCAUAUGUACCUUCAUUCUCAUCAAGGGGUCCAAAUCCAAACACUCCUAAUAUUCUCAAGGUAACUUCAAGGCCCCGUAUGUGUGUGAAUGCCGACUUAAAAAAUGAACAAACCGAAUCAUGAAUAUUGAGGGGUCUUAAUUUUCCUCCUUGUUUUCUCCUAUAUGUUGCAGCCAGAUAUCGCUUCUCCUGGAGUUUCCAUUCUAGCAGCAUGGCCUCCAAUUGCCCCAGUUUCAGGUGUUGAAGGUGAUGACAGAGUAGCUUCAUACAAUAUAAUCUCGGGGACAUCAAUGGCAUGCCCACAUGCUGCGGGCGUGGCUGCAUACGUCAAAUCAUUUCACCCCAAUUGGUCACCUGCUGCUAUCCUGUCAGCUCUUACGACUACUGGUAUAGAUGCAUUUUCAUAAAUGUACCCAUUACAAUACAACCGUUCUCUCACAUAUUUGAUGAGUUGUGUGACCAAUUAUUAUCAGAGAUCAUGUGACCAAGUCUUGUGAGAGAGACCCUACAUGUAAUUAGACUUUGUCCAUGAUGUACAUUGUAUUACCUAAGAUUUAUAUGUUUGAUUAAUUUGUAACGAUUUUGCAGCCAAACCUAUGAGUGCAAAUCUUAACCCUGAAGCCGAAUUCGCGUAUGGUGCUGGCCUAAUAAAUCCUAGUAGGGCUCCGUAUCCUGGUUUGGUAUACGAUGCUGCUGAAAUCGAUUACGUAAAUUUUUUGUGUGCACAUGGCUAUAGUACCAGAUUAUUGAAAGCCCUUACCGGGGAUAGCUGCUCAUCAUCACAAUCUAGUCAUGGAACACUCAGUGAUCAUCUAAACUAUCCUUCUGUUGCACUUUCCACCUCGAACCCUAAAUCCGUCAAUGGCAUUUUCAAUAGGACCGUCACAAAUGUUGGAUCACCAAAGUCCACAUAUAAAGCUAAAGUGAGUGCACCACCAGGACUUGAAAUCAAAGUUAAUCCAAGCAUUCUAAAGUUCACAUCUCUCGGGCAGAAGCUAUCGUUUCAAGUCACGGUGAAAGGGUUGAUUGAAAAAACCAUAGUCUCUGGUUCUUUGGUGUGGGAUGAUGGUAAUUUCCAAGUGAGGAGCCCCAUUGUAGUGUAUUUUGUGUUUUGACAACAAGGUAUGUGUAAUAAUGUAUGAUGUAUGAAUAAGCAACAUGAAGGGCUCCAAUGAAACAAAAGUGCAACGUACUGAUCACGAUGAUGUAUUUUAAAUGAAAAUUAAAUUAUUAUAUAUUUAUGAACCUUUAAUAUGAUGCAGUACAUCGAAAUUUGAAACAUACUCAUUUAAGGAUAUUUUAUAGUUCUCUGUGCAAUCUAAUUGUAUAUUUGAUUGUUCAUUUUUGGUCUGCAUGGGAAAUAUGGAUUUUCUCCUAUGUUGAUUACUUGAUUUAAGUCCCCAUCCCUCGUUGCCCGUUUAUACAGGUUGUAGAGUCGGAACCUUCGUGAUUAAAAACAAAAGACCGAAAAACUUCGGUGGGGACAUUUGCAAACAACUACGUAUACACAUGAAAAAUAUCAGAAUAGUGAUGCGUAAAAUAAGUUAACACACAAAAUUAAACCCUCUUUUUAUCAAAUGUAGUAAAGUAUGUAAGUAGGGAUCGUUCUAGGCCGGGGAUUAGGAGGGAUUGCUAAACACUUGAAAACUGACUUAAAAACAUAAACACAAAAUUUAAACACUAAACUAGACUCAAAGAAUGCAAAACUAUACUUUAAAAUACUUAAACAAACAUAAAACUCAAAACAGCAACCUAAUGACUCAAAACCGCCUAAAAACCACUUUCUGGGCAGUUUUGAGAACCUAACAAGAACUUGGACGAAGUUGGAUGAAAACUUGAAUCAAAACACUUAGAAACACAAAUCAAAACACUUUCUAACUAAUCUAAGACUUCAAAAUAAAGGGGGAUUUGUUUUGGACGAAAAUUGAAAACAAAACAGAAACUUUAAAACAAAACAGAUUGUAAAACGUUUUUGGAUGAAAAGGAUGGAUAAAAGGCUAGUUAGGAGGUUCUUCUCCACACAUGACACACUUGCAAACAAAAUGAUUUUCAGUUGUUCUUUCAAUAAAUUAUGAAACUCAACACCCCAAGUUAAUUAGAUACGCUUAAAUUAACCUUCAAGUUCUCCUUAAGUUAAUGAAUUGGAUGGAAAAGCGCAUACAACAAUUCAAAGCAUUCCUCAAAGGUUCCUUACGUGAUGAGCACAAUAAAGAUACAAUCAAGAAUCAUGAAGCACAAUGAGAACUAUAAGUGUUGACGAGGCAUUCGUACUAUGAUGAGCAUGAAACUAGUGCCAAGAAUUCAUUCAACGCGAUCGUUUUCAAGCGACCUUCACUACUUGUAAUUAUAAGAUUGUAACUAUUAGGUGAAACUCCCUCAUAAUCUAGCAUCAUAUUCAUGCAUGAAAACUAAGCGUGCACUCUCAAUCAACAUACACAAAUAAGUUAUCAAUCAAGUAGAUGAACGAAUUGAAUCCGCAACUUAUGAAAUAACAACUGAAUGUAAUCAAAUCAUAUUGCAAGCAUGUACAUGGUUUCGAAUCACCCCCCAACUAAGGGGGUUUAGUUCCUCAUUCUUGCAAUACAAAGAUACAUAAAAUUAGACAUUAAAAUCAAAGGUAAGAAAAACACCUAAAAUGCUCCAACUUGGAAAGCAAGUGCAUCAAUGGAUCUCCCUUCCUCCUUGUUGCGGCAUGAAGCUUGUGGACAGAUUUUUGGGUGGAUUUAUGGUGUGUAGAAUGGAUGGGGAAUGAUAUGGAGGGGUUUAGGGUGAGUGUGGAAGAGUGUUUGAUGGUUGGAAGGUGGUGGAGAACUAGGCAAAGAGGGUGGAAGAAGGUGGAGUGGUGAUUAUGUUUUCUAGGCACUAGAAUGGUGUUUUUGGGGUGUUUUGCUUCCUAGGGUGUGUAUGGACGAAUUUCUGUGAUAAAAUGAUGAAUAUGGGGGAUUGUUCUUUGGCCAAGGGGUGUAAACAUGUAUUUAUAGGCCCCAAAAACCUUAGAAAAUAAGGUUAGGUUAAGGAUGAAAUGCAUGGCAAUUUGUGUGUGUGGUGUGCAAUGGUCCAAGGGUGAAAAUGAAGUAAUGAUGCAAAGUGUGAAGGGUAAAAUGGAGUGGUGUUGUAGCUAGGGAGCAUGAAUGAUUGUGUACAUUGCAUAGAGAUGGAAAUGGAGGUGAAAUGUGUCAACAAAUGGGUCAAAGGUGCAACAACAUGUGUUGCACAUGGCAUUGGAUUCCAAAUGUGAAUGAUGGAGCAUCAAUUGGUGCAUGUAAUGGAUGUAAAGGUUGUCUAAAAUCUAAUGGGUGAAGGGAACAAGAGGUAUCAAGCAAUUGAGUGAAAUAAUUAAAUGAAUUAAAGCAUGAAAUCAGAAAUUAUGUAGGGGACAAGAGUGAUCAAGCAUGGCAUGGAAUCCAAAGGGAAUUCUAUGUGGUUUGCAUGGCAAGGAAUGCAAGUUGGGGUGACAGAUUUUUGGGCUGUUUUCUUCAUCUUUUGGACCAUAAUUCUUCAUAUUCUUGGCCUCUUUAGUUCUCAAAUUCGUCCAUCCACUUGGCCCAUGCAUUUGCUAUCCAUUCCAAGCCCGAAACAUGCUCCAAAGGCCUCCAAAAUGCAUCUUCUUGCAUACUUUGUACUUAGAGUCUUUCACUUUGCAAGUGGGCUUCUUUGCAUGUGUAUGAGUUGUCAUUGUUUAUCCUUGCAAUUACACACACACACACUUGCACACACAUAUGCCCAAAACGUCCAUCCUCAUGCAUGCAAUCCAUUUGAGCCCAAUAUUGAUCCAACAUGCACCAAAAUGCACUUUUCUUGCCAAGGUUGUUAUUAAGACCUACAAACAAAUGAAAAUGGCUUUAAACACUAAAAUAACUAAAGAAACACAACGUAAACACACAAGAACAAGCCAAUUAAGUCGCAUAAAUAUGCUCCUAUCAAAUUCCCCCACACUUAGCUUUUGCUAGUCCUCGAGCAAAACAAAGAAAUAAAACGAAACAAAACAAAUAAAACACAACCUAAACCUUCCAACAUUUGCCUCAGGGAUUUCCAAUGCACAUGACAUGUUAAAAAUCAUUAUCCCCACAGAUUUGAGUCAUCUUUACACUUAAGCACAUACUUAAUCAUAGUCACCACUUACUAGUUCACAAUUAAUCAAUUAAAAACAAUGUUUUUUGAUGUAGUAACAUGCCUUAGAGAAUUCACUCAAUUCCUUACAAGAUAUGCACUCAAUUUUCACUCAGAUUUUCCAACUACACACCCUAUACUAGUUAUAUGUGAGAAGAUUGAUGUAGAUAUGAAAACGAAUGCUCACAUAUAUGUAUCACAAAGAAAGCAAUUUCUGGAGUUAAUAAGCAUGUUUAGAUAUGAUCUCAUGAAUGGAAUGCUAUUACUUAGAUGCGAGAACCAGUGACACCAUAUGCUCAUAUCAAUUUCAAACUCCACAUAUUGAAACGCAUGACACUCAAGAUGAAGUUAAGGGUUGUAACGGGGCUUGGGGUGAUGGCUAACAAAUGAAGGAUAAGGAUAACAAUCGUUCUUAAAGCAAUAGCAAGUAAAGUAAUGAAAUUGAAACUUAGAAUUCACUUAGAUUGCAGUAAUCAACUUUUAACACGAAGGGAAGAUUCAAGCAAUAAUUAGGGCCGAAUUCUAUGUUUUGGACCCUUUCUUCAACAAGCAGCACUUUAAAACUCUUUUUCGCAUAUUUUUCAACUCUUUUUUUUUUUUUUUUUUUUUUUCAACUCUUCUUUUCUUUUCAACAAGCAUAAUAACUCACACUUCCCCCACACUUGUUUUCUGCCAUACAUUAAUCAAAAGAAAUUCAAUUUGAAUUAUGUUUUACUAUGCUUCAAGAACAAGGGUAUGGAUGGUCCUAAACUAGGCUAGGUAAGGAUAAUGUGGUUUAACAAAGAAUGUAGGCUAUCAAGGCUCAAUGGGGUUAACUUAAACAUAUAACGAUAUGGGAUACAUGGCAGUUUGGCUUUGGUGGUGGUAACUACAUAACUUCAUCUUGAAUAUGUUUUAUGCAAAUCAAUAGCAUGCUUUGAAUGAAAUAGGCAUGAGUUCUAGCAUUUGGAACUAAAUGAUGAAACGCCUUCUAAGUAAUAACCAAGCAAAGAAUAAUGAGAUCAUGCAACGACUUUAGAAAACAAGAAUGCACAGAUUUUAACUCUCCAAAUAAACGUUUAGGCUCAAGUCUCACAAGGUUGUAGCGUUAGUUUGAGUUCUUUCCUUCAAGCAUGUUACAAAAACUAAUUUUUUUCGUUUUUAUGAUUACAUGUGAUUUCAUAAGUUAUAACCACAACCACGCAUAAAUAAAGAGUAAAUCAAACUUUCAUCCAUGUUUAUAACUCUCUUUAACAGUCAUGCAAUUACAAACCGAAUCCUCAUCAUUGUGUUGGAAGGUACCCUAAGACACAGAUAAGCGCACAAAAACAACUCUUUUUUUUUUAUUUUCAAAAAACAAUUUUUUUCAAAUUUUUAUGAAUUUUCGGAUUUUUAUGUCAAAACACACUGAAACACUCCAAAACAGCUUAAAAAAUACUUAAAACAACAAGGAACAACACUAGAAUUAAUGGGUGAUAAAUUUCUACGAAUUUCAUGCAAAACAAUGGUUACCCCCCCCACACUUAAAUCAAACAUUGUCCUCAAUGUUUCAAGCAUAUACUCACACCAAAAACAAGCAAAUAACAAACGACAAAUAAACAUGACAAAUAUGGCAAAGUAAAAAAACCAGACAGAGUAGAGUUUAAGAACGCAAAUCUGGUUUUGGAGAUAGUUGAUCUUGUUGACUUUCCACAGCUUUGAACUUGAACUGGAUUGGAAUUGUACGGCGAAGCUUUUUCUCUUUGGCGAUGUUGCAAUUCCUUAUUUGUUCUCCAAGCAGAUGUGGCAGCCACGAGGGAGAGGUGUUGGUCUGUUUCUUUCUUUCCCAGUUUGCUGUUCAUUUCCACGAAGUUUAAUGUUAAAAUCCUUUGCAUAUUUGUUAAUGUUUCAAAAUAGAAAGUCAUAACCAAAAAUAAUUAAACAAGUAAUAAAAUAGACAAUCAAACAGAAUAAAUGGGUUGCCUCCCUUAAAGCGCUUGCUUUAACGUCUUCCAGCCGGACGAUGAACACCUUCACUUCUCCUUGGAACCCACGGCAUGCAGUGGGAUCUCCUCCACAACAUGUUCCACAAAGUUCUCGUAGUAUGGCUUCAAGCGAUGUCCAUUCACCUUGAAUUCUUGCCCGGUUCUCAAGCUCUUAAUUUGGACUGCACCAUGCACAAAAAGAUUAGUAACAACAAACGGGCCAACCCAUUUGGAACGUAACUUACCAGGGAAUAGACGAAGGCGGGAGUUGAACAAACAACACUUUCUGCCCAAUUUCGAAAGUCUUGCCUCGAAGCAUCUUAUCAUGGAAUGCCGUGGUCUUCUCUUUGUAAAUUCUAGCAUUCUCAUAAGCUUCAUGCCUUAUCUCAUCAAGUUCACUCAAUUGAAGCUUUCGAUGAAUUCCAGCUUGGUCCACAUUCAAAUUGAAGGUCUUGAUGGCCCAAUGAGCUCUAUGUUCUAAUUCCACGGGAAGAUGGCAAGGCUUGCCAUACACAAGUCGAAAAGGAGACAUACCAAUGGGGGUCUUGUAAGCCGUUCGAUACGCCCAUAGUGCAUCAUCCAGCCGUAAGCUCCAAUCUUUUCUCUAUUUGGCCCAACGGUCUUCUCCAAAAUCUGUUUGAUCUCACGAUUAGAUACCUCGGCUUGGCCAUUGGUUUGGGGGUGGUAAGGUGUGGAAACCUUAUGCGUCACAUGAUACUUCUUGAGUAAUGCCCCAAUGGUACGGUUGCAAAAAUGAGACCCUCCAUCACUGAUUAGCACCCUAGGCAUCCCAAAUCUAGAAAAGAUAUUAGUUUUCACAAAAUCUGCCACAACUUUAGAAUCGUUAGUUCGAGUGGCUUUCGCUUCCACCCACUUUGAAACAUAAUCAACGGCAAGUAAUAUGUAGGUGAAACCAAAAGAUGAAGGAAAAGGACCCAUAAAAUCGAUACCCCAAACAUCAAAGAUUUCAACAACAAAGAUGGGUACCUGCGGCAUUUGAUCUUUUUGGCUAAUAUUACCUGUCCUUUGGCAGCGAUCACAUGUUAAACAGAAGGUUCUAGCAUCUUUAAACAAAGUAGGCCAAUAAAAACCACAUUCAAGAACCUUAAAAGCUGUCCUUUGGGUGCCAAAGUGACCCCCACAUGCAUAUGUGUGACAAAAACUUAAAAUUGAGUGAAAAUCUGAUUCAUGCACACAUCUUCUUAUAACCUGAUCUGAACAAAUAUUUCCACAAGUAUGGGUCAUCCCAAACAUAAAAUCUAGCAUCCUUUUUAAGUUUAUCACGUUGGAAUUUGUUUAGGGUGCUAGGAACUUGUUUAGUCACCAAAUAAUUCACCAAAUCCGCGUACCAAGGCUCACUUACCUGGAUAGACAUUAGUUGCUCAUCGGGGAAGGUUUCAGAAAUUGGCGAUGCUUCCUCAUGCACCAUUCGACUUAGGUGGUCAGCCACCACAUUCUCCACGCCCUUCUUAUCCCGAAUCUCAAUGUCAAACUCUUGUAGAAGCAACAUCCAUCGAAUUAGUCUAGGCUUGGCCUCCUUUUUUGUGAGUAAAUACUUGAGAGCUGCAUGAUCAGUAAAAAUAAUAACUUUAGUACCAAGUAAGUAUGAUCGGAACUUAUCUAAUGCAAAUACCACAGCAAGUAAUUCUUUUUCAGUGGUGGAGUAAUUUAAUUGAGCAUCAUUUAGUGUCCUAGAGGCAUAAUAAAUAACAUGAGGUUGUUUGUUCUUUCGUUGCCCCAAAACAGCACCAAUCGCAUAAUCCGAAGCAUCGCACAUCAACUCGAAUGGAAGGCUCCAAUCUGGAGGUGUGAUAAUGGGAGCCGAAGUAAGAGCUUCUUUUAAUUGCUUGAAUGCCGUGGAGCAUGCAUCAUCAAACUCGAAAGCCACCUCUUUUUGAAGCAAUCGGCAUAGUGGUUGUGAAAUCUUGGAGAAAUCCUUUAUGAAACGCCUAUAAAAACCUGCGUGACCAAGAAACGAACGAACCUCUCUAACCGAAGUUGGAGAGGGUAAGUGACGAACAAGGUCUACCUUAGAUUUAUCCACUUCAAUGCCUUCUUCAGAAAUAAUAUGUCCUAGAACAAUACCUUGCUUAACCAUGAAGUGACAUUUUUUCCCAAUUAAGCACAAGAUUCGUUUUCAACACAACGUUUCAAAAUUAAGGUCAGAUUACUCAAGCAAUGAUCGAAUGAAUUACCAAACACGCUGAAAUCAUCCAUGAAUAUCUCAAUAAUUUUCUCCACAUAAUCAGAAAAGAUACUCACCAUGCAUCGUUGAAAUGUCGCAGGGGCAUUGCACAAACCAAAUGGCAUGCGCCUGUAUGCAAAGGUGCCAAAGGGGCACGUGAACGUUGUCUUUUCUUGGUCCUCCGGAGCUAUCACAAUUUGGUUAUAUCCGGAAUAUCCAUCAAGAAAGCAAUAAAAUUUAUAACCGGCUAACCUUUCUAACAUUUGAUCCAGGAAUGGCAACGGAAAGUGAUCUUUCCUUGUCAUGGCAUUUAACUUCCUGUAAUCAAUACAAACACGCCAACCGGUCACCACACGAGUGGGUACAAGCUCUUGUUCUUCAUUCUUCACCACCGUGAUCCCGGACUUCUUUGGAACAACCUGCACGGGAGACACCCAACGACUAUCAGAAAUAGGGUAUAUAACACCACAGUCAAGCAAUUUUAUAACCUCCUUCUUUACUACUUCCAACAUGGGUGGAUUAAGGCGACGUUGAGCCUCCCGAGAUGGCUUAGCUCCCUCCUCCAAAAGGAUGCGAUGCAUGCACGUGGUGGGACUAAUGCCUUUGAUAUCCGCCAAGGUCCAUCCAAUGGCAGAUUUGUGCUCCUUUAACACCCUUAUCAACUUGUCUUCUUCUUGGGCCGUGAGUGAGCUAGAUAUGAUGACGGGUAGUGUUUGAUCUUCUCCCAAGAAAACAUACUUCAAGUGACUAGGUAAUGGCUUCAACUCAAGUGUAGGUGGCUGCACAAUGGAUGGAAGUAACUUGUUAGCCAAAACCGAAUCUAAAAUUGAGAGUGAAGACUUACCAGAAUGUGAUGUCAAUGACUCGAGGGCCGCGACCAUUUCAAACACUUCACCACAAGGGGGCACGUCAAUAUGGUCAGAUUCCAUGCCGUGGGUUGCUUGGAUUCCCCCACACUUGUUUCUUGCUCCUAUGCCGUGUACUAAGGCUAUUUCAAGUGCAUCGUCGUUCAUUCGAUCCAAAUGUACCUGUGCCAAAGAAUCAACAAUGUCAAUAGCGAAACAAGAAUGGUCCUCCAUUGGAUAUUUAAUGGUUUCAGAAAGAUUAAAACGAAUAAUGUCUCCAUCAAACUCCAUGGUUAAUGUUCCCAUAAACACAUCUAUUUUUGUUCUCGCUGUUUUCAUGAAUGGUCGGCCUAGCAAGAUUGGCAAUGAUGGAGCAUGGCUUGAAUCCUCCAUUUCUAAGACAUAAAAAUCUGCAGGAAAGAUAAGAUGAUUGACCUGCACUAAAACAUCCUCAAGGACUCCCUUGGGAUAAGCGUUAGAACGAUCGGCCAAUUGAAUUAUCACGCCAUCUUGUUUUAACUCACCAAGGUUCAUUGAUGCAUAAAUGGAAUAUGGCAUAACAUUAAUAGAAGCACCUAAAUCUAACAUGCAUUUUUCAAAUCUAGUGUUUCCAAUUACGCAUGGGAUAGUAAAGCUCCCUGGAUCCUUACACUUUGGAGGUAACUUCCGUUGCAAAACCGCAGAUACAUUUUCACUUACCUUCACAACUUCUUUGUUUGAAAUUCUUUUCCUAGUUGUGCAUAAUUCUUUUAAAAACUUUGCGUACCUGGGCACUUGCUUAAUAGCAUCAAGUAAAGGAAUGUUUACUUGGACUUUUCGAAAGGUAUCCAAAAUGUCCUUUUCGCUUUCUUCUUUCUUCGAUUGUGCAAAUCUACGAGGGAAAGGAACAUUGGGCAGAUUAGUGUUCGAAAUCACAACAUUUGGAACAUUCUUACCUGAGGUGGACGGAUGGGAUGUCUUAGAUGGCUGCGGCAUGGGUGAUGGUACCCUUGCCGUGGGGUAGGUGUUCUCAUCUUCCUUGAGUUGUAUCUUCUCAUCUUCCUUGUUUCUCACCUCUUUUCCACUUCGUAAUGUGAUAGCCUUUGCAGAUUCGAAGCCACCCUUUGGAUUGACCACCGUAGUGCUUGGUAACUUACCAUUUUCACGGAAUUGCCCCAAAAAAUUCGGCCAUUUGUCCCAUUUGCUUCUUCAGCUCAUUAACCUCCUUUGCUUGGUUCUGCAUUCCCUGCGCCAUGGUGGUUAGUAACUGAUAUGUUUUAUCAUCAUUCAUAGACGUACCUGGGUUGGUUUGGGAAGAUUGUGCCUGAGGAGGUGGUUGUGGUUCCAUUGGCCUUGGAAAGAAACCCGGGGGUUGUCGGAAUCCACUUUGUUGGCCAUAUUGUGGUGCAUCUCUCCAUCUGAAAUUGGGGUGGUCACGCCAUCCCGGGUUGUAUGUAUUGGAGAAAGGAUCAUUCCUUGGUUGGUUUUGAUUCCCAUAACCCACAGCAUUGGCCGAUUCCCAUCCUCCAUUCUCAAUUAAUUGAGGGCAUUGAUCAGAUUGGUGUCCUUGAAUGGAGCAUACACCACAGAUUGUAGUUCCUUGCGUUUUGGGGCCUUCAACCAACUGCGAUAACAUAGACGUAAGGUUAGCCAUUUGGGAUUGUAACUCAGAAAUAGAACUUACCUCAUUGACAUGAUGUGGCCGUGGGGUGUCUCUUUGCCCAACACCUUCAUAUUGUUGUGCAUUGAGUGCUCGAUUCGCAAUGAGAGUUUUGGCAUCCCUAGGUGUCUUAUCCACUAGAGCUCCUCCCGCGGAAGCAUCCAACAUUUGCCGUUCAAGUGGUAAAAGACCUUCGUAAAAGUAUUGAAGAAGUAACUCCUCCUUCAUCUGAUGCUGUGGACAAGAAGCAACAAGUGAUUUAAAUCGUUCAUAAUAAGAUGGAAAAGAUUCACCUUGGCUUUGCUGAAUUCCGCUUAUUUUUUUACGAAGAAGAAUGAUGCGAGAAGUUGGGAAAAACUUCUCCAGAAAUGCCCUCUUCAUACUCUCCCAAGAUGUAACUGUACCGGGAGCCAACUCGUAUAACCAAUCCUUGGCUUUGUCCAUUAAAGAGAAUGGAAAAGCCUUCAUCUUUAAAAUACUUCCGUCAACGGUAACUGGAGUCAUACUUGAGCAUACCACUUCAAAUUCCUUCAAAUGUUUGUUCGGAUCCUCCAUGGACAGCCCAUGGAACUUUGGAAUGUGGUGGAGCAAACUUGACUUUAACUCGAACUCUUCAGUUUUACCUUGAGCAGCCAUGGGAUAUUGGAUACACAAUGGUGCGGCAUUAUCCAAACCCGAGGCGGCAAGCUCCUUGAGCGUACGGUUGUCCAUGGCUAUACCUUGCUCUUCUCCACCCACUUGUGCCGUGGCCUUCUCUUCAACCUCAACUUCUUGCUCUUCUAAUUCAGGCUCGGGACUAGGAGGAUUAGACUCUUGCAAUUUCUUUUUCCUUCUCAAAGUCCUCUCAAAAUCACCGUCAAAGUCGGAGAUAUACUCACGAACAGGUUGUGAGCUACGGGUCAUAAACUAGUACCUAAAAACAAAGAAAACAAAACAAAUCAGCAACUUAAACAGAAACUUAAACAAAAUACAAUAAUUCGAAAGAAAACAAUCCAAGAGAUUAGCAAAGUUGCUAAUCCCCGGCAACGGCGCCAAAAUUUGAUGUGAAAAAUAAGUUAACACACAAAAUUAAACCCUCUUUUUAUCAAAUGUAGUAAAGUAUGUAAGUAGGGAUCGUUCUAGGCCGGGGAUUAGGAGGGAUUGCUAAACACUUGAAAACUGACUUAAAAACAUAAACACAAAAUUUAAAAAACACUAAACUAGACUCAAAGAAUGCAAAACUAUACUUUAAAAUACUUAAACAAACAUAAAACUCAAAACAGCAACCUAAUGACUCAAAACCGCCUAAAAACCACUUUCUGGGCAGUUUUGAGAACCUAACAAGAACUUGGACGAAGUUGGAUGAAAACUUGAAUCAAAAACACUUAGAAACACAAAUCAAAACACUUUCUAACUAAUCUAAGACUUCAAAAUAAAGGGGGAUUUGUUUUGGACGAAAAUUGAAAACAAAACAGAAACUUUAAAACAAAACAGAUUGUAAAACGUUUUUGGAUGAAAAGGAUGGAUAAAAGGCUAGUUAGGAGGUUCUUCUCCACACAUGACACACUUGCAAACAAAAUGAUUUUCAGUUGUUCUUUCAAUAAAUUAUGAAACUCAACACCCCAAGUUAAUUAGAUACGCUUAAAUUAACCUUCAAGUUCUCCUUAAGUUAAUGAAUUGGAUGGAAAAGCGCAUACAACAAUUCAAAGCAUUCCUCAAAGGUUCCUUACGUGAUGAGCACAAUAAAGAUACAAUCAAGAAUCAUGAAGCACAAUGAGAACUAUAAGUGUUGACGAGGCAUUCGUACUAUGAUGAGCAUGAAACUAGUGCCAAGAAUUCAUUCAACGCGAUCGUUUUCAAGCGACCUUCACUACUUGUAAUUAUAAGAUUGUAACUAUUAGGUGAAACUCCCUCAUAAUCUAGCAUCAUAUUCAUGCAUGAAAACUAAGCGUGCACUCUCAAUCAACAUACACAAAUAAGUUAUCAAUCAAGUAGAUGAACGAAUUGAAUCCGCAACUUAUGAAAUAACAACUGAAUGUAAUCAAAUCAUAUUGCAAGCAUGUACAUGGUUUCGAAUCACCCCCCAACUAAGGGGGUUUAGUUCCUCAUUCUUGCAAUACAAAGAUACAUAAAAUUAGACAUUAAAAUCAAAGGUAAGAAAACACCUAAAAUGCUCCAACUUGGAAAGCAAGUGCAUCAAUGGAUCUCCCUUCCUCCUUGUUGCGGCAUGAAGCUUGUGGACAGAUUUUUGGGUGGAUUUAUGGUGUAGAAUGGAUGGGGAAUGAUAUGGAGGGGUUUAGGGUGAGUGUGGAAGAGUGUUUGAUGGUUGGAAGGUGGUGGAGAACUAGGCAAAGAGGGUGGAAGAAGGUGGAGUGGUGAUUAUGUUUUCUAGGCACUAGAAUGGUGUUUUUGGGGUGUUUUGCUUCCUAGGGUGUGUAUGGACGAAUUUCUGUGAUAAAAUGAUGAAUAUGGGGGAUUGUUCUUUGGCCAAGGGGUGUAAACAUGUAUUUAUAGGCCCCAAAAACCUUAGAAAAUAAGGUUAGGUUAAGGAUGAAAUGCAUGGCAAUUUGUGUGUGUGGUGUGCAAUGGUCCAAGGGUGAAAAUGAAGUAAUGAUGCAAAGUGUGAAGGGUAAAAUGGAGUGGUGUUGUAGCUAGGGAGCAUGAAUGAUUGUGUACAUUGCAUAGAGAUGGAAAUGGAGGUGAAAUGUGUCAACAAAUGGGUCAAAGGUGCAACAACAUGUGUUGCACAUGGCAUUGGAUUCCAAAUGUGAAUGAUGGAGCAUCAAUUGGUGCAUGUAAUGGAUGUAAAGGUUGUCUAAAAUCUAAUGGUGUGAAGGGAACAAGAGGUAUCAAGCAAUUGAGUGAAAUAAUUAAAUGAAUUAAAGCAUGAAAUCAGAAAUUAUGUAGGGGACAAGAGUGAUCAAGCAUGGCAUGGAAUCCAAAGGGAAUUCUAUGUGGUUUGCAUGGCAAGGAAUGCAAGUUGGGGUGACAGAUUUUUGGGCUGUUUUCUUCAUCUUUUGGACCAUAAUUCUUCAUAUUCUUGGCCUCUUUAGUUCUCAAAUUCGUCCAUCCACUUGGCCCAUGCAUUUGCUAUCCAUUCCAAGCCCGAAACAUGCUCCAAAGGCCUCCAAAAUGCAUCUUCUUGCAUACUUUGUACUUAGAGUCUUUCACUUUGCAAGUGGGCUUCUUUGCAUGUGUAUGAGUUGUCAUUGUUUAUCCUUGCAAUUACACACACACACUUGCACACACAUAUGCCCAAAACGUCCAUCCUCAUGCAUGCAAUCCAUUUGAGCCCAAUAUUGAUCCAACAUGCACCAAAAUGCACUUUUCUUGCCAAGGUUGUUAUUAAGACCUACAAACAAAUGAAAAUGGCUUUAAACACUAAAAUAACUAAAGAAACACAACGUAAACACACAAGAACAAGCCAAUUAAGUCGCAUAAAUAUGCUCCUAUCAAAUAGCAUCAUGUAUCGGUGGCAUAAAAAUCUUUACUUCUAGAUGUUGGCACAUGAUCAUGUUGUGCUAGGAUAACACCAAAACCAAUUGGAACCAACUCAAGCUAACCCACAGGAAAUAUAUCAAAUGGAAUGCAAGAACAAAAUAUAAAAGACACCAAGAUUUUAACGAGGUUCCUCAACAGUCAGUGUAACUGGAGUACGUAUUCGGAGCAGUAGCAGCUCAUCCAAUAAUCCACUAUCAACCAAAUGAGAGUUUACAAAGUGUUGGCAAUCUCACAACCUAAAACCCCAAUACACCCAAUAACUUUCACUCACCAAAGAAACAAAUAGAGAGGGAAAUAUAGUGAAUAAUUUCCUCUCUAUACAAAAGCUCAAAACUAAUACACAAAUACAACUUUGAUUGAGUGAGUACCAACAAAGAAAGAAAAUCACCUUUCUUUCUUCUCUUCAAAAUGGGGCUGCAGCACCUCUAUUUUUGCUCUCUAUUUUCUGCUGCGUUUUUCUGCUCUAUGGCUGCCUUACAACCUUUAAUCAAAAGCAGCAAUUACUUCCAAUUAAAACCCUCAGCCGCGGCUUUUCAUAGGCCAAAUAAAAAAAAAAAUUUCUCCAACAUCAUAAUUGCCAUCAUCACAAAGCAAGGAACAUCAUAAUUGAUGUCUCCCUUUUUUCCUUUUUUUAUUAGCCAAAAGAUAUCUAGUAAUUUGGCCAUUUUUUCUUUUGCUUUGUUUAAUAGCUGAAAGUUAAUGCUGAGUUGGCCACUUGGCCACAAUUCAACAAUCUCCACCUUGGCCAAGUUCCGAAAGCGCGAUGAUAAGUCAACCAACACAAUUGACACAAAAAAUCACUCCCAAACACUAGCAAGAGAACAACUCAUGCCGAGCUAAAUGCUCCAAAACUCCUACUGCUCAACGCAUAAUGUGAGCCAAGUUCAAACAGUGAACAAACUUGGCUACACCAACAACCUUAGUCAACAUAUCAGCGGGGUUGUCUUUAGUUGGAAUCUUCUGGAGAAUAAUCUCUCAUUCACCAACGACUUCACGAACAAAGUGAUUGCACACAUCUAUGUGCUUGGUCCUUGCAUGAUGAACCUGAUACUUAGCCAAAUAAAUGGCACUCUGACUAUCACAAUGUACCUCCACCUGCUUCUGAUCAACCCCCAAAUCUCUAAUCAGCCCAUGUAUCCAAAUGACCUCCUUUAUAGCUUCAACAACUGCCAUAUAUUCAGCUUCUGUAGUAGACAAGGCAACAGACGACUGCAAAAUGGACCUCCAACAAACUGGUCCUUUAGCCAUAGUAAACACAUAGCCUGUAGUAGACUUCCUUCUAUCCAGAUCACCUGCAUAAUCUAAAUCAACAUAACCAACUGCAAAAUGACCAAUACCAGAAUCAUCUCUCUCAAAGCAUAAACCAACAUCUCGAGUACCAUGGAGAUACCUUAAUAUCCACUUUGCUGCUUGCCAAUGCUCUUUACCUGGAUUAUGCAUAUAUCGACUUACCAUGCCAACUGCAUGAGCAAUAUCCGGUCUAGAGCAUACCAUUGCAUACAUCAAACUACCAACCAAAUUUGCAUAUGGUAUAUUUUUCAUUUGCAGCUUCUCUUUAUCAGUUUUAGGAUAUUGUAGAGAACUCAAUUUAAAAUGAGGAGCCGAAGGGGUACUAACCGGUUUGGUUGAAUCAUGAACUCCAAACUUCCGAAUCAACUUCUCAAGGUAUUGUCUUUGAUUCAAACUGACCAAACUCUUCGCUCUAUCUCUAGUGAUCAUCAUGCCAAGGAUCUUCUUCGCUUCACCAAUAUCCUUCAUCUCAAACUCAUUCUUCAUUUGCUUCUUCAAAUUUUCAAUCUCUUCAACAUUCUUUGAGGCGAUUAACAUAUCAUCAACAUAUAUCAACAAAUAAAUGAAAGACCCAUCUUGCAACUUCUUGAAGUACACACAAUGAUCAUAUUGACUUCUAGAAUAAUUUUGGCCUCUCAUAAAUUUAUCAAACCUCAAAUACCAUUGCCUUGGAGAUUGCUUCAAGCCAUAAAGUGAUUUCUUCAAUUUGCAAAACAAAUUCUCCUUCCCUUUCACUAUAUACCCAUCCGGUUGACACGUAUAAAUCUCUUCAUUCAAAUCACCAUGUAGGAAAACCGUCUUCACAUCAAGUUGCACAAGCUCAAGAUCAUACUGUGUAACAAGAGCUAACAUAAUGCGAAUUGAGGAGUGCUUCACAACCGGAGAAAAGAUUUCAUUGUAGUCAAUUCCCUCCUUUUGUGCAUACCCUUUAGCAACUAAUCUUGCUUUGAAUCUCACAUUGCUUUUCUCAUCAGCAUCUUCCUUCUUGGCAUACACCCAUUUGCAACCGAUAGCUUUCUUGCCCUUAGGCAAUUUAGCAAACUCCCAAGUCUUGUUCUUCAAGAGAGAAUUCAUCUCAUCACCCAUGACAUUGCACCACCUCUCAUUUUCUUCACUCUCAAUAGCUUCCUCAAAAUUGGAUGGAAUCUCAUCAGUGAUAAUAGGAAGAGCAAAAGAAACAUAGUCACUAUACCGAGCUGGCUUGGUAAUUUGUCUAUUUCCUCUGUUCUUGGCAAUAGACUCUUGAGGUGAAACUUGCUUUUCAACUUGAAUAAAAUCUUCAAGUUCAAUUUCUUCAACAUCCUCAUGGUCUCCAACCUCUUCACUUGUAGUGGCUUCGACAUCAGUGGAAAUAUGGUUUGAAGUAUCGGAGGCAACUUUCUCAAGCUCCACCUGUUGGACAUCUUUCACAUUCUUCUCAGAGCCUUUGUACAUACUUUCUUCAUCAAAUGUCACAUCUCUGCUGAUAACAAGUUUUUUCAUCUCUGGGCACCACAACCUGUAACCUUUGACACCACUACUAAAACAAAAAAAGAUAGCCUUUUUGGCUCUAGGAUCAAGUUUAUUUUCAGUCACAUGAAAAUAAGCAGGUGAACCAAAAAUACGGAUAUAGUCAUAAUCAGAAGAAGGUUUUCCAGUCCAUACCUUCAUUGGUGUCUUACCCUGAACAGCAGCUGAGGGUAACCGGUUGAUGAUGUGACAUGCAUAAUUAACUGCCUCUACCCAAAAUGACUUGCUUAAACCCCGACUGAGACAACAUACAUCUAGUCUUCUCAAGCAAGGUUCGAUUCAAUCUUUUUGCAGCUCUAUUUUGUUGUGGAGUUCCCCGAACACUAAAAUGUCUCACAAUCCCUUCCUCUUUGCAAACUUUAAAGAAAGGGUCGGAUGUGUAUUCACCACCAUUAUCCGAUCUCAAAAUCUUAAUCUUUCUCCCAAUCUGGUUCUCAACCAUUUUCUUCUAACCCAAGAACAUGCUCAACACCUCACUCGUGUGCUUCAUAGUGUAGACCCAAGACCUUCUUAAAUAAUCAUCAACAAAGGUCACGAACCAAUGUCUACCACUCAAAGAGGGAGUCUUUGUAGGACCCCAAACAUCUGAAUGCACAUAAUCAAGAAUGCCCUUCGUCUGAUGUACUGCAGUACCAAACUUUACUCUAGUUUGCUUUCCUAAGAUACAAUGCUCGUAGAAAUCAAGUUUACAAGUUGUGGCACCUUUUAGAAGACCUUGUUUCACAAGUCCUUGUAGAGCUUUCUCACCGGCAUGACCUAAUCUCAUAUGCCACAGUCUAGUAGUAUCUGAAUCAGAUGUGCCUAUAUUUUCUGUGACUACAGACGAUUCACCUGUCACGGUGCUUCCUUGCAAUAAAUCCAAAUGACCACAUCGAGGAGCUUUCAUCACAACAAGUGCACCAUAGGUAACUUUCAAUGUCUGCCCAUUUGAAUGAAACCUGAAGCCCUUGGAUUCUGAAGUUCCCAAAGAAAUAAGAUUUUUCUUCAAAUUCGGUACAUACCGAACACUUGUCAACUCUUUAACCAUGCCAUCAUACAACUUCAAACGAACUGUACCAAUCCCUUUUGUUGUGCAAGGAUUGUCAUCUCCCAUGAACAUAACACCACCAUCAAACUCUUUCAAGCUUGAAAACCAAUAUUUGUGAGGAGUCAUAUGAUGAGUACAACCCGUAUCCAACCCACUUAGUUGCACAAUCAAAUGAUGAGGAAGUGGUUAAAGCAAAAUCAAAAAAAUCUGUUUCAACCUCAGCAACAUUGGCUUCAGAACUUUCUUUUCCUUUGGUCUUUAGCUUAGGACAAUCUUUCUUCCAAUGACCCUUAUUAUGACAAAAGGCACAUUCAUCACGUUCCAAGGUUUUUCUACCUUUAGAGUUUCCACUAGGUCGAGAGUGUGAUUUUUUUCUACUAGUAAAUGACCUCCUCUCUGAUGAUCUACCUCUAACAAAUAAAGCUUCAGAGGUACUAUUAUGAUUUUUAUCUCUAUACCUCAUUUCAUAAUUCAUUAAGGUAUUUGACACAUCUUCAAAUUUCACAGUUUCUUUACCAUGCAUAAUAGUGGUAACAAAAUGCUCAUAAGAGUCCGGCAAGGAAUUCAACAAUAUUAAGGCCUUAUCUUCAUCCUUAAUAUCCUCAUCUAAAUUUAACAAGUUGGCAAUCAACUUAUUAAAAACAUCAAGGUGUCUAAUCAUUUUUGUACCUUCUUUGUAUUGGAAGCGGUAGAGCUUUUUCUUUGAGUGUAGCCGGUUCUCUGCACUCUUCGUCAUAUACUUGUCUUCCAAUUUUUGCCACAACACACUUGUUACUGUCUCCUGCAUCACAAAAUACUUCUGAGUUUUUGCAAGGCACAAUCGAAUUGAAGAGCAAGCCCACAAAUUUAAUUUCUCCCAUUCCGGCUUCGAGAUAGCUUCCGACUUCUCUCCCAAAGCGGCAAGUAGAUCUUGUUGAGCCAACACAUCUUUGACCUCACAUUGCCACAUCCCGAAGUUGUUUGUGCCAUCAAAUUUUUCCAUUUCGAACUUUGCAUUUUGCACCGUAGUUCUUACAAACCUGGAGCUGCUUCCAAAAUGAUUCUCAUCUUGCCCGUCUGACAUCUUUGGCAACUAAACAGUACCCAAGAGCAACCAGUGCUCUGAUACCAAUUGUUGUGCUAGGAUAACACCAAAUCCAAUUGGAACCAACUUAAGCUAACCCAUAGGAAAUAUAUCAAAUGGAAUGCAAGAACAAAAUAUAAAAGACACCAACAUUUUAACGAGGUUUCUCAACAGUCAGUGUAACUAGAGUACGUUCUCGGAGUAGUAGGAGCUCAUCCAAUAAUCCACUAUCAACCAAAUGGGAGUUUACAAAGUGUUGGCAAUCUCACAACCCAAAACCCCAAUACACCCAAUAACUCUCACUCACCAAAGAAACAAAUGGAGAGGGAAAUAUAGUGAAUAAUUUCCUCUCUAUACAAAGCUCAAAGCUAAUACACAAAUACAACUUUGAUUGAGUGAGUACCAACAAAGAAAGAAAAUUACAUUUCUUUCUUCUCUUCAAAAUGGGGCUGCAGCACCUCUGUUUUUGCUCUCUAUUUUCUGCUGCGUUUUUCUACUCUAUGGCUGCCUUACAACCCUUAAUCAAAAGCAUCAAUUACUUCCAAUUAAAACCCUCAGCCGUGGCUUUUCAUAGGCCAAAUAAAAAAACAAAUUUUUUCCAACAUCAUAAUUGCCAUCAUCACAAAGCAACAUCAUAAUUGAUGUCUCCCUUUUUUCUUUUUUUUUUUAUUAGCCAAAAGAUAUCUAGUAAUUUGUCCAUUUUUUCUUUUGCUUUGUUUAAUAGCCGAAAGGUAAUGCUGAGUUGGCCACUUGGCCACAAUUCAACAGAUCAUGCAUCGAUCGAUAUACGUAUGGACAAUGCAUGCCCUACCAUGCAAAUUAUGCCAAGAACAACAAUCGAUCGAGUGACCAGUGGUGGAAGGGCUAGGAAUAUUAGCAAGCUGCAUUUUCUCACUUCCCACUCACUUGUUUGAGCAUACCGACUAAAUGUGCUUGUUUCUUCUUGACUUGUGGAUAUAUCCAAAGGUCAAUAUGGAUGCAUGGCAUGUGGUGUAGGUUAACAAUUUUUUUUUCCUUGUGACCAGAACACGAGUGGUACACCACUUGUUUUUAUAUAAGUGAUGGGAAAUUUUAUUUUUUAAGUUAUUAACUUUUUAACACACAUAUCACAACAAUUAUAUAGUGACAAGUGGUGUAUCAUUCCGUGUUCCGAUCACACUGAAAAAUCUCUAGUAGGCCAGGAGGUUUUUCUUCUUUUUAAAAGCAGUAUCUCUUGGAAAAGUUAGACAUGGAAUUGAUACCACAAUUAAUAUGCUUUUGUGCCGUCAUUCCCUACAAGGCUACAACCAAAAAUUGCAUGAAGUAAAAAUUACCUUAUUUCGCAACAUUUCUUCAACUGGCUACUGGCUCUCUAGUUUUCAGUUGUCAUCAUGGUCGAAGUACGUAAGCUGGGUCGGAUCAUUUUCUUCUUUGAGCAGAUAUGAUUUAGGACGAUAACCAUCGGGCCGGGAUUACCAUCAAUGAAGGCUAUUGCACAUGUUAUGCACUAAGAAAAGGUUGCAAGCGGUUAUUGGUGUAGAGCUACCGGCUGCCUCAUAGUACAAAUUUUUUAACUUGAACCGCUUAUUUUUUUAAUCAUAAUUUAAGAUUAUAUGUGCAAGAUCAAUGCACUUGGAGAUCAUUCAGUACAUCUAUAUGUAUCAUAAAUGAAUGGCAAGUUUGUUAUGAUAUUAGUUGUUGUCCAAAUUAUCGAUUUGACACAUAUAUAUAGAUGAUUAAACAAUUUUUAAGUUGAUUAUUUAUUUUUUUUGGCAAAGAUAAUAUCAAAUGAUGUUUAAAAGCAUAAAGGGUUUCAAUUAUGAAAUUUGUACGAUAAAAUACCUUAAUGCAAGUGUGUGAAUAAGGUGAUUCACUCAUGCAGUGUGCUCACCAAUUUACACUCGAGUUGAAUUCCCCCUUCAUGCAGUUUAGUACAAUUAGUGUAGACACUUGUAUAAAAAAAAAAACUUUAAACCUAGGUCUAUGGUGGAUAUUUUAUUCAAGUUUGUUUUCUUAUACAAGCGAUACUAAGUGAGAGAGAAUCAAACUCAUGACCUCAACUACAAAAAUGGUGAAUGCUCUUAGCCAAUUGAGUUACAAGUUCUUACUACUUAUACCCAAUUUGUCAUCUAACCAAGCACUAAUUAUAAGGCAUCAACAAUUCCAACGUCCAUUCAGCUAUUUAUACGAUUUUUACAGUGGGCUGAGUCAUCAGUAAUAAGUUGAAUUGUUGACAUCUCAUGAACUGAUUACUAUAAAAUAGUGACUCACAACUAUUAAACUCAUCAUACCACUAUAAAUACAAUGUUAUAAUGUUAUAAGAACAAACUCACCUUAAACCAUUUUGGAACGCCAAACACAAAAUGCCAACUGAUUGAACUCUUAAGUUUUUUUAUUUUUUUUAACAAACAAUAUUAUCUACACUAAAGGGGAAAGGGGUGGGCUUAGUCUCACAAUGGGCUAGCAGUAAUGUGGUUCAAAUUUGCCUUUGGCGAAAAUCGAACUAAGACUUCUCACUUACAAAUGAAAAAGAAUAAUAUUAGACCGUAAUACUAGGUGACAUGAUUCAACUCAAAGUUAAAUAAUACAUUGACCCCAAAUGAGAAACUCAUUAUUCUUUGUCCUUGAAAUAUUGGUUGGACAUCAAUUCUGGCCCAAGCCAAUCUUUCUAAUUAAAUGAUUGGGUUGGAUUGGAACUUCACAAGUCCAACCAAAUCCCACUAGAUCAAAACUACUAUCCAUCCAAUUGACAAACCACUACUACCGACAUGUUAUAAAUUAGCAAAACGCCAACCGUGCAAAGGAUCACUUAGGAGAGGGAAAUCUGCAUUUUCUUCUUCAGAUCAACUUUCCCUAGAAAAUGAAGGAAAAAGGAUGCAGUGCAUAGAUAUGGCAGGAUAUGGAAAAACUUUUCUCUGUAUUUAGAAACAUGUGAUCAACUUUUCCAGGGAAGAAUACUAAUGCAUGUAACGGAAGAUGUAGUGCUUAUCCUAAGCUAUCCAAAAGGAACCUAAAGGCAUGAUGAUAUCAAACUUCAAAGAUUUAAAUUCCUUUAAGGGGUAAUUGGAGCAAUGGUUUAUGAAUAUUAGCUCAAUUAGAGUUUUGGUUCUUGAGCUAAAAAUCCGUGAGUACUAGUCCCAUAACUUGUUAUAAGAUGGAACAGUAUCAUUUUUGCCUAACUCUGUUAGAACUUUCAACCAAAAUAAAGUAAAAGGACAAAAAAUAGAUGAAAAUCUUAACGAAGUUAGCCAAAAGGACAAUUGCUCCACAUUAUAACAAGUUCAUGGAUCAAUACUCACAAAUUUUUAGUUCCGACCAAAACUCCAAUUGGACCAAAAUUUAGGGACGAUUGCUCAAAUUCUCUCUCUCUCUCUCUCUCUCUCUCUCUCUCUCUCUCUCUCUCUCUCUCUCUCUCUCUCUCUCUCUCUCUCUCUCUCUCUCUCUCUCUCUCUCUCUCUCUCUCCAACUACCGUGUGUUCAAGAUAAUGUGAUUCAAAUAUUGUAUCCUAACAUUACUUACACGUCCUAAACAUCAUACUUUUAAGCCCUUCAUUGGUUAAUUAUAAUCAUCCAAUUAAAGUAUCUGGUCGGCAGUUUUGACAAAAAAAAAAAAAUAUGUAUCUGGUCGGCAGAGCUGAAAGGAAGGGAUUAUUCAGUACCUAACUUGAUGCCAUCUUUAUCCAAUUAAUUAACUAAACGAAGUAAUUAGCAUAUGUUUGUAAGAACAAAUAAGAAGCCUGAGGAAUCCUCAGGUUGAUAUUUUUCAUAACAACGCUACACCGAUUGACCAUGUGGAAUAUCCUUUGCUAGUUGCCAUGUUGAUCACGAGUUAUUCUUUUGAUCCCAAGUACAUUUAAAAAUAAAAUUUAAUCACCUUUAGCACACGUAAGAAUAACUUGAAGUAAUGAGAUCUGUGGUCUUAAAGAAAGUGGUCAAGUUUGCUUAAAUGUAUAAGUUAUUUGUAUUUACUUGUUUUCUUAAGAAAUCUUGACGGUACAAAGGAUAUUUUGUUUAUAAGAAAUGAUAUGUAUCUUAUUCUUGACCCAUGUUUAUUAUCAUACUAGGCUCACCAAUACUUCAUUUUGUUCCAAAUUGAGCAAAACAUUGAACUUUUACACAUAUAAAGUUUAGUAGUGUUUUUUAUUAACACAUUUCAAUUAUAACUAAUCUUACAACCAAGAAAAAUAAUGGUUCCAAAGUUCUUAUAUCUUAUUGCAUUUGGUACCGAUUUCCUUGAAAGAUUUCAGCGAAGACAGGCACACAUGCAAUAUUGUGUAAUCUAGUCUUGUUCUAAACUUUUAAGGAGUCAACUAUUUUAGGUAAACUGGCAUAUCCUCCUAUGAAAGCCCCAGUUGAACCAAAAGAAAGAUUUCCACGGGCUUAGAUUUGGCAAGAUGUGCACUUGGGGUCGAAGUUUCUACCGUCGAAAUGAUGCACCCAUGUGUCAAAAUACAGGGGAGAGGUGUAUACAAUGAAGGGCACAUGGGGACCGAGACAAGUGAUGGGUUUUUUUUAAUUUUUAUUUUUUUUUUGUAACUCACAAGCGAUGGGUUUAGCAUUGAAUCAUUGAUGAAUAAUGCUACACUUACCAUUUAUUUGUAUCAUAUCUCUAAUAAAGAUAUGGUCCGCCAAAAUAUGCGGAUCUCAUCUCUAUUAAAGAGAUUGUAUAAGUAGAUGGUAAGAAUAACAUAAUGAUGCAUGCAAAUCACUGAAAAACAUUCCCCAAUAUAUAGCAUUAUUAAUUCACAUAUUAUAAAAGAUAUAUUACAUACUUAAUAUUUCAUGCACUUAUAAUGUAAAUUAAAAUGGUUAGAUACACGUAUUAUACUAUGAAUGUGUUAUGAAUACAAAAAACUGAAUACAGUCCAACCUUAGCGCUAACUCUAGUUUAUUUUUUCUCUCCUUUUGGGUUUAUAAAUAGCGAGUGAAACCUUCAGUCUCUCCACAUCUGCAAAUCUUCACGUGCCCUUUCCUGCUUCCUAUCUGCCCUCCCUCCAAUUUUAUCUCUGAAGUUGUUGGUUUCUGAAUUCUGAUCGGUAUUCUAGGAACCUUAUCCAAUUUCUGCUUCCGAGUCUUUGACCGUCAAGAGAUAACUAUCAACAACUAUCAAAAAGCGGGAGUUAUAAUCUGUUCGUUGGUUUACAAAACUGAAAGCAGCUUUUUGCAACAUACCAACUUUAGCUUCAGUUUUCUAAUUCAUCACUACUAUGGAGAACAACAAGAAAGUGGGAAGUGGUGGAAGCCAUGUCUCUUCUUCUCCAUCAUCAAGGAAUCUGGACCAUCUCUUUGGUCCCAAAGACUCCUCUUCAUCUUCUUCUUCAUCAUCCUCCUCCGGAUUAUUUGGCUCUCUUUUCCCACCAGUCCCAUCUGUAAGAUUGCAAGAACCUGAUGAAUUCCUUGCAGAGAAUCAGAAGAAGAAAAAGGAGACAAGUUGAACUUCUAGAGAGAGAAACUGAGAAAUGCUUUUGUAUUGACUUUUAUUAACUAACUCAAUUUAACAGUACAAGUUGGUGUUCAUACAAUUUUAUUUGCUUACACAAUAAGUAAUCUAACAGACUAACUAUUACAAUUCUUAAUCCUUUGACAAGUGUCAUCAUUUGAAGCUUCCUCUUGAUCUUGAGUCUUUACACCUUUAGACCAUCAACGGUAUAUGCUUAUUAUUUAUUUAAGAUUAUCAUUUGAUAAUCAUUUCAUUUUCAGUUUCAUUUUUCAAAAAACUGAAAACUUGUUCAGCAAUUGUUUUCAAAGCUGAAAGCUAUUUCUUGAGUUUUUAAAAUUUGACUUAGGUUUUGGUUUUCACACUUUUUUUUUUUUUUUUUUUUUAAACUACAAUGAUUAUCCAACAAAUCCUUGGUAUUGUCAGGUUUUCGAUGCGAGACAUACAUUCGUUAACAAAUUACAAUUUUUUUUUUUUGGUUAACGUGUGGGGUUAGAUGACAAUUGAGUUACAAGCUCUUACUACUUAUAAGCGGUUCUACUUAUACCUCAACUAUAAAGUUUUUACGUAUAUGUAUAUGUGUGUGUCUAUAUAUAUAUAUAUAUGUAUGUAUAUGUGAUUUUUCUUACAACUGCUUUUAUAUAUUAUGAUGUGACAUGUCAUGUUUAACUUUACAAAUAGACUUUUUGUACAUUUUAUGCUUGUAAUAUUAUUUGUGAGCAUAAACUGGUGGCAUGACAUCCUUGUGUUUUAUCUGCUCACUCCCCAAUCCCGACAUUCGUCCACGAUUGACACGUGACAUCACCAAUUAGAUGUAUAUUUAACAUACCCCGCCUCCGGGAUAUGUACAAAGCACAACUCACGAUCCAACUGCGUAGUAAUUUUUCGUACACUUCAUGGCUGCAUCUAACCUCCUUGUUAGAUUGCUUAUGUACCCUAAACAGGGAUCAAGCCAUUUGUAGUUCGUCUUUCACUGCACUUGAACAAUCAUCACAUAAAUCAUUAUGUCUCAACAUAAUACCACGAUUUAGGUAUGCAACAUCUCAAGGAACAUUCGACGAAGCACAAUAAUAUUCUCCAGUCAUCUUGCCAUUCACACACACAUAUGCUUUCAAACACCAUUCAAUAAUCACAACAAUCAAUAACACAUACAAUACAUUGAAAUGUAGGGCUCAAGUGACACUGUUCGGCCGAAGCCUAUAUCUCUGAAGCUGAAAUCGAAUCCAAGUAACCAACAAGUCAAAUGAUGCGAUUUCGGACCACUUAACGAAAUCCAUCAACAUUAGGUUUCGGACCACUCAACGAGCUUGUGGAGUAUAAGGGAUUCCGAACCUCUUAAUGGAAUUCGAUUGGAUACGAUUCCAGACCAUUACUCAACAGAAUUGCUGAGUAGAAUGCAUAACGAAGCACUCAAUGAAACUCAAGCUGGAUACGAUUCCGGACCAUCACCCAAUGGAAUCGCAGAGCAGAAGAGAUUCCAGACCUCUCAAUGGAAUUAGAUUGGAUAGAUUCCGGACCAUCACUCAACGGAAUUGCGGAGUAGAAUGCAUAACGAAGCACUCAAUGAAACUCAAGCUGGAUACGAUUCCGGACCAUCACCCAAUGGAAUCGUAAAGCAGAAGGGAUUUCGGACCUUUCAAUGGAAUCCAAGUGGAUACGAUUCCGGACCAUCACUCAACGAAACCUCAACAAAAACCCAGUUCCGAAUCACUUAACGGAAUCGAAGAAACAAUACAAGAACCAAGUACUUAAUUAGAAAGGGCUGAACGAAACAAGAAGUGAAAUAAGGAAGCAAUAUGUGAAACAAGUGUCGAAGCAACAAACCCCAGGAUAAUGGGUUAAUAGUCCACUACUAGCCCUCACAUUUUAUCACAUCACGCCAAUCAUACAACGCAAUCACAUUUCAAACAUGCAAGUCAAAUCACUUUUCAUAAAUGUUUCCAAUCUAUAGCCAAAUCACAAUUAAGGAUCAUUAAAUGAUGGCUAAGUAUAAAAAUAACAAUUCAAUGAAAAUCACAUAUAUUAUAGUCACUAGUACGUAAAUCGAGACGCACGUCAACCAAGGAAGACAAGUCAACCCGAUGAGCUCACUAAGCUCCAUGAGUUCUCAACAACACUCUAAGAUAAUGACAUGCUAGAAUAACUCAAACUAGUUGACUAAAAGCUUAACCGUCGAUCAAGGUCGAGAGUAGGGUCCACAAUCCUAGAAAUCUAAACUGGAAGAUCUGCUUAUCAGAUUUCUAAUCUGUAACUUCCUACGAGUCUCACUACUCUUCUAGAACAACAUACUAAGAUUUUAUUACGAUCCAUCGGUUGGAUCUCCAUCAAUUUCUAAGAUUAAGUGUCGGUCAAUGUUUGACUUAACAAACUUAGAAAUCCAAUUCGGGAAGAUUCGUAAGUUCCUAUUGUCCUCAAAUAUUAUGAAUAAUACCAUAUUAAAGUUUGGUAACGAUCCAACGGUCGAAUCGUCAAUGCCUAUAAUAACUAAGUGACGACCAACUAGGCAGUCAAUUUCGAAACUAUAUUAAAACAUCGAAAUUUCAAUAAACAGAUGUCGAAUAUGGAAUUGGGGUAUCAAAAUUAGCCUAGGAAGGUCAGGUGGGGUCUCAGCCCACGCGCCGCCGCCAGCCUCCUCGACUCGCCGGAAAAUUCAACUAUUUCAAAAAAUUAUCAAAUUUCACAAAAAUAUAGAUCUUAGUGAGUGGAGCAAGUUUCAUACAUGUGACUAAGGCUAAUUUGGCCUAGAAAAGCUUCAAUUUCUCUCGAACCCGCCAGAAACCCUUGAAUUUGGUGGUUUCGAUCCGUCACCUUCGGUGCUCCGCCGCCCUUACAGUUGUUUGGGCUUUGUUCCAAGCCUCAAGAAGAGUGUUUUGGUGGUGGUAAUUGAAGGAAAACGUUUCACAUUUGGUGGAUUUCGGCCUGGUUCCUCGCGGCACCCACAGUGUAAACCUUCAUGAAAUCACAAUCAAUUUCCAUCGAUUUUAGCUAGAAUUGGAUGUUGUGAAGUGGUGAUGAAUUUUGGUGGUCACGAGAGGUUGAAGAAAGCCAGAAAAUUGGACGGAAAAGCCAUCGGAAUAGUCAUAAAGGGCGAAUCGGGUCACGGGUACAUGGAUCACAGAAGGGGGAAAUCACGUUGGGUGUUUCUCACCCUCUCUCAUUUCUCUCCCUACUUUCCCUUCCCAUUGGCUUCCUUCCUUCCUUUUUUUUUAUUCUUUUCUUUCAAUCCUAGCCAUUCAUCUCUUUCUUUUCUCCAUCACACCCAUCCACGUGGCACUUCCAGAUUAUCUAAACGUUCCAGAUUAUGGUCAAAUGACCAUUUUGCCCAUAAUUUUGUUCGUUAAUAACUCAUUCGUUAUAACUCUAAAUUACGUUCCGUUUACGCUCAUGCGCUCGUAUCGACGAAUGCUAUCCAAAUACAUAAAUUAUGGGCAAAAUUAUGGGCAUCCCCUGAUGCAUGUGAACUACACGGGAUUUCACAGUCACUUAGUUAUUUGUACUAUCGUGGGCCAAGGACUAGCUUCACGUGUAGUUCACAUGCAUCGUUUACAUUCGCUUUGGAUCUAGAGUUAGGUGUCAGCCUGUCAUUUUGUGUGAUGUUUUGGACUCUUAUGUGAUGCGACUAGCGCAACUCAUAUGAUAUAGUACUAGAAUGUAAAACCUACACCCAUUCUGUUUCAUUGUUUGAAUACUCUGCAAUGGACUUGUGUGCCUACAUAAAUUAAUGAGCAUUGAUUUCUUAUAAUAAUGAUUUGAGAUUUGAUGUUGAGAUACCUUGUUGAUGUUUAGAUUUGUGAUGAAGGAUACCUAUUACAUACUAUUAUUAUAAUAUUUUUGGGAAACCAUAUACUUGUUUUAUAGCGAGGGGUUACACUUUUCGAAAAGGUUUUACAAAAUUUUAUUUUCAGGCCCACUCACCCUUGUUUUUCACCCUUCCAGGAUUUUAGUGGUAGAGGUUUCGUGACGACAAGGAUUGUUAGUAAAAGCUGUUACGUAGGAGACUUCUCUUUUCGGUAUAAAUGUCCUUACUCUUAUUUUAUUGCAAUUUAUCUAUGCUCUGACAUCACUUGUGUGAUACGGGUUCAAUCCCGCUCACUUGCGCACUCUAAAAUAGUCACUUUUAUGUUUUAAUUUAUUCACAUUUUUCACAUCACUACACUUUAUGGCUUCGUCACCUUCCAUGUGUCGGCCAAUACAUUGCAAUUCGGGCGUCCAGGUGGACAGUCCGGGUCGGGGUAUAUCAACUAUGUAAGGAACAUUGUUAUCAUGUAAAGGAACCGGAUCCCCUCCUGAGUAAAGGAUCUGGGCCGUUGAAAUUUGAUUCAAUGACUACAAACAGGUGGUCACUCUAAAAGUUAUAAUAAUUGCAGCCGUUAGAUCAAAUUUCAAUGGCCUAUGUGAUUUGCUCAAGAGGCUCAACUUUCUAAGCUCAGAACGGGAUCCGGUUCCUCAUGUAAAUUUUUGUUAUUAAAUGCAUAUGAAUCUUGACAUUUAAUUUUUUUCCAAAUCCCCAUAAGGUAUCUGAAGACAUUUAAUUGAAUGAAAUAAUGUAAAAUAAAUGUAGAUAAUAAGUGAGAGACCCAAAGUAAGUGCUAUUAGGGGUAAUUUAGACAUCCAAAAUAUGCCAAGUCAAACUUAAUUAUGGAUAUUGCUUAGUUGGAGCCUAGUCAUUGAGUUUUUGUUAAAGAAAUUUACCAUGAUGGAUUUUAGUUAAAGAAAAAUGAAUUCCAAUUAGUGUACUCAUAUUUUCAGAUUAAUUUACAACAAUAAGCAUUCAAAAAUUUUGGACUUUGUCUUUACACAGAUUAAGUUCCCCAUCGAUCAUAUGCGCUCACGUAAUUUUAUUUUAAUCGUUCUAUAAUAGAGAAUUAAGUACAUAAAUGUUUGAGGUUGUUUCUCUAUUUGCUUCAUAUUGUAGGGAAUUAUUAUGAACAUAUAUGAUCGCAAGAGUCAAUUGUCUCCUAUAAUACAUGGUACAGACAACACUAAUACACCCUGACCUAGAUAUCGUUCAGUAACAAUAAAACUUAUGAGGUAAGUUUCCCAUCGAUCAUAUGCGCUCACGUAAUUUUAUUUUAAUCGUUCUAUAAUAGAGAAUUAAGUACACAAAUGUUUGAGGUUGUUUCUCUAUUUGCUUCAUAUUGUAGGGAAUUAGUAUGAACAUAUAUGAUCGCAAGAGUCAAUUGUCUCCUAUAAUACAUGGUACAUACAACACUAACACACCCUGACUUGGAUAUUCAUGUGAACAUCACGAUCGCGGCAUUGCUGUGCAACACCUAAAAAUGACGAAAUCAUAGUAUAAAAGUGAUGUGUAAAAAGUACGAAUAAAAGAUUGAAAAUAAAACAAGAAUAAAUGUGUGCAGUAAAAGUGAUGAACUUUAAAUAAACUAAUUAAAUAAAAAUCAUAGCAUCUCAAUAUCUACAAAGAAAGUGUACAACGUAACACGUCUGAAGAUAAUAACUAUAAAAAUACUAAGACUAAUCACUACACGGAUGAGAGAAGAUUAUGCUACCAUGCCUCGACAUCGAGAGCUCCAAAUCUUACUAAAUUUUGGAGGAGCGCAAAAUAGAGAAUGUUGACGGAUACAAAUAAAGAUGUCUAAAUAUUUUUUUUUUUAACAUACUAACACCUCGAUGUAAAAACCCAUAGGAGAGGUACAUGCAUUACCAGCAUGCAAAAGCUACCCUUUGAGUUUAUAUUAAUUUUUUAUCCAUGUAAUCAAACUCGUUGUUAAAUUAAUAAUUAUAUAUUUUAAUGAGAAAGACAUGGCCCAAUUUAGAUUGAGUUUUUCCUCAAAUUUUAAGUAGCUGAUUCAUAAUUUUUCGUGCUUAUGAUAGAAAUUGAUUAUAUUACAUAUAAAUCAUUACGUAAAGAUUAUCCGUAAAAAAAAAAUCAAUCAGGAUUAAGGUUGUUUAAUCAAUCAAUUAUAACAAAUAAAUAAACGGUUCAUUUACUGAAUCCAUCCAUUUAUUUUUAUACAUUCUGGUCGUUAAAUGAUCUCAUAUUUAAGUGACUUUUUUACAAAUAUGAUCUUUACAAGGUAAUUUAUAACAUGAACAAUUUUAAUCAUAAAAAAAAAUUCCGUGAAUUAGCCACAUAAUAAAUUGAGAAGGAAUUCCUUCUCAUCCACUGAAGAGCCAAAUGCAUUUCUAUUUUGAUUUGGGCCUCAAUUCUCAUGUCAAUUACUUUGAUUUGAUAAUACUAUUAGUUGAUAAUUGAAACAAGAGUUAAUUUCAGUUUAUUACUUGAAAGGUUUUUUAUUUUCAACAUUUGGUGUAUUAAGUUUUUUUUAUUCUAGAGUGGUACUUGAAGUCAUAAUUCUGGAACACUUUCAUACAUUUGUUAAAGUUAUUUUUAAAUGAGUCGUUAACGAGUGAUACGAGGUCUACGUGAAUAAUGACAGAAGGCCACGUGUUAAUAUAAGAUCCACAUAAAUAUUAAAAAAAUAAAAAAUUAAUUAUUACUUCGAAAACAACGAACCAGUAACUGAUGGAAUUGGUGAUUUGAACAGGUGCGAAAGAAGAAAGAAAAAGGAAUAAGCAGAGGCCUGGAAAGAAAAGGUAGAAAUAGAGGUCCAAAAGGAAUUGAUUCUUAGAGGGGGUGGGGUGGCGGUGGAAGAUGGUGGGGGUUUUGGGGACUUAAGGAUUUGGUGCAUUGCAGACCUCUAGUAAGCCCUUUUAUGCAAUUCUGCAUCGAGUUGAUGUUGGCUUAGUAAUGGAUUUGGAAUCAGUAAGUCCAUCUAAUGUUCCAGUGACUGCUGCGGGAGCACCGACAUCUUAUAACCUUGCAGCCAAAGCCAUCUCAAAAUUGUAGUCUUUGCUAAGCGGGGAUAUAUCAUUAUUAAAAAAAUAUGGUUUUGGGUUCAACCACCGUCGUCUCUGUCCGCUGGGUUUGGCUAUUCACCGCCGUGAAAUUUGGUAGGUGUGGCUCUCCACCACCGUCUGCUCUAGCUUCUCCGGCCACUGAGUUUGGCUCUCCACCGCCGUCAAAUCUGGUAGGUAGGGCCCGGAGGUUUGAGCUCACGAUGCCGUCCGUCCUCGCUCUAGAAUCGUCCCAGUUCCGAUAUUUUCCUCCACAGUCCAGUGGACCCCAACGCCUUCAAAUUCUCGUUCCUCAAGUCGUCACCAAGGAUGACCGCAGUAAAAUCUAGAAAUGGGUCGGGUGAGGGAGAGGUGGUGAGGGUAUGGAGGGAUCAGGGGAUAAAGGAGGGUUGAGUCGAAAAUGGUGGGAGAGGUGACACGUGGCCGUUCAGUUAUGUUCAUAUGAGAGUCACGUUAGUAGUUAACAGGUGAUUUAACAAUAAUCUUAACAAAUGUAUAAAAGUGUCAUAAAAUUACUUCAGCUACCACUCUGAAAUGAAAAAAAGAAUAAUUUAACAUACCAAAUGUUGAAAACUAAAAACUUCAGAAUAGGACACUGAAAUUAAUACUUGAAACAAACAUUUACUCCUUAUAUAAAGGCACUGAAGAAAAAUCCCACAACACUAUACAUAUAUUUUUAUAGGAAAAGGAUCCUCACCGGAUUCUUUUCUUAGAGAUCCUAGAGAUUCUGUGAUUAUGACCGUUCAUCGUAUAUUGUGCAGUCAUUUUUCGUUAAUUACUAUUUAUAUUUAAUUUCACAAAGAACCUCUAUUUUUAUAAUUAUUUUGGGUAAAUUACACAAAACUACCUAAACUAUAAGUCAAACCACGAUCUCAUAUCUCAUGUUUUAAACAUUACAAUCUCAUACAUCUACUUAUGAAUUCGUUACAAUGUCAGACAUCCGUUAAAUUUUCUGUCAAUUUAGCUGUUAAAUGAUGAUGUGGUAGGAGUGGGCCCGUUCUUAAAAUAAAAAAUUAAUUAAUUAUUAAUUAUUUAACAAUUAAAAUUAAUUAAAAAAACAAAAAAGUUAUCUCUCCCUUCGUCCUCCCUUCCUUUCUCCCCAGAACUCCUUCGUACCUCGGGGCCAAAAUCUCCAAAUUCCCCAAUUUCUCAGCCCAUCAUUGCUAGAGUUUCUGUAAUACCCCGUAUUUAAAAAAAAAUGGUUAUAUAUAUAUAUAUAUGGGUGUAUGUUGGGUAAUUAUUUUUACGUAAUGAUUUUUUUUAUUUAUUUUUAUGCGAGAACCUAUUUUCGGUAUGUAAAAUAGUUUUAAUGUAAAAUCAUUUUUCCUACAAAUUAUUUUUUAAAAAAAACUAGCUAUUUCAUGUUCAAAUGUAAUUAGAGAUAUUUUUAGUUUGAAUUGGAGAAGGGAGAUUAAAUGAGUUUGGUUUGAUUUUCCUCACAAGGGGCCGAGAGUUUGAGGUUGGACUAAGUGAGUAAUUUUGUCUUGAUAUUUUCUCUCAAAGAUGAGGUGGAGAGUUUGUAACAUUAGGAGUUAAUGAUUUGGUGAUUACUCACCACUCUAAAUGUGAAGGUGGAAGUCUAAUCAAGGGUGAGUUGGCAAGUUUGUGUUCAUUAGGAAUCUAAGAGUUAACUGUUUGGUGAUGAUUCUCCUCCAAAGUUUGAAGAGGUGGGAUUCAUAUUCCUUAGAGAUGAACUUGGCCUUGGAUGCUUGUAUCCACCUUGCAUAAUAUUGAUUAACUUCACACAUGUCUCUUUGCCAUUUGAACACAUAUUAGAGCUAAGGCUUUGCUUAACAUUUGUUGUUUGUCUAUUGGACCACAUUUCAUUGUUAAUGAUGAGAACAACACUUGGAGACUUGGUAUUGGAACACGUAUAAUGGAACUACAUUUGGUGACUUGCUAUUCAAACACAUGUGCCAUGAAUCAUGAAGAAAAGAAGCAAAACAAGGUCAAUCUAUACGUAUAGAGCUUCAAAGAGAAGAAAUUCAAGGGAAGGAACACAAACACUCAUUAUAUAAAGGAGGAGGAGAGAGCAUGGAAAAGGGGGAGAAAAGGGGAGCAACAAUUGUCUUUCUCAUAUCAUUGUUUUAUUUUUUCAAGGCUUCUUAGCCAUUGUCAUGUAUUCAUAAAUUCUCAUUACCUAGUGAAAUACAAAUACAAACACAACCCUAUUGGACAUAGCCAAAUUGGUGAACCACUUAAAUCUUGUGUUGUUUAUGCAUUUAUAUUUUGGAGGUCAUUGCCAUAAGAACACUCCCACCAAACCAUAAAAAAUAUCCAUUUAUUUUCCCUUGAGAAUGAUGUACAAAAGUGUGAGACAAAUCUCUGAAAAUACAUGAGACCUUAUCCAACAAAUCUCUCCAUCAAACUACUAUCAUUUUCAUCUAUCAAAAGAAAGAUAUCCAAAACUAGAAAUUCAUCCAGCCUAUUUAAAAGAUCAAAACACCAUCAUCCAUAUAUUAUAUUAUAAUACUUCCUUCAUGAGAGUUCUUCGUCUGUCUCUCUACCAUGAUAUAUAAAAAUGUCAGAAACAUCCAAUGGUGUGAUCGCCCAAUAUGUCUGAAAUACCAACUCAUGUCUCUAAUCCCACAGAAAACUGGACAUCCAUGUUAUGAGCACCAAAACCUCAUUUUUCGUAACUCGAAUCGAAAUACUUCAUUCACAAAAGUUGUUCCUUAUCAUCUCCUCUAUAACAUAUCCAAAAAGCACAACAAUCGAAUCUAUGUGCUGACUUCUUUCCCAGUUCGAAUAGCUGAUUGUUUCAGCUAUAUUAAAGAAGAAGUAGAAGUGGUGGGCUAAAAUAAAAAUAAAGAUUAUGUUUGGAAAGGGAAAAGCUAGAGACAUAAUUUCAUGCCUUGUGUCAUUUGAGACAUAUAUUUCACUCUAACAAUUAUUUUCUCUAACAUGGAUUCUUUUCUAAUAAAAACAGGUCGCCCGACCAAGAUGGACGAGACGAUGAACAAAUAUAUAUGGAGUGGUCCACGAGCAACAUUUUAUACGAUGAAUUAGAGAUUAUUAUUUUGUUAAUAUUAUGAUUAUAUUACCCUUGUUACUAAUCAAUUUGAUUUAUGUUGAAGUUGCAGGCUUGUUAGAUAAAGUGUGAGUAUUGAUAUCUAUGUGAACAUGACAUAUACAUAUGCAUUGCAAAGCAAGAAAAAGAGUUGUGUUGUGUCAAGUGCUCAAUUGUGCAAAGUGUUUAAGUUGUGAGGAUAUGCAAGGGCUAAAGUUUUCCUUGAAUAUAAAAUAAUGAACUGUGUAUAUGUCAGGCGUAGGGUGCAAAGUUUGAGUAUACAUUUGGGCGUCGGGGGAAGUGUCUGUUUAAUAAAGUGGAAAUUGAGAGUUUAAUUAUAAAAAUUGGGUUAAGGGAUGAACGGGAGUUAACUCAUAUUCGAACAUACUCGGAGCCAAGUGGUAUAAGCAUGGUAUGGGACGUGCAGGCUUGGGUGCCUUUGGUAUGUGUUGACGGGAUUAGAAGGGAGCGAGUACUUUCAUACAUCUCAUUGCAUAUAUUUUAUGUAUUUUCAAGAGCUACUUAUUUCAAUUAUUAUUUUAGUUGGUAUUUUUGUUAUGAAUUAAUUUUGUAUACUAAUAUUUGUUACAAUUUAAUUAUUAUUUUGUUAGUAGUUUUUGUUGUGAAUUAAUUUGUGUACUAUAGUUAUUUCGCUGCGUAUUCAAAUAAUUUUUAUGCAAGAUUUUGUCGAUGAAAGGUGUAAUUGUUAUAAUUUUAUUUUAUUUUAUUUUCCACCAUAUCUUGGUUGUAGAAUUUAUUUCUAUAGCUAAGAUAUGACUCACACCCUAGCUCGUGGAUGGUCUUUAUUCGUGAGUCGGGGCGUGACAAUUUCGGCGGCGCUUCUGGCAAAGAAUAGGUUGAGCUCUAAUUGAUCAGAAUUUCUCUUUUACAGAUCGUUGUUUUUGUUACAUUUUGAUCUCGGUUCUUUUUGAUCUUCACCGCAUCUGCAUCUCGUCUAUAAACGGAGAGGAUGAGGUGGUUGGGAGAGAUCGAAUGGUGGUUGAUGGAGAACUACACAACGAGUUAGAGAAUAUGAGAUGGAGAGGUUAACACACAUUGAGGAAACAUAUUGUAAAUUUGUAAUGGUGAGUGGUUGAUCUACAGUCCUGGUAGUGGUGGAAGAACACUGACAUCGGUGAUAAGAAGCUUGAGCUCAUUGAAUACGCAACACCUGAAGCCGACAGGGAGAUCCUGCCAUUAAAAGUGGUGUUGAACCUUCAUGGCUCGACGAAGUGAUCGGCUCAGCAAAGUGAUUCGACCCAAGAUUGGUUCUGGUUUCGAGGCGAUGCAUUGUCAGAGAAUCGAUCUGGAUUCAACUUCGUUCUAGUUUCCAAUGAAGCAUUGGAGGUGGAGAUUCGGUGGAAAUCUUAUGGUUUUCCGAGAAUUAGGUUCUGGGGAACUGGGGAUAGGGAUUCAGUUGCUAGCAGUUAUAAGGUUUACAUAUAAUCUUGCUUGAAAUAAAUUGAAACAAGAAGCUGACUUUGGCCGGAUAUGGAAGUAAUUGAAAAGGAAUAAUUGAAAAGAUCGAGUUAUUAAAGGUUUGGGAGGGUAGGGUACUGGUGUAUAGGUUCUCGGCAAUCACUAAAGAAGGAAGAUAGGUUCUGGGAAAAAUGAGAGUGUUGUAGGCCUAAUUAACUGAGCGAUCUAAGGAAUAGAGAGAGAGGGGGGCCGACAUCAACAAGAGAGAAAGAGAGAGAUUUAAUUCUCAGGUGUGUUCUAUCACCUCCUUAUGCCUUUAUUUAUAGUAGUAGGGUAGGUAGAAUCCUUACCUUAUUAGGAUUACAUCUCUUAAUAGGUAAUCAACUCCUAAUAGGUAACUACAAGAUACUCCUAGAUAUACUAGAAUUUACACAAUCACAUUCCUAAUCCGAUAGGACUGCAACACUCCCCUUUCAGUGUGUAAAUACUCAAACAAAACAUAGCAUUAGGUCUUUAGUAGAUGAGGUAGAACAAUUGAUGAAGUCGUCAACAUAAAGGUGAAUGCGAGUCUCAAACACAAGUAACGUAAGUAUGCAUUGGUAGUAAAACUCACAAAACCUCGCUAUGGUAAAACCCAAGGCUUGGGGAAAACCUAUAGACUAAGGAGAAAAGUGAGAAGUAUGCGUAAUGUCUAAAACAAACGUCAAACAUGAUGAAAGUAGUGAACUCAACGGAGUAUGAUCAUUCUAAGAUGGGUGCCUUGUUAAAACCUCGUUAGGUAGCGAAAACUCAGUGGGAAAAAUGCUCCUAAUUGUAGGAAAAAGAGUACAUUAAGAUCAAGUGAGUAUGCUUCAGGAUACUUCCCUUGAGUUAGACAUAACUUACGAAUAAGACUACAAGUGAUUCAAUUCAGAUCAUUUACGUAUACCAAUUCCUUGGACAAGCUUCUGAAAAAUAGACUUGGGUAGUGACUUCAUGAAGAGUUAGCCAGGUUGUCUUGGGAACGGAUUUACUUGACUUCAAUGUUCUGAUGCUAAUGUUGCUGGUGUGAGUAAAAGAACUUCGGUGUUAUGUGUUUGGUGUUGUUUCCCUUGAUGUAUCCCUUCUUUAACUGCUCUAUACAUGCUGCAUUGUCUUUAAAGAUCGUCGUAGGAAGAUCAACAAUGGAAGAAAGACCAUUAGUGCUUUGAAUAUGAUCUAUAACUGCUUUCAACCAAAAGCACUCUCGCGAGGCUUCAUACAAGUUGAGAAUCUCAUCAUGGUUUGAAAAGUCGCAACUAACGUUUGCUUGGUAGACCUUCAAGAUAUAGCGGUGUCUCCAACGGUAAAGACAUAACCCAUUUGAGAACGUGCCCUAUGUGGGUUAGACAGAUAACCAACAUCUGCGUAACCAACGAGGCGAUAAUUAACUCGAGGACCGAGGGGCAGCGGUUCAUCUCGAGGAUUCAUGGGUAUAGAACAAGCCCAAAUCCUUAGUACCCUUAAGGUAGCGAAAAAUGUCGUUAAUAUUAUUCCAGUAUUUGCGUGUAGGCACGUUGCUGUAUAUGGCCCAAAAAUUAAUAGCAAAUGAGAUGUCAUGUCUAGUGCAUUGAGCCAAGUACAAUAAAGCACCAGUUACAUUUAGGUAUGAAACUUCAGGCUCCAAAAUCUAUUCCUCAUCCUUAUUCGGAUGGAAGGGAUCUCAUUUAGCAGGAGUACUCGAAGGCUUCGCUUUAUCCUCAUUAAGCGACGCAACACCUUCUGGGUAUAGUUCGAUUUAUGUACUACGAUUCCAUCCGAACAAUGUUCGAUCUCCAGGCUGAGACAAUAUCGAGUUUUCCCAAGAUCUUUUAUCUUAAAUUCAGAUUUGAAGUGCAUAGCAAUUUCCUCAAGCUCUGUGGAAGUUUCGAUGAGGUUCAUGUUGUCGACAUAAACUGCAACGAUUGUAAAUCUGGAAUGUGACUUCUUAAUGAGCACGCAUGGGCAUAGUUCAUUGUUCACACAACCUUGACUUGUUAAAUAUUCACUCAGACAGUUAUACCACAUUUGCCCAGAUUGUUUCAAUUCCUAGAGUGACUUUCUCAAUCUAAUCAAGAGAAUGUUAGAACUAUUUGAACCAGUCAAUGGAAGUCUUUUUGGAACUUUCAUGUACAUUUAUGUAUCUAGAUUUCCAUAAUGAUACGCAGUUACCACGUCCAUAAGUUGCAUAUUCAGUUUUUCGGAAACUACCAAACUGAUAAGGUAAUGGAACGUUAUGAUGUCCAUUACGGAGGAAUAUGUCUCCUCGUAAUCAAUCCCAGGACGUUGAGAGAAGCCUUGCGCUACAAGGCGUGCUUUGUAUCGCACUAUUUCAUUAUUCUCAUUACGCUUCCUCAUGAAAACCCACUUGUUGCCUACAUGCUUCACAUGUGAUGGAGUAAGAGCUAUGGGCCCAAACACCUUUCAUUUCGCGAGCGAAUCGAGUUUAACUUGGAUUGCUUGUUUCUAGUUUGACCAAUUUGUUCUACGUCGACAUUCAUCAAUGGAGCGUGGUUCAAUGUCAUUGCUAAGCAUGAUAUCGGAAGCAAUGGUAUACGUGAAUGCAUCAUCGACUGUCAUCUCAUUCUAAUUCCAAACCUCAUUCAAUACAGUGUAAUGGACUGAAAUCUCACGAUUCUCGGGAGGCUGGCAUGUUUCGUCUGAAACAUCAUCCUAAUCUAAAAUAACCUCAUGUGUUGGAAUGGAUGAGUAAGCAAUGGUCAAAUUCAGACUAGGUUCACUAGUUUGUGUCAUUUUCCUUUUUCGGGGUUGUGAAUCGCUUGAACCAGGAGGCCUACCAUGCUUCAGGGUAAGACCAGGUGAUAGGCUAGCCGUCAUUGUACCUUACCGUAUGUGAGGUACGGCCGCUCCACCUUCGGGGAUGGUUUGACCUUCCACGACGUUGUUACAGUGUACGAUUGAUACGUUCAUCCUUGCAGGUGUGUUUAUAGCAGGUAUAUGUGAUCUCGUCACCUUCGCUAGAUCGGUAAAAGCAUCCAGCAUGCUUUGAGCAAUGCUCUGAAGAUCUAGAAUGCGUCGCACUUCAGUUUUAAAUUGAGACGUGCGGUGAUCUAAAUGAGACAUAGUGGGAGUAAUCCAUGAUAAUUUACGACGUUCUACAUGAACGUUAGUGAUCUUAUCUCCCUCUAACGACGAGAAGAUUGUCUUAUUGAAGUGAUAAUCCGUAAAACGUGCGGUAAAGAUAUCUCCUGUCAAGGGUUCUAAGUAGUGUAUAAUGGAUGGCGAAUCAUAACCGACAUAGAUUCCCAUUUUUCUCUGAGGACUCAUUUUGGUAUGUAGUGGCAACACAAUUGGCACAUAAACUGCGCACCCAAACACAUGUAAAUGAGAGAUGUCAAGCUUGUAUCCAGUAACCAACUGUAAUGGUGAAUGAGGUUGGGUAACGGUGAGCCUCAGGCGGACCAACAUAGUUGUGUGCAAUAUUACGUGGCCCUAGGCAGAUACCGGCAAAUUGGUUCUCAUAACCAAAGUAUGAGCUAUCGUUUGAAUGUGCUUUAUGAAAGCUUCUACUAGGCCAUUUUGGGUGUGAACAUGGGGUACAUGAUGUUCAAUUUCAAUCCCAAUGGAAAUCCAAUAAUCAUUAAAGGUUUGUGACGUAAACUCUCCAGCAUUAUCCAGUCGAAUCGACUUUAUCAGAUAAUCAUGAUGGUGAGCCCUUAACUUAAUAAUUAGUGCUAGGAGUUUCGCAAAUGCAGUAUUGCGUAUGGAUAAUAAGUAGACAUGUGACCAUCGUGUUGAUGCAUCAACCAACACCAUAAAUGAUCUAAAUGGUCCGCAUGUUGGUUAGAUAGGUUCAUAAAUAUCCCCUUGAAUUCUUUGAAGAAAUUUAGGGAGGGGUCGUGAAUAAUCUUUAUAAUUGAGGGUUGAAUGUUUAACUUCCCUAAGGAACAUGCUUUGCAAAGCGGAUGGCCGGGAUAAGAUUUCAAGUGAUGCCCAUGAAAUGCUUUGAGGAUAUGACGCAUCAUAUCUCGUCCGGGGUGUCCCAUUCGAUCAUGCCAAAGCAGGAGAGUGUCUUGGAACCCAGCACUAGGGCCGGCCACAUGGUGUGUCUUUACGGCUUGAAUGGUUGUUAUGUAUAACCCACUUGGGAGACAUUCUAGCUUUUUGUGAAUAUGUUUUCAGCCAUAUUCAUAGGAAGUGAUACAAAGAAAUUCAGAACCAUUUUCUUCAGUGGUUUCAACAUGAUAUUGAUUAUCUCAAAUAUCUCUAAAACUCAUCAACGUUCUUCCAGAAUGUGGAGAAUAAAGUGCCUCUUUAAUAGUUAAUUUAGUACCAUUUGACAACAUUAUACGGGCUUUUUCGUAUCCUUCUAUCAGGUUGGAUGGGCCUGAGAGGGUUGUCAGAAGUCCAUUCUUAGGUAUAAAGUUAGUAAAAUAGUGUUUCUCACGCAAUAUGGUGUGUGUAGUUGCAUUAUCUGCCAGACAACUAACUUCCCCACUAGUCAUACCUAGAAAUAAAUUAAUUGAAUCGGGAUGGGGUUCAGCCACUAGCUGUUAAACACCCUAAAGACAUGUCUAAAUUUAUUCUUCCAUAGGAGUAUAUGCCUCCUGAAAAUCUGAAACCUUCAGAGUUGUAGUAGCGCCUUCGGGGAUUUCUACAUGCGGAAAGUUGGACUCACGACGUGAAUGAUACUUGGCAAUGGCCUCAGGGGUAGCUCGUCAUAUGCAUGAUCAAUGAUCCCUUGAUCCACGGCAGUAACACAUGUGAAAUUUAGUGGAAUUUGAUUGAAUUGUAGCUUUUCCCUUGUUCUUGAAGUUUGGGGCCUUCGGGGCAAGGGGUUGGCGCUUCUGGGUCAAGUUUCCUUCCUUGGAUGAACCUCUAUUCGGUGGACCUUAGGCAUGUGGUGGACCUUGCCACCCAUUGCCACGGCCACGACGGAAUCUCCAUUAGUUUUGGCAGUUUGAAGUUGUCGCGUGCGCUUCAGGCGCAAUGUUCGAGCUUGAUGAUUCUUCAUCAAAAGCUGGUUCUAUUUUUCAACAAGAAGUAUAACAGAUAUCAAAUCCAAAAAUUUGGUGAACUUUUAUACCCUAUAUUGUUGUUGCAUGACAAUAUUGGCCACAUUGAAGGUUGAAUAGGUUUUCUUCAGGAGAUCAUGUUCAGUUAAGUCCUCGUUACAGAACUUAAGUAAUGAUCGGAUUUUACAAACUUCAGAGUUGUAUUCAUUCACAGACUUAAAGUCUUGGAAGCGUAAAUUCUAUCAAUUGUGUCUUGUUUCGGGCAAGAAGAUGUAUUUCUGGUGAUCAAAGCAAUCCGCCAUAGUGAGCCAGAGGGUUCGGGGAUCCUCCUCUACGAGGUACUCUGUCUAUAAUGCAUCAUGGAUGUGUCUUCGGAUGAAGAUCAUAGCAAUAACUUUUUAAGCUUCGUCGACGGGUGCAUCCUCGGUUGGUUCCUCAAUGGUAACUCUAAGACUCUUUGCAGUAUGAUGGAGUUCAUGUCUUGAACCCACUUCAGGUAGUUUCUUCCAUAGGCUUCCAAAGCGGUGAAAUCAAGCUUGUUCAAGUUCGACAUGUCCCUAAACAAAGGGUACACCAAAACGUGGUUAGUCGUAUAGACAUAUAUCGUACAACAUUUGGGUUCUAUAGACAUAUAUUGGUUUAAUUUAUGUAUAAAAGCUACAGGUUUCAUGUGGUAAGUUUUGAAUGUUGAUUUAGUUUAUGAACGUUUUUGUUCAUAUAUGAGGGUAUCUGCAAGAACACAUAAUACAAUAUACAAUAAACUGUAGUGGAUUUGUGGAUUGCUUCAAGAACCCAAGCGUGAGUGAUUCAGGACUAUGAAAGAUAGUCAACGGUUCAAAAAGAUGAAAUAAUUUAUUGAAUCGUUAAUACCAAAAAGUGAGCUUUAUGCCAAUAAUUUUGGAUUAAUUAUCAAAUUAGUGGACUGCUGGUCACUUUAAUUAAUUCAAUAGAUUGAAACCAUUCGAGGUCGAUCGUAGAAGCAAAAAUAAUUAUAACAUGUGGGUUAAAAUUAUUUAGAAUGCCAAAAAUCAGCAUUGGGUUCGAAAAAGAAUAGCCCCAAAAAAAUUUAGGAUCGGGUUGACUGUAAUAGGCAGCCCAAAGGUGACAACAGGCCACGGGUUGAGAAGGAAAAGCCUAGCCAUGAAGACUGGCGUGUUGGGUCGGGUCAGACAUGAGGGGCAAGCCUAAAGGCUUGCAAGUAGGCACGUGAAAACCCUAGCCGGGGUUGGGUUUUGGGACUUGGGCUUGGGGAAGUAAGCCCAGCCAUCUGGGCUGGCUAUUUGAUUGCGGGCCGUGGCAUAUAUAAACCCAGCAAGCCAAGGAGGGUGCUGCAGAUGGGCUGGGGCUUUAGGCCCAUGUUUGGGACAAGCCCAUCAUGCUUCUGGCAUACAGGUUUGGGCUCGAAUGGAUCGAGGCUUGCAGGCCCGUGUGACAGACGACCCAAGCUGAAGCUUGGUUGGGUUCGAAAGGUGCAACAAGCCCAGAGGGUUGCGUAGGUGGUCCAAGGCGUCGAGGCCACGCCAUCCCAUGAUGAUCCACAAUUGUCAUGCUCCGACUCGCAAAUAAAGACUAUUCACGAGUUAGGGUGUGAGCCACAUCUUAGCUAUAGAAAUAAAUUCUACAACCAAGAUAUAGUGGAAAAUAAAAUAAAAUUAUAACGAUUACACAAUACAUCAUAUAAAAAAUAAUUAAAGCUUGAGUUUACCACAUAUAAUUUAUUGAAUAUGCAGCGGAAAUAAAUUUAUUAGUAUACAAAAUUAAUUCAUAACAAAAGUACCAACUAAAAUAAUAAUUGAAAUGAAUAGCUCUUGCAAAUACAUAAAAUGUAUGCAAUGAGAUGCAUGAAUGUACUCACUUUCUUCUAAUCCCGUCAACACAUACCUAAGGUACCCAAGCCUGCACGUCUCAUACCAUGCUUAUACCACUUGGCUCCGAGUACGUUAGAUUAUGAGUUAACUCCCGUUCAUCCCUUAAGCCAAUUUUUGUAAUUAAACUCUCAGUUUCCACUUUAUUAAACAGACACUUCCCCUGACGCCCAAAUGUAUAUUCAAGCCCUGCACCCUACGCCUAACAUAUACACGAUUUCAUUAUUUUAUAAUCAACCAAUUUGUAUACUCAAGCCUUGCACCCUACGCUUGACAUAUACAUGGUUCAUUAUUAUUCAAGGCAAACUUCAGCUCUUGAAUAUCCUCACAACUAAAACACUUUACACAAGUGAGCACUUGACACAACAUAACUCUUUUUUCUAGCUUUGCAAUGCAUAUGUAUAUGUCCUGUUCACAUAGAUAUUAUCAAUACUCACAUUUUAUCUAACAAGCCUGCAACUUCAACAUAAAUCAAAUUGAUUAGUAACAAGGGUAAUAUAAUCAUAAUAUUAAGAAAAUAAUAAUCUAUAAUCCAUCAUAUAAAAUGUUGCUCGUUGACCACUCCAUAUAUAUUUGUUCAUCGUCUCGUCCAUCUUGGUCGGGCAACCUGUUUUUAUUAGAAAGGAAAAGACAUCCAUGUUAGAGAAAAUAAUUGUUAGAGUGAAAUAUAUGUCUCAAAAGCCACAAGGCAUGAAAUUAUGUCUCUAGCUUUUCCCUUUCCAAACAUCAUCUUUUAUUUUUAUUUUAGCCCACCACUUUUACUUCUUCUUCUUUAAUAUAAUUGAAACUAUCAGCUGUUCGAACCGAGAUAUAAGUCAACACAUAGAUUGGAUUAUCGUGAUUUUUGGAUAUGUUAUAGAGUAGAUGAUAAGGAACAACUUUUGUGAAAGAAGUGUUUCGAUUGGAGUUACAAAAAAUGGGGUUUUGGUACUCAUAACAUGGCUGUCCAGUUUUCUGCGGGAGUAGAGACUGAGUUGGUAUUUUAAAAAUAUUGGACGAUCACACCGUUGGAUGUUUAUGAAAUUUUGAUAUAUCAUGGUAGAGAAAUAGACGAACAACUCUCAUGAAGGAAGUAUUAUAAUAUAUUAAAUGGAUGAUGGUGUUUUGAUCUGUUAAAUAGGCUGUACGAAUUUCUAGUUUUGGAUAUCUUUCUUUUGAUAGAUGAAAAUGAUAGUAGUUUGAUGGAGAGAUUUGUUGGGUAAGGUCUCAUGUAUUUUUCUGGGAUUUGUCUCACACUUCUUGUACAUCAUUCUAAAGGGAAAUAAAUGAAGAUUUUUGAUGGUUUGGUGGAAGUGCUUCUCAUGUCAAUGAACUCAAAAUGUAAACGGAUAAACACACAAGAUUUAAGUGGUUCGCCAAAUCGACUACAUCCACUGGGGUUUGCUUUCAUUGUAUUUCACUAGAUAUAUAUAAGGGACUUACAAAUACAAAGAAAGAUGGCUUAAAGCCCUAACAAUAUGUAAAAAAAGGUAAUUGGGUAAUAUGAAAGGGAGGAUGGCUUUUUAUUGGAGUUGUUCCUUUUCUUCUUCUUCUCCCUCUCUCUUCUCUCUAUCUCUUUCGUUUGGUGAGUGCUCCUUCCUUUAUAGAGAUUGUAUUGCAUCUUCCUCUCCAAAGAAUCUCCACAAGUAUGCCAAUAGAAAGAAAGCAAGUGUUGUGCUAAUCAUUACCAUGAAAUGUGUUCCAAUCACAAAGCAACAAUUGUUGUCCUAAUCUAUAGCAAUGAUAUGUGUUCCAAUACCAAGUCACCAAGUGUUGUUCUCAUCAUUAACUAUGAAAUGUGGUCCAAUAGACAAACAACAAAUGUUAAGCAAAACCUUAGCUCUAAUAUGUGUUCAAAUGGCAAAGAGACAUGUGUGAAGUUAAUCAAUAUUAUGGAAGGUGGAUGCAAGCAUCCAAGGCCACAUUCAUCUCCAAGGAAUAUGCAUCCCACCCGUUCUCACCUCAUUGGAAAAUUUGGAAUGAUAGAUUGAAGCAUUGAAGAGAAAAUAUAGAAAAUUAAUUGAAAUUCCCCUAGGCUAGUGAGUAAGCACUGUAAAACAACAACAUAUUGCCACAUGCAUGCCAAUACAUACACAUACCUAGUCUAUGGCUCUAAAUAGACUCACACCUCUCCAAUGUUUAGAGGUGAGUAAUCUCUCUAUAUUAACUCAACUUGCCAACUCACUCCUAAUUGGUAAAAAUAUCAAACCAAACUCAACACUUAGCCACACGUAUAAGCCAAAGGCUUCCCACCUCCACACCCUAAUUAUAAGCUUCUAUUAAUUACCAACUUCCACCUUAACCCAUCUAGAGUGGUGACUAACCCCUCCUCUUUAUUCUCUAAUGAUUGGGAAAACUCUACUUAGCCUUUGUGAGAAAAUAAAGUCAAACUCAUGCACUUAGACACAUGCACGUAUGCUAUAUAGACUUCCACUCUAAUUAUUAACUCCUAAUGUUACAAACUCUCCACCUCAUAUUUGAGGGAAAAUAACAAAACAUAACUACUCAUUUAGUCCAACCUCAAACUCUUGGCCAUUUGUGAGGAAAAUCAAACCAAACUAAUUUAAUCUCCCUUCCCCAAUUCAAACUAAAAAUAUCUCUAAUUACAUAUGAACAUGAAAUAGCUAGUUUUUUUAAAAUAAUUUGUAGGAAAAAGGGUUUUACAUACCGAAAAUAGGUUCUUGCAUAAAAUAAAUCUAAUAAAAUCAUUACAUAAAAAUAAUUACCCAACAUACACCCAUAUAUAUAUAACCAUUUUUUUUAAAUACGGGGUAUUACAAAAGUGGUGCCGCAACUUUUCCUUUUUUUCAUUUUUUUUAAUUUUUUUUAAUUUUUCGAAUUCUAGGGUUAAAAACCCUAAUUGCUUCUAAAUUAAUUUCAAUUCUUUGACUCAUUAUUCCACAUAGCAUAUAUGCAUAAUGCAUGAACAAUUAUAUAUAUUGACAAAAUAUAUGAACAUAUGUACGAUAUAUAUAAUUGGAAGGAAAAUAUAAAUAUAGAGGGUUCAUGCAUCAUGGGGAAUGUUUUCAUACUUCAAGGUUUUUUCAAAUAUCUUAAUUUAUUUUAAAAGAACCUGAUUGGCAGAAAACGAUUGAGAGCCUUUGAAUUUGUAGAAGAUAGCCUCCUUCUACGAUCCUUCGGUUCCUUAGCUCUGGCAAGAGCGUGAUGAUAACAUGUUGUAGGCCUAAUUAACUGAGCGAUCUAAGGAAUAGAGAGAGAGGGGGGCCAACGACAACAAGAGAGAAAGAGAGAGAGAUUGAAUUAUCAGGUGUGUGUUGUAUCACCCCCUUAUGCCUUUAUUUAUAGCAGUAUGAAGGGUAGAAUCCUUACCCUAUUAGGAUUACAUCUAUUAAUAGGUAAUCAAUUCCUAAUAGGUAAUCAAUUCCUAAUAGGUAACUACAAGAUACUUCUAGAUAUACUAAAAUUUACACAAUCACAUUUCUAAUCCAAUAGGACUUCAACAAUGAGAUAUUUUUUAAUUAUUAAUAAAAACUUAAUAAUGUAUUAAUAAUUAAUUAUUUAUUCAAUUAAUUAUAAUUAUUAAAUAAAAAAUUAUUAAUUUAUUAUUAAUUAAUUAAUUUUUUAUUCUAAUUGACAAAGGGGUGGGCCCCGCUCCUACUACAUCAUUAUUUAAUAGCUAAAUUGACAUAAAAUGUAACGGAGGUCUGAAAUUGCAACGAAUUAAUACAUUGAGGUAUGAUAUUGCAAUAUUUAAAACAUGAGGUAUGAGAUUGUGAUUUGACCUAUAGUAAAGGUAGUUUUAUGUAAUUUACCCAAUUAUUUUACUGUUUCUAUUUUGAUAAAUUAUAUUGAUAAAGUAAAAGAUUAUAACAAGAGUAAAUUGUAACAAUAGUCUCUCAAUUUUAAUUAAAUUAGAGUAAUGGUCCCUCAACUAAAAAUUCAUUACCAUUGGUUCCUUAACUCAUCAAAACGUAUAGUUAUAGUCCUUUUCGUAUACUCCGUUAGAAUUCUGUCACAAUGAGUUAUGUUGGAAUGAUCAUUGCUAAAAUUGGGUUAAAGUUGAGGAACCAUUUCUUUAGUUGAAUUAAAAUUGAGGGACCAUUGAUACAAUUUUUCUUUCUUGAUCUUUCAUAUUUGCCCCUUGAUUUAGCCUCACAUGAAUGACACGUUACUCAUUUUAACAAAAAUGUUCUAAUGGAGUUGAUGAAAAUGACCAUAGCUGCAUGUUUUGAUGAAUUAAGGGACUAAUGAUAAUGAAUUUUUAGUUAAGUGACCAUUGCUCUAAUUAAGUUAAAAUUGAAAAACAAUUGCUACAAUUUACUCUUGCACCUAGGAGGGUUAAAAAGUCAACUCAUAUCAUAGAGAAUUAGGCAAAGGGUUGCUAUACACGAGAACCUAGACUGCGAUGCUAAUGCAACCUACUCUUUUUCCCACUUAAGAGUAAUAUGGGAAACUCGAAUUUUACCGUUGUCUUUUUCUCUUUUCUUUUUUAAAUUUUAUUAUUAUUAAAUGGAUGGGGUAAAAUUGGAAACUAAUUAAAUAAUUAAAGGAAGACGAGAGUUUUGAACUGAAAUAAAAUUCUAACACUAAAAUAUUAAAUCACAUAUCCACUAAAAUAUUAAAUCACAUGUAAAUUUUACCUUUAUCUCUACUAUGGGAAAGUGGUGUGGACCAAAGAUGCUCCCACCUCUAUAUGGAAAGGAGCAUAUAGGAGAGCUUGUGUCUAAAAGUGUUUUUCUCUUUCAUUAUUGAAAUGAGAGCACUAGCGAGUAACGAGUGCUUUUAAGAUAUUGAAUUACUUUUUAUAUUAUCAAUUAGUUUUAAGGUAUAAUUUAAAUUUUUUCAUGGUAUCAGCAAGUUGACUCAUGUGUGAAAUCCAACAGCUACAUAUGCUUCAUGUCACUCAAUUAGUGUUUUCUAAGUGGUUGGCUUGAAAAUUCGUCAUACACGAGGGAGGAUGUGAGAAUGUGAAGGUAAAAAAGUUACACAUCAGUGGAAGGAGAAAUUUUGUAAGGACUUAUAAGAGGUUGAUUUGCAUCUCAUAUUACAAAUUAAUUUUAUGAUAAAAUCUCAACUUUCUUCAUUUAUUUCUUGAAAACAUGAUUAAUCAAGUAAUUAUUUAGCGAUCGAUGGGACACAAAUGGAGAACCAAUUCCGUAGAAAUGUAGUCCUUUCACAUUUGAGGAGAUGUCAAUUAUUGUUGCUGCAUGAUUUCAAAUGUCAAUUAUUGUUGCUGCAUGAUUUGAGAUGUUUCCACUCCCUUGCUUCCCUCAAUACUCCCUUAAGCAAGAGGCUGAGGAGUUUUUUUUUUUUUUUUUCAAACAAACGAUAUUGUUUAUAUUAAAGAAAAUAAAGUAGGUUUAAUCUCAUAAUAGGCUAACAAUAAUGUGGUUCAAAUUCGCCUUUGCGAUAAUCAAACAUAAGAUAUCUCACUUACAAGUAAAGAAAAAUAUCACUAGACCGUAGUACUAAUUGACUUGAGAAUUCAUUUUAUAACAACAAGAUAUUAUUAAGAAAAUGUAUUGUAAAAUUAUUUAACGAUUUCUUAUAAAAACACGUGAUAUGGCCCUAGCAUUAUUAAAAAUUUGAAAAUAAUUUUCACACACUUAUUUUAAUUUUUUUAUCCAAUGAUUAAAAUUCAAGAAAAACAUAAAUGCACGACAAACAUAAAGGUGUGGAAAUCAUUUUUUCGGUGAAAGCACUAUCAGAAAUAGUCAAAUACCCCAAAAUAUGUUCAAAUACUCCAAAAAUAAAGGAUAAAGUAUAACAACACUUCUUGCGAAAGGCGUUAAUCGGAAUAAAGUAUGGUCUUUCAAAUGGGCAUCCAACUUUAAAAAAGUGUGAUAAUUGUAGGGGCAUAGUGUAAAGUGAAUAGAGUAUUGCUAUGACUAAUAGUUUACUAAUCAUGCGGAUUCGGAUCCUCUACUCGGUUUUAUUGUAUUUGUUGUUUGUUAAUUAUCACUGCACAUCACAAUUCAAAAGUGCUUGAGCAGAAGAGUGGUGGAUUUUUCAUUUUUAGUAUGUGGAAACAAAAAAAAUUUGGAACACAUAAAUUGCAACAUGUGAAAUACAUUUGAAAUAAAAAAAUAAAACAUAAAAACCUCAAGCGUACGAAGAGGAGUUUUAUUGAAUUCCUAACCAUUUUUUUCAUCUUGUUUUAAAGAGUCGUAAUUUCAAUUUUUUUUUAAAAAUUAAGAUGGUUUAAUCAAUUGUCAAUUCAGCAUUUUUGUAUUUAUUUAAUAUACAUCCACAUAAGCAAGCUACGACCAUCUCCAAAGGAGAUGUCAAAUUUUGAACAUAAAAUUUAAAUUUGACAGCCUACAUGGCACUUUGACAUAUUAACGUUUCACUCUCCACUCGAUAUGUCAAAUUAAAUUAUUAUUUUAUUACAUUAUUUUGUAUUCUUAAUUUUUGUUCUAUAUUUUAAAUUUUACACAUAUAAAUCAUUCAUGAUAAGUGAAACCCAACAAAUAACUUUUUUUUGGUUGAACACUAAUAAGGACAUGAUCCUCAUCUUUGUUGAACGAAUAACUUUUUUCUUGCUUCCAAACGCUGAAUUAAAGGAUGAGGCGAAAAAAAUUCGAGGCAUGUUCACUGUAUGAAGUUCUUUGUUGAACCCAGCACCACGAAUAACUUUUUUCUUGCUUCCAGACAACACACAAACUAUCAAGGACACACUUGAUAAGCUAUGACACUCACUUUCUAGAAAGACAAACUCUAGACCACUCUUGCUUCUCACUCUCUUACUUAGCUCUCUUCUUGGCUACUUUCUUCUUUGAUUGAUUGAUACAAAUGGUGUGGAUGACUUCUCCUUUUAUAGGCAUGGAUGGAACCUUGGAGAAGCAUGGAAACAUCAUGCUAGAGAUAUCUAGAUAAUUCCACUACCUUCCUAAGCUAGAAUUAUCUACACUAAUCUUGUAUGUUGGUGGAAUCCUCACCAUUCUUCUAAACUCUUCCACCAACUUGAACUUUGCUAGAAUUCUCCAACAUGUGUAUAGAUCUUUCUUUGUCUAUAGGCUGGAUCCAUCUUGGGCCAAGGCAAGAUUACACUUCAACACAAACUCUAAUUGGGCUGGUGUUGAUAUUUAAUACUCCCCCUCAACACCAACUCAUUCUUUCCUCCAUGCCGAGUUGACAAUGAAGCUUUUUCUUGCACACCCAUUUGCAUGAUAUGGGUUUCACAUCUCUUUGUUUUGGCACUAGAUUCCAAGCUUGAUUUAGCUCCACUGCAGUAACCUCUUUUCCCAAUUUUGAGCCACUCAUGUUCAUCUGCUUCUUCUUUAAUGGCUGCAUUGGUGUAUUUAGGAUUUUGUUUUCGGAUUCUUGUUGACCUCCUUAGUUGUGAUUGUGGAGUUGGUACUUCCACUUCACUAGGUCUAUCUUCUUCUGGUUGUUGAUAUACGCCAGCUUGCCAAGGGUUUUAGGGCACAACUAGCUCAACACCAUUACCAUCAAGUGAAUCCUCAUACUCAUCUAGUCUUGAUUGGAUUCGAACAGUUUGCUCCCUCAUCUUCUGUUGCAGCUUAUCAUCAACAUCUCUCGAAUCAGGCAAUGCCUCUUUUUUUCUGAAGACCACCAAGAAGAUGGUUCAUCAAACACCAUAUCUUGUGAUGUGUAACACCUUACAGUCGUAGUAUCACAACAUUUCCACCCUUUUCUUUGGCUGCAGUAUCCCACAAAGAUACAUCGGACUGCCUUCCUGUCAAACUUGCUACAUAGAUGGCUUGGAACAAAUGCGUAACAUACAUAGCCAAAUACUCGAAAGUAACCAACUGUAGGUUUCAUAUCCCAUAGUUUUUCAAAGGGUGAGACAAAUUCUAACCUUGGUUGAGAAAGCCUGUUGAUCACAUGAGCUGCAGUUCUCAUAGUUUCUGCCCAAAACUUUCCUGGUACAUUCUUGGCAUGGAGCAUACUUCGACAUAUUUAUGCAAGAUGCCGGUUCUUUCUUUUCGCUAUGUCAUUCUGUUAUGGCAUGUUGACACAUGUGAAUUGGUGACGUAUUCUAUAAUCUCUUAAAUACUGGGAAAACUCAUUUGAGGUAUAUUCUCCUCCAUUAUCCGUGCGUAUGCAACAGAUCUUCUUUCCCACUUAACUUCAAUUGUCUCCUUAAACUCUUUAAAUUUUGAAAAUGUUUUAGAUUUUUCUUUCAUAAAGAAAACCCACACAUACCUGGAGAAAUCAUCAAUGAACGUCACCAUGUACCGCAUCCCACUUAUCAAUGGUUGUUUGACAAGCCCGAACACAUCGGAAUGAACCAACUCCAAAGGUUUUUUCGCUUUAAACUUUGACUUUUAGUGUAGUAGCUGAUGUCCUUUACCAUAUUGGCAUCCUACACAAACCGUGUCUGUUCUCACGUCAAGCUGAGGUAGUCCAUUAAGCAUUGACUUCUUCAUCAUCACAUUUAGCUUAUGAUAGCUAACGUGACCCAAUCUCAUGUGCCAUAAAUCUGCUAUCUCGUUCUUCCUUGUCUUGUCUACGUAUGCAGUUUCUGUUCACAUUACAUAGACUGAUUGCAAUCGCUGUCUCUCCAUUGUUGGCGUCCCUAAGAACUUGAGGUGUUGAUACACCUUCACAUCUCGUGGACCAAACAAGACAUAAUUUCCUAAUGACGUUAGUUGCGGCACUAAAAACAUAUUUUUCUUCAUACCUGGAACAUGGUAAACAUCUUGAAACGGCACAUGGUUAAUUUUAUAUCGGGGCUCAAUUACUGUCUUACCGAUGUGAGCAAUCGGUAGCCUCGAGUUGUUGGCCGUCACCACCAAGCGGCCUCCUUUGCACUCAGUUAGACUUUGUAACGUUUUCUCAUCACUUGUCAUAUGGUUUGAGUAGCCUGAAACCACGAUCUAAUCAUUUUAGUAGUUAAUCGACUCUAGACUUACUGUUGUGAGAGCUGACUCUUGCUUCUCCAUAGCAGCGGAUGCUUCAACAUCUCAUUCUUCCUCCAAGGUUAGAGAUGCUACGGCAUCCCAGACAUCUUCACUUUUCUUCUCUGAAUUAGCGAUGUUACUUUCUGCAGACUUUUUGAACCAUCAAUCUUUUGCCAUAUGACCUUUCUUUCCACAAUUGUAACACUUACCCUCAAACCUUUUAUUGUUCUAGGACUGACCACGGUUGCCUUGAUACUUCAGAGCUCCCCCUGGCUGAGAAUUCCCUCAUUCUUGAUGACCAUUUUCCUUGUCACCAUUUCUUUUAGAUCCACCAUCAGUAUGCUGCUUAAAGCUACCUUUACUUUUGGUGUAGAGUCCUUCCUCCUCACCUCUUAACGAGACCCCUCCCAUUUGGUUUGCCAAAGCUUUAUGAUCGACAAGCAAAUUCGUAAACUCAACAAGUGAUGGUUGGGUCGGCCAUUGUUGUACAGCGGCAACGAAGCCUUGAUAUUCGGGUCUCAAUCCAUGGAUAAUUAUUCUUUUUAUCCUGGAUUCUACAAUGGUAGCAUUAGGAUCUAAUUUAGAAAUUUCACAGCAAAUAGACUUUACCUUGUGGAAAUAUUUUGCAAUCAUCAUGUCUCGUUGGGCCACCCAUAGCAACUCGUUCUCGAGAAGCUGGAGUCUUGUAUCGUUCCUCUUUGAAAAUAUUGUGGCGAAGGUGUCCCACACUUCUUUUGGUGUCUUGGCCUUCCGUAUGUGCUCCAACAUGUCAUCUUCAAUUGUGGGUUUUAAGGCAAACAUGGCCUUACCUGCCUUGAUCUUCGACUUCCUUAAAAUGCCGCUGAUGUUUUCUUCCGGCUGCAUAACUUCAUUACCGCCGACGACAUCCUAAAGGUCUUGGCCUUAUAGGUAAGACUCUAUGCACUCGCCCAUGUGUUAUAAUUUUUGUUGUUCAACUUCUUAAUUCCUCCAACAACUUGAAGAUCUCCCAUCGUGUCAGUAGAACUUCAAUAAGCUGAACAAGAUUAACGAAUAAUCUUGCGAAGUACUAAACUUCUCACGAUUCUAAAAAACUUCACUAGAGACGAUCUCCGAUCGUACCGUUCUGAUACUAAUUGUUGGGGAAAAACUUAAAGUACACAACUCUAACACAAGUAUUGGAGAGACAACACAAGUAAACAAAUUAUUUGUAUUACACUCACAAAAGAUUACAACACACAAACUAUCAAGGAUAAACUUGAGAAGCUAUGACACUCACUUUCUAGAGACAAACUCUAGACCACUCACACUCCUACAAGACUACUCUUACUUCUCACUCUCUUACUUAGCUCUCUUCUUAGCUACUUUCUUCUUUGAUUGAUUGAUACAAAUGGUGUGGAUGCCUUCUUCUUUUGUAGGCAUGGAUGGAACCUUGGAGAAACAUGGAAACAUCAUGCUAAAGAUAUCUAGAUGAUUCCACUACCUUCCUAAGCUAGAAUUAUCUACACUAAUCUUGUAUGUUGGUGGAAUCCUCACCAUUCUUCUAAACUCUUCCACCAACUUGAACUUUGCUAGAAUUCUCUAGCAUGUGUAUGAAUCUUUCUUUGUCCGUAGGCUGGAUCCAUCUUAGGCCAAGGCAAGAUUACACUUCAACAUAAACACCAAUUGGGCUGGUGUUGAUCUUCAACAUGUUUCUCAUCCAUUAUGUACACACAUAUCCCAUAAACAUUCACCAAUUUUCUUUACCAAUUAAUUAAUCUUUUUUCAUAUCCUCUGUUUUGCCUCCCCAGAGCUUCGGGAGCUAAUCCCAAGAGGCCUUCAUUCUCUAAUCUUUAUCGUAACUCUAUCAUUGAUUAAAAACAGAAAGAAAGAGGCAGGAUAUGAACUGACUACACGUUCAACAAUCAACAUUUAUUAUAAUAAAUGAUUAAACUAAUUAAAAAAUAUUUAAUAAUUAAUUAAAAAAUAUUUGAAGCUGCUGUCAAAUUUGAUAGAAGCCCCCUUCGCUGCCAUUCCAUGUCAUGCCACAUAGAAUUUGACACUUUGGUUGGAAACAAUUAGUGGCUGUCUUUUUUUACUGUUAUAACUUAUGUGGACAUUUUGACAUCUACUUUGGAGAUGCUCUAAUAACUAUUUCCUACAGUCUAAGGAUUUUAAAUUUGUGACUUUAUUAAUUAAAAAUAUUAAUUUAACUAAUUCCUUAUUGUCAUUGCAAGUGGCAUUUUACUACAGUAGUAGAAAUGUGUUGAGUCCUUGCAUGGCGGCGUGGGUUCAAACUUUGUCGGUGACUAGUCUAACAUAUAAUUUAUUAAAAUUUAAUAAUCUAUUGUUUGACCAAAAAAAAAAUCUUUAUUGUCAUUAAAAAAAGAGAGAAUUUUUUAUUUCUAUUAUUAUAUUUAAUUAGUCUCUUGCUACAUUAAAAAAAAGAAGUUAUUAAUACUUUCAUAAGAAAGCUUCAUUAAUUUGGUAAAAUUUUACAUAUAGUUAUAUAAAUGUAUUUAAAACUUAUGGUACAUUUGAAAAUAAACGUACCGACUUUUAGUACGUUUAGAUUUUAAAUGUACUAAUAAAUAAAUGUACCAUAAAACCAAAAUUGCUCAUAUUAUAGGUAAUCAAAUGAACUAAUACAAUCAAACGAUCAUACAAUCAAACGUACCUUUACUAUGAUUAUGUAUGUGAUAAUGAGUUUUGAACAUUCUAUUUAAUUCACUAAACUAAAUAGUAUAAUAAACAAUAAAAAAAAUCUAAAAUCUCCAGAAUGAGAGAUGCAUAUAACUACAACAAAUUCAUAGGUAAGGAAUGAUAGGGAAAAAAGGAAAACGAAAGUAGAGAUGUAAUGUGAAAUUUUUUAGGGUGGCUAGCAAACAAUUUCAUGAAAAUUACCCAAAAGGUUCAAAAAAAAAAAAAAAAAAAGGAACUUCUAAAAUUGAACUUUUAAUAAAAUGAAAUUAAUCACCAAAACUGUAGAAAAAAUGUUUAAUCAAAUUCUUAAAAAUAAUAGAUGUUUAAGCAAUGAAAUUGAAAAACUAAGCGUUUAUAUCAAUACGCUCCUAAAAUAUGUAAAAUAAUCAUGGGAACACAAACCAUACCCCUAAGAAUAAAGAGGCAACACGUGAAAUGCAUGGCUUUUCAUUUUUAGUAUAAAUACUUGAUGGUGUUCUUGGAUGAGAUUGUCCAUCUUUUACAUCUCUUUGUUUUUCGAGCUUAAUUAUGGCAGAGUUUGAAAGUGUCAAAUCUUGACGAUUUUGAUUUUUGACGUUUAUUUGUCCAGCAAUAUUGCGCACGAAUCUCUGCUUCUGCACAGCUACAAGAGAAGCUUCAAUGGCAUUGCUGCCAGGCUAACAGAGGAAGAAGCACAGAAGUUGGCUGGUUGUCUUAUGAACCCAACUUUAAUUUAUUUUUCAACUUGCAUAAACAUUAAUAGUGACCAUUGUAUGACGAGAAAAAUAUAUGCAGGAAUGGAUGGUGUGGUGUCUGUUUUCCCUAGUGAAACUAAGAAGCUCCAAACAACAAGGUCAUGGGACUUCAUUUGGUUUUCUGAAAUGGUGAAGAGAAGCGCCAUUGAAACUGACAGGGCCGGCCCAGGUCCAGUGCAGGCAGGGUGACCGUUUAGGGCCCAAAAAAAUUAGGGGCACCAAAAUUAUUAGGGCGGUAUAUUUAUAUAUGUUUUUAUAAGAGUAUAAAUUUAUAAAAUUUGGUUCAAAGACACAGAAAUUUAACUAGAAGUGGUGGUUUGUAAUUUGAAAAUGAUGAGGAGGUCUUGGGUUCAAAACACCAUGUGUGCUUAUUUACUUUCCAUUUUUUACAAAUUUCUUUUUAUAAGAGUAUAAAUUUAUAAAAUUUGGUUAAAGGAUCAAGAAGUUUAAUUAGAAACAAUAAUUUUUGUUGUUUAAAAUUAACAAAAGAUCCUAAGUUCGAAAUGCUAUGUGCAUGUUUAUUCUUUUCAAUUUUUACAAAUUUUUGUUUGGUUGUUAAUUUAUUUUUAGUUACUAUCUAGUAACUAUAUGGGUUGUUAUUUUUAAAUAUUCGUUUUAAUUCAAGUCUAAUCUUCAAAAAGAAUAAUACAUAGACCAAAUUUGCAAAUUAUAUGACGUGUCAUCAAAAUUUUUAAUUUAGCGCCCAUUCAUUAAUAAUACAUAUCAAUUAAAUACUCGAAAACAUCAUUAUUUUUUAGUCCCAUUUUGACAAGGUUAGUAAAUAAGAAAAAAAAAACUCAUGAUUUAUUCAAAAAACAUUCAAAGUUCAGAUAGAAAACCAAACUCAUCAUCUAUCUACUUGUAAGCCCGAAGUUUUUUUGUUUCCCUCUCUCAAUACAAAAUAAAUUAGUCUUUCUGUGUUUCUAAAUUAUUGAGUUUGAAGUGUUUUUCUAAGCAUAAUUUUUUCGAUGUCUUAUGUGUGAAAAUAAAUAAUUUUCUUACAUGAAGUUAAGGCAUUUUUUUUUAGGUCGCCCCGAGCCUCAAAAAUCUCUGGACCGGGCCUGGAAACUGAUAUCAUUGUCGGGGUGAUUGACUAUGGAAUUUGGCCCGAAUCUGCCAGCUUCAGUGACGCCGGGUUUGGUCCACCCCCCACAAGGUGGAAAGGCGCAUGCAAGGGCGAAGACAAUUUUACUUGCAACAAGUAAAGCAAACCAGUUUAUUUCAACCAUCCACUGCACAUUUCAAAAAAAUAUAUAUAUAAAUAUAUCACGUGUUGUUGUUAAUUACACUUGGACAGAAAAAAAAAAGUGCGAACUUGAUUAUAAUUUGUAUGAUAUGUUGUCAAAUUGUAACUCUGACUUAAAUAAUAUGACAAAUUGUUGUUACACUUGGACAGUAAAAUUAUCGGAGCACGGUAUUACCGCAGUCUACCCUACCCCAAAAAUAGCAGUGAUAUCCUGUCUCCGAGAGACACGGAAGGCCAUGGAACCCACUGUGCAUCAACAGCAGCAGGGAACUUAGUUAGCAAGGCAAGUCUGUAUGGUUUAGGGUUGGGGACAGCAAGAGGAGGGGUGCCAUCAGCACGCAUUGCGGUGUACAAGGUUUGUUGGUCAGAAGGGUGCCUGGAUGCUGAUAUACUAGCGGCAUUCGAUGAUGCCAUAGCUGACGGUGUUGACAUACUCUCUGUCUCCCUUGGGGGGCUUAAACCGUUAGACUACUUCAGAAAUUCCAUUGACAUUGGAGCUUUUCACGCUUUAAGAAAAGGAAUAUUUACUUCCGCAUCUGCUGGUAAUGAAGGUUCAAACCUGAAAACUAUUACAAACUUUGCACCAUGGUCUCUUGCUGUGGCUGCUAGCACCAUAGAUCGUCACUUUGAUACCAAGGUUCAAUUGGGAAACCACAAAAUUUAUGAGGUAAUUGAUACAGAAUCUAACCUUUGCUCAUUUAGGGCUUUGUUUGGUAGUGAUUCUGGUUGGGCAAUAUAUAAUCACUUUGGAGAAUCAACAAUAUAUAUACACACACACACACACUCUGAAGAUGCACCAAAACACUAGAGAAGUGAUUAACCUGAGAGUUGAUUAUGAUUUGUGUUGAUGCACAACAUUAAUGAGAACUUUGGUACAACAGAAAAUGUUAAGUUUGUGACCUUCGCUAGAUUGCUCCGGUCACUAGUGUGGAUAAGUAUGUAAAUGGAUAGAGACAGAGGAGAAAACACAAGAUGUACGUGGUUCACCCAGAUUGGCUACAUCCAUGAAGUAGAGGAGUUCUCAUUAAUUGUGAAGGGUUUACACAAGUACAUAGGUUCAAGCUCUCCUUUAGUGAGUACAAGUGAAUGAUUUAGUACAAAUGACAUUAGGAAAUAUUGUGGGAGAAUGAUCUCUUUUUAUAGAAGAGUUUCUAGCUUUGUCUGAUAUUGACACGUGUCGUGUUGUGAUUGGCUUCUGAUGUUGACACGUGUCGCGCUGUGAUUGGCUUCUGAUGUUGACACGUGUCACAUUGUGAUUGGCUUCAUGGUUUGAUGGAAACUCUUCUGGGUCAUUGACGGCAUAACGUUGACCGGUGCUCAGUAGUUUCGGGAUUGGUCAAGUAUGGUACAAAUAAUGCUCCCUUAAGUUCCCGAGUGAGGGAAACUCCUCGGUUGGGGACUUGCAAAAUCCAAGUCGCUGAGUAAUCACGAAACUUCUAAGUACUGAAGUGUGGUAUCGUCUUCACUUGCCUUAUUUGUCUCAUAGGUAGAUGUGGCAGCUUCUCUGGAAGUACUCUUCCUCCAUCUAUGGGUGGUUUCUUUAAUCGGUGGAGAUGCACAAGGUACUGUAUCAAUUUCACUUGAAGCUUACUUGUAGUUUCAGGCUUGGUCAAGCGCGAUACAAACCAUGUAGUAGGAGUCCCCCAAGUUGCCGAGCUAGAAGAUCUGCUGAAAGAGGUGACAUACAAGGUAAGCAAUCAGUCCCAGAUCAGAAGUUUGAUUUCGAGUUCCGGCUGAUUGUUCUCAUUCUCCUUAUCUUGUAGGCAGCAUGAAGGAUAAAGAGAAGAAAAAGGAGAAGAUAUGAUAUAAGAUACCUUUGCUUUUGAAGAAGUAACUUUCCACAUGCUUAUUCUUGAAUUGGGCUAAAGGGUUUUCUAGCUUCCUCCAGAGUACAAGGCCGACUCAAGAAUUUGAGGGUCAAAACAAGUCUAUCAAAUCAAGAGUGUGUUCGACCUUGAUGAUAUGUGAUACUUUUUCUAUUGACAAAGUAAUAGAUGAAUCGGCACAUGUUCUAUUGCGUUUGUCUCCACAUGCUUCCUUGUAUCCUUCUCACUUGCCCUAUCUGUUCCUCAAGAAGAUGUGGUAUCUUUUCUGGAAGCAUAAGAUGUUGAAGAUGAGUACUCGAGAGCAAUGCCAGGUAAGUAAUCAGGUAAAGAGUUCCAGGUAGUCAGUUCCUGACUGGAAGCUUGAUUCCAAUUGCUGACUCUAUGCUCUCUUUCUCAUUGUCUUGCAGGUAAGAACAAGGUCAAAGGAAAAGACAUGGAAAAAACAUAAUAUGGGAUACUCUUGCUUGUAACCCUGAUGAUAUGAGAUACUCUUGCUCUGGUGUGGCUUGUUUGCAGAGGUAUUAUCAGGGAGAAAUAAGCUGAGUAUUUUGAGAGACUCUAUUGAGAGUGUCCUCUCAGAUGUGAAGAAAAGUUGAGCAUUUUUUUUUUAUUUGCAGGUUUACUUGGCUGUGGAGGAUGAAGGUUGACAUAUAUAGGAAUUAUCCCAACAGCGAGUAGUAACGUUGUUCCUUUACCCUUCUCGGUUAUAGCAAUGUAGUGGGAGCUGCAAGAUUCACGUGUUUUAACUUUGCCAGAGCACUUUGAAAAAGUGGUAUGUGGUAUCUGGAAAGCUGAUGUUGCGUGUGAAGAUUGCAGAUAAGCUUUAUCCAAGGAAAUCUGGCUCUCAAAGUUUGGAGAGUGGUGUCUCUUCAAUUUUCGAACAAGCAAUCAUGUCGGGGAUCUAGCUUUCGAGAUUCGAAGAACGAUGCCUCUUCGAUUUUUAAGAAAGCAAUCCUGUUGGGAGUCUGGCUUUUGAGAUUCAGAGAGUGGUGCCUUUUCGAUUUUUGAGAAAACAAUCAUGUUGGAAGUCUGGCUCUUAAGAUUUGGAGAGCCGUGCCUCUUCGAUUUUUGAAAAAACAACCCUAUUGGGGUCUAGCUCUCGAGAGUCGGAUAGCGAUGCCUCUUCAAUUUUUGAGAAAGCAAUCAUGUUGGGAGUCUGACUCUCGAGAUUCGGAGAGCAGUGCCUCUUCGAUUUUGGAGAAAGCAAUCCUGUUGUGAGUCUGGCUCUCGAGAUUCGGAUAGUGGUGCCUCUUCGAUUUUUGAGAAAGCAAUCCUGUUGUGAGUCUAGCUCUCGAGAGUUAGAUAGCGGUGCCUCUUCGAUUUUUGAGAAAGCAAUCCUGGUGAGAGUUUGGCUCUCGAGAUUCAAGGAGCGGUGCCUCUUCGAUUUUUGAGAAAGCAAUCCUGUUGUGAGUCUGGCUUUCGAAAAAUAGUGCCUCUUCGAUUUUUGAGCAAGUAAUCAUAUUGGGAAUGUUUUCUCGAUGUGAGUAAAGGUUGGGUAUUUUUGCCAAUCUGCCCUGCCACGAAGCACGGAGGUUGACACGCAUAGGGACUUUCCAGUUAUUAAGUAGUGGUGCUGUUCCUUUACCCUUGUGGGUAAUGGUAGGGUAGCUGGACCUUCAAAAUUUAUAUGUCUAAACUUUGUUAGAGAUCUUUGACAAAGUUAUCUGUGGUACCCGAGGAACUGAUGUUGCGUGUGAGGAUUGUCGACAUAUUUUACUUAGGAAAAUCUGCUUCUUGGAAUCCGGAAAGUGAUGUCUCUUCGAUUUUUAAACAAACGGCCUUGCUGCCAUUUCUUUUAUAAGGGCACCAAUUGUGUGCAAGAAGUACGUUCAGAGAGUUAUUGCUUAUAGGAAUUUUCCCUUUAUUUUUGUACUUCAGAGAUUUAUGGGACCUCAUUUCUCCUUCAUCAUUUCUGAAAAUGUCUGGCCCAUCCGACCAUCGUUUUGACUUGAACUUUGGUGAAGAGGCCGCCAUGCCUCCUCAAGACAACAUAUGGCGCCCAUCCUUCUUAUCCCUUAUAGGUCUUCUUACCGUUGGAGACUCUGUGACGAAGAAUGAUAUGACCGUUAUGGUGGUGGCCAGGAACCUUCUCACUCCCAAAGAGAACAGACUACUUUCCAAACGGUCUGAUGAGUUGGCUGUUAAGGAUGCUCUGGCUCUCAGUGUUCAGUGUGCAAGUUCUGUGUCUAAUAUGGCCCAACACCUAUUUACUCAUUGGUGACUGAAGUGAUAAGUCUCAAACAGAAGAUUAGAGGGCUCAAGCAUGAGAAUAAAUAGUUGCACAGGCUCGCACAUGACUAUGCUACAAAUAUGAAGAGGAAGCUUGACCAGAUGUAGGAAUCUGAUGGUCAGAUUUUACUUGAUCAUCAGAGGUUUGUGGGUUUGUUCCAAACGCAUUUAUUGCAUUCGUCUUCUAGGGCUGUACCACGUAAUGAAACUCUAAAUGAUCAACCUCCGAUGACUCAUUUUUCUGGGGUUUUGUCCAGUACUGAGGGUCCGAAUGAUCACCCUCCGGUGCUUUUUCCUAAGCAACCCUUGUGAAGUCUAACUUUUGUUUGUUUAUUUUGACUCAUGUAUAUGUACAUAUUUGUAACUUAUCAGAGAUAUCAAUAAAUAAGUUUUGUUUCAUUUCAACGUAUUGUGUUAAAUACACCAAAGCCUUCUUCACUAAGUUCUUUGAAUUUUUUCUUUUGUUGAAGCUUAUAUGUUGAAGCUUUGUGAGUGAAGCAUGUAGGUUGAGGUAGUGUUCCCUUAAUUUCCCGAGUGAGGAAAACUUCUCGGUUGGAGACUUGAAAAAUUCAAAUCACUAAGUGGUCGUGAGACUUCCAAGUAUCAAGGUGCAGUAGCAUAUAGUGAGAGUCCACCAAGUCUCUGGUCGAGGGAGUUGAUGAAGAAGGUGUCUUGCUAGUAGCCAAGUUUCUAAAGUAACAAAACUUCACCAUUUUCUUUUCUAAGUGGUAGCCCAAAACUCCUCCUUCAUAUAUAUUUGUUAUGAAAGUUGUUAGGCCUAAAGAAGAUGAGGCCUGGGCAAUUUUUUUUUUUUCGAAUUUUCGAAUUUUUUAAUUUCCGAAUUUUCGAAAAAAAAUAGAUAUAUAUAUUUUUAAGAUUUGUAGGUGAAGUUUUGGUGUUGAAGCUUUGUAGGUGAAGCUUUGAGGUUGAAGCUUUGUUGGGUACCAUGAAUUGAUUUUGCUUCACACUAUCUUGAUCAAAAGUGUGUGAAGCUUUUGUAGGUGAAGCUUUUGUGGGUUAAGCUUUUAUGGGUCAAGCUUUUGUUGGUGAAGCUUUUGUGGGUCAAGUUUUGUGGGUGAAGCUUUUCUAGGUGAAACUUUUAUGUUGAAGCUUUGUAGGUGAAGAUUUUGUUGGGUACCAUGACUUAAUUUUGCUUCACACUAUCUUGAAACUUUUGUUAGUGAAGCUUUUGUGGUGAAGCUUUGUAGGUGAAGCUUUUGAGAAUUUGUAAUUGCCUUCCAUUUGUUGAAGCUUUUGUUUGUGAAGCUUUUGUGGUGAAGUUUUGUAGGUAAAGCUUUGUUGGGUACCAUGAAUUGAUUUUGCUUUACACUAUCUUGAUCAAGAUAAUGUAAAGCUUUUGAGAAUUUGUAGUUGUCCUCCAUUUAUGAAGCUUUGUUGAAUUUCCCAAUUUUUUUUUUUUUUUGGGAAACUAGAAAUUUGAAAAUAUGGGAGAGACAACAUAUACAAAUUUUGCUUCCACACUAUUGAGCAAGAGAUUGUGAUGCAAGCCACACCUUGUAGUAGUCGAAGGUUUGGAUGAACCAUAUAAAUUGAAUUUGCUUCGAACAGUCUUAAUCAAGAGUGUGUGAAGUUUUCUACGAGUUGUAGUUGCCCUCCAUUGAUGAAGCUCUUGUUGGCACCAUAAAUUGGUUUUGCUUCACACUGUCUUGAUCAAGAGUGCGUGAAGCUUUUCAGAAUUGUGGUUGCCCUCCAUUGAUGAAGUUCUUGUUGGCACUAUAAAUUGGUUUUGCUUCACACUUUCUUGAUCAAGAAUGUGUGAAGUUUUUGAGAAUUGUGGUUGCCCUCCAUUGAUGAAGCUCUUGUUGGCACCAUAAAUUUGUUUUGCUUCACACUGUCUUGAUCAAGAGUGUGUAAAGCUUUUCAGAAUUGUGGUUGCCCUCCAUUGAUGAAGCUCUUGUUGGCACCAUAAAUUGGUUUUGCUUCACACUGUCUUGAUCAAGAGUGUGUAAAGCUUUUGAGAAUUUGUUGUUGCCCUCCAUUGAUGAAGCUCUUGUUGGCACCAUAAAUUGGUUUUGCUUCACACUGUCUUGAUCAAGAGUGUGUAAAGCUUUUGAGAAUUGUGGUUGCUCUCCAUUGAUGAAGCUCUUGUUGGCACCAUAAAUUGGUUUUGCUUCACACUGUCUUGAUCAAGAGUGUGUGAAGCUUUUGAGAAUUAUGGUUGCCCUCCAUUGAUGAAGCUCGUGUUGGCACCAUAAAUUGGUUUUCCUUAAUUGAUAGGGAAUGAACUGAAGGGUAAAUUCUACCCCAUAGUAUAUGCUGCAGACAUUCCAGAUAGGGCAGUAGGUUACGAUGGGGAAACUUCCAGGUAUGUGUACGCAUUUUGAGAAUAUAUAUACCAUUUAUAUUGAAGAACCACGGUAGUCUAGCAUAAGUCUAACCAGGUGCUAAUAUCAUGGAUAUAUAUAUAUAUAUAUAUAUAUAUAUAUAUAUAUAUAUAUAUAUAUAUAUAUGGAACAGGUUAUGCCAAAUAGGCAUGUUAGACUAAAAAUUGGUGGAGGGUAAAAUUAUUCUUUGCGAUGAGACUACUGGGGAUGGGGCUAUAUAUGCAGGCACAUUUGGUUAUGUUUUGACAAGCUGAAAUGCAGCAGAUGUAAUAGAUCCUGUUCCAAUACCAGCAACUUCCGUUUGGUUCCAUGUUGGUAACCAAAUUACCCAUUACAUGUUAGAAGCUAAAUAGCUUCUGAAGUUGAGGGAUCGAAUGCAGCAAGGAACUCUCGAGCUUGGAUUCGGUCUGCAUCGAAGAAGAAUGAAGAAUGAAGGGUUUUAGUCUCCAAUGGCUAGUUUCAAUUUGAAUGUAUGUGUGAGUGUGUGAGUGACAAGUGUACACUCCAAAUUAAAUCACUUAAACCCAAAUGAAGGGGUAGGAUUAAAUCUGGAGACAUAAGGUAGAAAUACUUAAACUGCCAAUCACUCUCUAAAAGAGUAUGGGUUAUUGCAAUACACCAUACCCUUCAAUCACUCAUCUACUUAAUGAAAUUAUGGCUAUUGCAUUUUGCAUAGCCUUGAAGUCAUCAGUACCAACUCCAAGUUCUCUCUAUUCUCUGCUAUUCUAAUUCUAAGAAACCUAUCCAAAACAAUCCAUCAAAACACCUAAAUAAACAAAUUUCAUCAUGGCCUUAGAGCCUAGUUUCUGAUCUUACAACUUUCUGGGUGUAAUCUGGGCAAGUUAAGAUCUUUAGGAGCACCUACGUAGUGUCUUCAACAACAACAACAACAACAAAAAACAACCCUACAAAUGAAGGGAUCAAGCAGUAGCAGUGAGCUAAAAGCUCCAAUCUUUGAUGGGGAGAACUAUGAUUUUUGGAGAAUAAGAAUGACACCAUUUUCAAGUCCUAUGAUUUAUUGGAUAUGGUUCAACAUGAGUAUGAACUACCUGAGAUGGAGGUCGAUGCUCUAGAGGAUGACCUCACAGAAACACAACUCAAAACAUUAAAGUGGAAUCGGAUGGAGGAUGCUAUAGCACUUAGGAUCAUCCAGGGUGCUGUUUUAGACACCAUUUUCCCGAGGAUAACAAAUGAAGAGUCUGCAAAGGGAGCUGGGAAGUUUUACAACAAGAGUACAGAGGAGACACCAAAGUCAGAAAGGUAAAACUUCAGUCCCUUAGAUGAGAUUUCGAGUAUACAAAAAUGAGGGAAAAUGAGCUAUUAAAAGACUACUUUACUAGGCUAUGUGAUGUUGUAAAUAAGAUGAAAACAUAUGGUGAGGAACUGCUUAAUGAGAGAGUUGUCCAGAAACUGUUGAUCAGUUUGACUAAACCCUAUGAUUUAAUAAUGAGUGUCAUUGAAGAAACCAAAGACAUUGAAACUCUUAAUGUGCAAGAUCUGAUGGCAUCCUUAAGAGCUUUUGAUCAAAGGCUUGAGAGGCAUGCAGAUUCUGCCACUGAGAAAGCAUUUCAAUUACUCUCUGUUGGAUCUAGUAGUCAAGCUAGUGCAAGCAGACAAAAACCACAAUGGAAGGGCAAGAACAAGAAAUGGGAAGGAAAUGGGUAUCAAAACCCUAGACCUAACCAAGGCAGCAACUCAAAUGAAAAUCCAAAAACUAAGAAACAAUGCAAGCGCUGUGACAAAUUUCAUCUUGGGGAGUGUUGGUUCAAGGACAAGCCUAGAUGUCAUAAAUGUAACAAGUUCGGGCACAUCAUGAGGGAUUGCAGAUCAAAGAAUGUGCAGCAAGUGAACUAUGCAAACCAAAUUGAAGAAAAAGCAAAUGUGUUUUGUGUUUUCAAUGCAAAAGUGGAGAAAAAACAAUGAAGUAGGGUACAUUGACAGUGGCUGCAGGAACCAUAUGAUUGCACAUGAGUCAUUACUCAUUGACCUUAACACAAACUUCACUGGAAAAGUGAAAAUAGGAGAUGGAAACAUUGUCAAAGCCACUAGAAGAGGAACUCUAGUCAUUAACACCAAGAAAUGAAGAAGAUGUAUAAGGGAAGUGAUGCUAGUGCCUGGAUUGGAUGAGAAUUUACUUAGUGUGGGUCAAAUGAUGGAGCAUGGUUAUUUCCUACUCUUUGGGGGAACUGUGGUCGAGAUUUAUGAUGAUAGAUCCCUAUUAAACCUAGUGACUAGAGUGGAAGUGAAAAACAUAAGCUUUCCACUUAUGUUGAAGUACCUAGAAAAGGUGGCAAAGAAAGCAAGUGUGACAGGUUCCAUGAAGCUAUGGCACAAGAGGUUUGGUCACUUAAACAUGACAAGUCUAGAAAAUCUGCAAAAACAUGAAAUGGUACAAGGUAUACCAAAGUUGGAUCAAUGCAGUGAAACCUAUGAAGGGUGUGUGUUUGGAAAGCAUCACAGAGAUCCAUUUGAAGUUGGAAAGGCUUGGAGGGCAACAAAGCCACUCGAAUUGGUUCACACGAAUGUGUGUGGACCAAUGCAAACAACAAUAAUCAGUGGAAACAAGUAUUUCCUAACCUUCAUUGAUGACUACUCACGGAUGUGUUGGGUGUAUUUCAUGAGGUUCAAGUCUGAGGUAUUCAGAAUAUUCAAGAAGUUCAAGGCAAUGGUGGAAUUGCAAAGUGGAUAUCAAAUCAAAAGACUGAGAAAUGAUAGAGGAGGUGAGUACACCUCACAUGAGUUCAAUGCAUUCUGUGAGGGUGUGGGAUUAAAGAAGUAACUCGCUAUGGCAUAUUCACCACAACGGAAUGGCAUUACAGAAAGGAAAAAUGGGACUAUAGUUAAAAUGGCUAAGUCUAUGAUGCAUGAGAAGAACAUGCCCUAUACAUUUUAGGGUGAAGCGGUAAAUACUACAGUGUACCUAUUGAAUAGGUGCACUACUAAAGCAUUGAACAAGAAGACCCCAUUUGAAGGUCAGUGAAAAAAAAGCCUUCUGUAAAGCAUCUGAGAAUGUUUGUCUUAGUGUGCUAUACUCACAUUCCUCAACAACUAAGGCAAAAGUUGGAGAAAUCAAGCAACAAAGGUGUUUUUGUGGGUUAUGGUACCAGUGAGAAAGGGUACAAAGUUUACAACCUGUCAACUUAGAAGAUAAUUUUAUCAAGGGAUGUUAUCUUUGAUGAAGCCUCAACAUGGAACUAGGAAACAAGGGUAGAAGAGAAGGACAAUGUCUCUGUACAACUUAACCUCAACAAAAGGCAAACAAUAGAGCCUAUGGAAACUUCAAUUCAAGAAGAAACCAUAUAGAAUGGUGACACACAAGGGACUUCACAUCAAGCAAGCAUGAGUCCACAACCGAGUUAAUCACAGAUAACAAUUCCAAGUUCAACUCCAAUAAGGUUGAGAAGCUUGGAUGAGAUCUAUGUUACAUGUAACUAUUGUGUAGUGGAAUCAGAAACAUAUGAAGAAGCUGUGAAAGGCAAGGCUUGGAAGAAAGCAAUGAAGGAAGAGCUUGAAAUGAUUGAGAAUAAUGACACUUGGGAAAUUGUAAAUCGACCAAGUGACAAGUCGGUGAUUAAAGUGAAAUGGAUGUACAAAGUGAAGCUAAACUUAGAUGGUUCUGUGCAAAAGAACAAGGCAAGGUUGGUAGCUAAAGGCUACUCACAGAAGCCUGGUGUAGACUUCAAUGAAACCUUUGCUCCAGCAAUAAGGUUAAACACCAUAAGGACCUAGAUAGCCCUAACAGCCAAGAAAGGUUGGAAGCUACAUCAAUUGGAUGUUAAAUCUGCAUUUCUAAAUGGCGUGUUAGAGGAAGAGGAGGUGUUUGUGAAACAACGUUAAGGGUUCACAAGUGAAGCAUUUCUAGAGAAGGUGUACAAGCUAAGGAAGGCACUCUAUGGCCUAAAACAAGCUUAAAGGGCUUGGUACAAUGAGAUUGAUUCUUAUUUCACUGAGAAAUGAUUUUAGAAAAGUCCUAGUGAAGCUACAUUCUAUACUAAGAUAAAAACCAACAACAAGAUACUUAUUGUCUCAAUCUAUAUGGAUGAUGUUGUCUACACUAGAAAUGAUGUUGCAAUGAUUGAAGAGUUCAAAGAAGAAAUGAUGAAGAGGUAUGAAAUGACUGACCUAGGCCUCUUGCAUCAUUGUAUUGGCAUUGGGGUAAUUCAAGAGGCAAACAGCAUCUUCAUUUAUCAAAGGAAGUAUGUUGAAACCUUACUUGAAAGGUAUGGUUUGAAAGGUUGCAAACCAGUCUCUACACCUCUAAUUGCAAAUGAGAAGCUUAAGAAGGAUGAUGGAGGUGAACCUGCAGAUGCUAGUCACUACAAAAGCAUUGUUGGUAGUCUAUUGUACCUAACUGCAAUAAGGCCAGAUCUAAUGUUCUCAGCAAGCCUACUUUCUAAGUUUAUGCAGAAUCCUAGUAAGAUACAUAUGGGGACAACAAAAAGAGUUCUAAGAUAUGUGCAAGGAACGCUUUAUUAUGGCAUCAAGUAUGAAAUGGGGAAGUCAACUAUCCUAAUUGGAUUUUGUGACAGUGACUGGGGUGGUAGUGAAGAUGAUAGCAGAAGCACAUCGGGCUAUGCUUUCACCUUUGGAUCAGGGGAUUUUUCAUGGGCCUCUGUGAAGCAACAAAGUGUUGCACUAUCCACAGCCAAGGCAGAGUACAUGAGUGCAUCAAAAGCAACGGCUCAAGCUAUUUGGCUAAGGUUUAUACUCAAAGACUUUGGCAAAUUGCAAGUUGAAGCCACACCACUUCUGUGUGACAACACCUCUGCAAUUGCCAUGACCAAAAACCCAAUUUUUCAUCAAAGAACAAAGCACAUUAAGAGAAGAUAUCAUUUCAUCAAAUAGACAUUGCAAGACAACACAAUCAAGCUAAGAUAUUGCAACACAGAAGAUCAGAUCGCAGACAUUUUCACAAAAGCAUUACCGAAUGAGAGAUUCAAUUACAUGAGGAGAUUGCUUGGAUUGACUCCCAUAAGCAGUUUAGAAGGAAGUGUUGGAAGCUAAAUUGCUUAUGAAGUCGAUGGAUCGAAGCCAGCAAGGAACUCCCGAGCUUGGAUUCAGUCUGCAUCGAAGAAUAAUGAAGAAAUGAAGGGUUUUAGUCUGCAAUGGCUAGUUUCAAUUUGAAUAUAUGUGUGAGUGUGUGAGUGACAAGUGUACACUCCAUAUUAAAUCACUUAAACCCAAAUGAAGGGGUAGGAUUAAAUCUGGAUAAGUAAGGUAAAAAUAUUUGUUUAAGUCUCUUGUCAAUCACUCUCUAAAAGAGUAUAGGUUAUGGCAAUGCACCAUACCCUUCAAUCACUCAUCUUGUUAAUGAAAUUAUGGCUGCUGCAUUUUAAACAGCCUUGAAGCCGUCAGUACCAACUCCAAGUUCUCUCUAUUCUCUGUUAUUCUAAUUCUAUGAAACCCAUCCAAAACAAUCCAUCAAAACACCUAAACAAACAAACUUCAUCAUUACGUAAACUCAACCAGGUAUCAAUAUUUGAGAAUGACAAUGCAUGAUUGAUUUAAAAUAUUGCUAAUGUGCGAAACUAACAUAAAUCAAAUGACCCCUUAUUAUGUUAUUACUAAUAAAUCCUGAAUCCAUGUAAUGAUUCGUAGGAACCCAACAACAACAAUUUGGAAAAGUACUGAGGGUAGGGAUGCACUGGCCCCAUAUUUACCUUCAUUCUCAUUAAGGGGUCCAAAUCCAAACACUCCUAACAUUCUCAAGGUAACUUCAAGGCCCCGUAGGUGUGUGAAUGCCGACUUAAAAAAUGAACAAACCGAAUCAUGAAUAUUGAGGGGUCUUAAUUUUCCUCCUUGUUUUCUCCUAUAUGUUGCAGCCAAAUAUCGCUUCUCCUGGAGUUUCCAUUCUAGCAGCAUGGCCUCCAAUUCCCCCAGUUUCAGGUGUUGAAGAUGAUGACAGAGUAGCUUCAUACAAUAUAAUCUUGGGAACAUCAAUGGCAUGCCCACAUGCUGCGGGCAUGGCUGCAUAUGUCAAAUCAUUUCACCCCAAUUGGUCACCUGCUGCUAUCCUGUCAGCUUUUUCGACUAUUGGUAUAGAUGCAUUUUCAUAAAUGUACCCAUUACAAUACAGCCGUUCUCUCACAUAUUUGAUGAGUCGUGUGACCAAUUAUUGUCAGAUAUCAUGUUACCAAGUCUUGUGAAAGAGGCUCUACAUAUAAUUAGACUUUGUCCAUGAUGUACAUUGUAUUACCUAAGAUUUAUAUGUUUGAUUAAUUUGUAACGAUUUUGCCUAUGAGUGCAAUCUUAAACCUGAAGCCGAAUUCGCAUAUGGUGCUGGCCUAAUAAAUCCUAGUAGGGCUCCGUAUCCUGGUUUGGUAUAUGAUGCUACUGAAAUCGAUUACAUAAAUUUUUUGUGUGCACAUGGCUAUAGUACCAAAUUAUUGAAAGCUCUUACCGGGGAUAGUUGCUCAUUAUCACAAUCUAGUCAUGGAACACUCAGUGGUCAUCUAAACUAUCCUUCUGUUGCACUUUCCACCUCGAACCCUAAAUCCGUGAAUGGCAUUUUCAAUAGGACCGUCACAAAUGUUGGAUCACCAAAGUCCACAUAUAAAGCUAAAGUGAAUGCACCACCAGGACUUGAAAUCAAAGUUAAUCCA
rnacentral:lncRNA from 1 species